AAAUAUUAAUUUUAUUUCCAAUUUGAAUAAGGAUAAUUUUGGGUUUAGUUAAUAAUUUUAAGGAUAUUUAUGGAAUUGUAUUAAAGGAUAAAAUUGAUUUUCAAAAUUAUAAUUUAAAAGUUACUCAUUUUCUGCUUUUCAAAAUUAACUGUAGAACAUGCUGAUUUUGACAAAAGUAAUUUUGGUUUUCUUUUACCAAACACUAAAAUUAGCUUUUGUAUUUCUAAAAUCACUUUUAAGUCUCCUAAAAGCAAUUCCAAAUAGACCCUUAGCCUUUAACAAUAUCCAAUUAUCAAUUAUAAAUUGGAUUGAACAAAUCAAACUUUGCUCAAAUCUUGGUGGAGGUUGAAGCAACGACGACAAUAUUAUUUUAUGACUUAAUAGUUUUCUUGGAUCAGAUCAAUACUUGUAUCCAAAGUUAAAGUUUGAGAUGAGGGAAGUAGAGUAAAAGUAGCCACAGAAACGAAGAAAGCCAUAACAAAAAGGUAAAAUUGAAAAAAAAAAAUUAAUGCCAAUUUGCUGUUAGGUAGUGUUUAUGUAUUUAAUAAGGGACGAUAAAAGCAAAUUAAAUGCCACUUCAUAUUGGAUUUACGAUUGUAGCAAUCUUAGAAUAAUUAAGAAGACCACUAUAUAUGCUCAUGUUCAUGAACAAUCAUUUAGCGAAUGGUAAUAUAUGUACUCAUGCAAUGGCAUACCAAGAAGAUUGAUGACUCACUUUUUGGCUUGGAAAGGCAAAGUUAAAGUCUUAAAAAAAGAACCCACUAUCUCCCUCUUCUCAUCAAAAGUGAAUCGUGAAUAUGUAAGCUACUUAAGUCAUGAUCCCUUUCAAGGGAAUAGAGUAGGGACCAUAAUUCAUUCCACGUAAAAGAGAGAGACAGAAAGCGAGCAAAUAAUGCCCAAAGUAAAGCAUUAAUUAAGCCUUAAUUAAUUGUAAAAUGAGAAGGACACAAUUAAUGUCCCCAUCAAAUUUGUGACCACUACUGAAUAAGAAGCUCCACCAAGAAGCUAAGACAAUAACUUAUAUGGUGAUCGUCCACUGUUAAUCAUUGAAUCAUAAUUGACAAAUGAGAUCGAGGAGGACACAACAGACAAAUGCUUGUUCAAAACUAUCUUCGAUAAAGGAAGUAUUCAAAUAUUCAAAAGAAAUUAAAGGCUUCCAGUCGGUUUGUCACUAGCUAUAUAUUAGUGUUGGCUGAAUGAAAGCAGAAAAGGAAAUAUUUUAUGAAGGAAAUUUGAUAAAAAAGUGAUCUUUGUUGUCUAAUAUUUUUCCCAUAUUCGAUGGCGAUCACAUUAAAAAAUGGAUCUCCCCACAGAUAUAGUCUACAUCGAGCAUAACCAAUUAGAUAGCUAGAGAUAGAGAUAUUUACAAACAAUUGUUUUGAUAUAUAACUGUUGGAGAAACAACUGAUAAGUAAGUCCAAUUAGGGUCCAACAAUAAUAUUAAAUAUGUGUUUUAAUAACAUUUUUAAUAUAGACCGUAGAAUUUUUUAUCUGUAAGGGCGGAGCUGUCUCAGGCUAACAGGGACUCUGGCUUCUAUAGACUCAAAAAUAAAUAAAUAAAUAAAUAUACAGUAUAAAUUUGAAAGUUUUGUUGCUUGACCAUAUAACUUUAAAAGUUUAGCACUUUAACCCAAAUCAUUAAAUACUCUUUUUUAUUUUUAAUCAUAAAAUAUUGACCUUUAUAACAUUUGGCCCUCGAAAUUUUUUUGUCGGCCUCUGCCGCUUCUUGUAUGUUGCUAUUUUAAUUUUCGCUUGCACAAUAUUUAUAAAUUCUUACAUUCACCAGACUGAACUAAUGAUUUUUUAAACCACGGAUUAACUAGUGAAAAAUUCGAUCCUCGAAACUUAAUUAAACCCAUCAAGUCAAAUGAUGAUUACUCCCUGCUGUUUUUUAUGAAUUGAUUGAGCAUUUAAUUUUGAAUGAUACACAUAAGAUACAAACCUCAUGUGCUGAUAAAAAGUGGUGCUUUAUUUCAUUUAGUUUUUAGAGAAAUCUGUAAAUAUUUGGCAAAUGCAACUUUCUUUGAAAAAUAUAUUUUUGAUUGGGUAGGGUUCUGUUACAUGCUUCCUCAAGGACCUCAACGGUACUCUCGACAGUCAUUUAUUAUUAUUAUUAUUAUUAUUAUUAUUUCACUUGUCGGAUUCAAAUUUGGGCAUUUUGAUUUGCCUCAAUACUAUCUUCUUGCAUCGUGGGCUGGAUAUCCAUAUUUGGGGUUAAAUUUAAGCCAUGAGUGGUGCAAUUAGUACAACUAUUUUCUCACAACCCCUUCUCUCAUGCAACCCAUUUAACAAUUUCAAAUGCUAACGUCUACUCUUAUAACACUACCUUCAAUACCCUGAACACCCUUGUUCGCUAUGAUUAUUAAAAAAAAAAAGUCUAUAUAAAGAAUUAGGGUCUAAUAAUCGACCUGAAUUUACAUCAGAAAAGUGAUGGGGUUUGAGAAACAAGAGGACAAUAAAUGUAAUUUUAGCAAAAUAAUCCAUUUUUAUACGCAGGAUAUGGUAUUAUCCAAGGAGGAGUGGAGAAACUUUGGCAAAAUAAUGAACCUCCAACUAGAAGCAGAAAUGAUAAUAUUUUUUUUUGUCGUGAGGAGGUUUUUUCUUUAUACAAAUUUCUUAUUCUAGAAUGCUUGAAACAGAAAAGUUUCAUGACUGCUUCAAUUGCAUGUAUUAGCAUUAAUGAAGCAUCAAAUCUAAAAAAGAAGAAGAAGAAGAAGCAGAAAUAACAUAGGAGAUGGCGAUUUAGAAAGCUUCUAAAGACAGAGAUGUGUUUAUAAAUAUUGAAAAUUAACUCAUCAAAUUUGGUUGAACAAUUUACAAUCUCACUGGAGGCCAUAAAAUAACGAUAAAGACUUAUGAACAAAAUAAUCAACUGUUUAUUAGUUAAGUUUUUUCUCUGUUAUUUUGAAUAUGGGUGCAGAGGAGAGAAGUUUUAUAUCCAAAUUACAACCCGGAUUGCCUGGCUGAAUGCAAGAGUUCCAUUAGAUUUUUUUUUAUUUUUUUAAAUUUUGAUGUAAUUUUGCUGUGUGGUUAAAAUUGUAAAAACAAAACUGGGGUUUUAAUAGGAUUGUUGAGGAGUGCCAAUAAUGCUACAUUUAAGUCAUUUCAUCCUAGUUGGGUUGCUAUGGCACUUGAUCUAUUGGUUUGGGCUUUGAGUUUCUUGAACUUCUUUUUGAAAUGGGAUAUUAUUAAUUUACUACUAAAGUUUUACUGACAUAUCAUGUCAGUACCAAGGUUUGCCGAAAAGUACAUUUUACUACCAAAGGUUUGCGCGGUUAUUAUUUUACUACUAAUUCGUUAAUAAAACGUUAGUGCUCAACGAAAAUAAUGUUAAAAGACGAUUCUGCCCCCAGGAACAUAAAAGACAAUUUUACCCUUUGAAAAGAAAGAAACAACAAAAGCAAAAAUUACAAGAAAUGCUCAAGAAAAUAGCCGUUAGAACCAAAAACAUCUAUUUUCUUGGCUUAUAAAAGCUAGAAUUUACAGGCUUACAAACAUAUUAGCAAACCAUUUCAUCAACACCAGUAGCCUCACAGUCAUAAUCAACACAGUAGCCUUAUAAACACACUAGCAAACCCAUUUGAAACACCCCAGCAACCUCACUUGAAUACUAACAACCCCAUCUCAGCAGCAACAAUCUUAUUUCAAACACACUAGCAACCUCACUUAAACACUAACACCCCUAUUUCAAACACACCGGUGGCCUCAUUUCAACCCUAACAACCCUAUAUCAACAGCAGCCUGAUACUAAAUACCUGCAAUUCUGAAACACACCAGCAAUCCCAUAGUAAACACCUGCAACCUCAGACUAAACACCAGUAAUCUCACACUAAAAGUACUAAAAUUUAAACACUUUUGUCAUACAAAAACAACAAGAAUAAGGCACAACAAAUACUUGAAUUCAUUGAAAACAUAAUAUCCACCUCUUUCCUAUCUUCAGUCAAAACCAAACAAUUUUCACCCUUCACACAUAUAAAUUCAAACAGAAAAAUGGCCUCCAGCAGCCAAAAAUUGAGGAUCUGCAUCAAUUGAUUCAUUGUCAGAGCUAGAUCCCCCAUCAUCCAUAACUCCUGCAUCCUUAGCUAUGUUUUGGUGAUUUAUACGACUACCAUCAGCAGCAAAUUCCUUCUUAAAAUCUGACAACCAAUCAUCAUCGUUGUUGUCAUCAACAUUCUGAUGAACAUUCUCAUUCCUAACAUCUAUGCCUUCACUCUUGGAAGGUGAUUCAUUUUCAUCAGCAUCAGCCUCACACCCAACAUUCUCAGCAAGGUUUGUUUGUGGCCCAUCAAUGCCUCCAAGCCUAGAUAAUGGUUCAUUUCCACUUUCAUUUACCCAUGCAACUUGCUCUGCAGAUAGCUGAACUCCUAAGGCAUGUAGUAGCGAUUGUAUCACCCCACCAAGUUCUAAAUCAGGACGUAGGGUUGGCAACACACUGACUUUAAAUAUUGGCACUUGUAAUGAGUCAUGUGCCGUGAACAUAAUUCGCAACAUUGCAUCAGUAUCUACAAUAACUUCCACAUUAUUCCUUGGGCUGGUGACAAGUAAUUGUACACUUUCAUGAGUGGUUUGUUAGCCUAUAUGGCUAUAAAUAUUGAUUUUGAUGAUAACAAACCACAUGUAUUUAUUAAGUAAAGAUGUAUGAAUUGUGCUUUUAUAAUAAGAAAAUGAUGUUAUGGAAUUAAAGCAUUUUGGACUAAAAUGAAAGUAAUUUUAAAAUCUUUGAUAGUAUUUUAAAUUUCGGAUUUGGACCUAUUUGAAAUUAUUUAAAUGUUUUUGGGCCAUUCUAUAAUUUCAUAAAGUUUGGGCGAAGUCAUAAUUUCAGAAAGUUGUGGGUUUGAGAAAGCAUUAUUUAAAAUUCUGAAAUUGGACCUAUUUGCAAACUUUUAUAACGUUUUGGGCCAUACUACAGUUUUAUAAAGUUUUGGGGUUAAAAUGUAAAUUUCGGGAAAUAUUUUACUGUAGCAAGCGGCUUACCGGAUACUGAUAAACGGCAGGCCGAAUUCGAGGCAGAAAGCACCAGAACGAAAACGGCUUACCGGAUUCCUGAAACCGGCAAGCCGGUUAGGCAAAAUUUUGAAUUUUGCCUUAACGGUAACAUAAAUCCGGCUUACCGGAUUCCAUUAAACGGCAAACCGGUUAGCCCAGAAUGUGAGUAACGGCUAGUUUUCGAGCUCAAGCUAUAAGAACUCAAAUCCAACUCAUUUUGAAGCUCUCCAACAAGCAAGAACAAAAAGCACACGUGAUAUCUUGAGCCUUCAACUUGUCAAACACAAAACAUUGAAUCAUUCAUUGUUCUUCAUCAUUGUAUAUCUACUCAUUGAGUGAGAUUUAUUGCAAUCUUCAUUUCUUCAUUUCAUUUGUAAGAAUUUGAGUGAGUGAAACACUUGAGUGGAGAGAUUGGGAGAUAAUCUCUUCAUUGUAAAGGUUUAUUGACACCUCGAAGUCAAUUGUAUUCGGUUGAAGCCUCGGAAAGGCUUGGUUAGUGAAAUCCUCGAGCUUGGAUCGCUUGGAGGCGUGGACGUAGGCGGGGAUUGCCGAACCACGUAAAAAUUCGUGUGUUUGUUUUUAUUCUUCCUUACUCUUUAAUUAUUGCGCUAUUAUUGAACUUAUUAUUUUCAAUUAUUGUUAAGACAUUAGAUUGCUUGUUGUGUGGAUUUGUUAGGAUAAAUUUUUAAAAUUCCAAUUCACCCCCCCUCUUGGGUUGCACACUUGUAUUUCAUGGUUAACCCGUCUUCACUUGUAAUCUUCACCACCUCAUUCUUCAGCUGCAGCAGACUGCAUUCAUCUGGUUCAAUCAACCAUUUACAAUGGUUCUUGCCUUUGUAGAUUAUAUGUAGUUGUAUUGGUAACAUGAUUUGCAAAAAGCAACCAGUGAACAAAAAUUGGUAACAUUAAUUCUAGUAAUAUGAACAUAACACAAUUCACAACUUAAUUAUAAAAAGCAAACAAUAACAUAAAUUCUUAUACUGGUAACAAGAUCCACAAUAAAUAAGGAAAAAUUCUCAAAGCUAGAUCUCCAACAAUAACAGAAUUAACAAAAAAUUAACAAAAUUAACAAAAUUAUAAUGUCAAUACCAUGGACAACGACAAAGAACACAUUAACAAAAAAUUAUGCUACAAAAUUAAUAUUAUAAUCUAUGAAAUUCAAGUAUUAUUCACAACAAAAAACAAUAACAAUUUAAUUAACGAAAAAAUUAAUGAACUAUAAGUGAAUAAAAAGGCAGAGUCAACAGCUCACUAGUGGAGUCGGUCGUCACUCAGUUGCCAAGGAGACAGAUCGGAGACGGAGGUUUCACAGUGGAGUCGACCGUCACUCAGCAGCAAUGAAGAGAGAUCGGAGACGGAGGUUUCAGAAUGAAAGAGGGGGUUUAGCUUAAAUAUUCUGUCAAAACGUUGUGUUUUACUUCAACUCAAAAUGUCUUUAAUGCCCUUAUAUCCGGAAAUGGCUUUUAUGCCCUUAUUACAUCAACAACACAUCAACAAUUUUUUAACGUUGUUAACGGAUUCGUAGUAAAAUGAUAAUUGCGCAAACCUUUGGUUGUAAAAUACACUUUUCGACAAAUCUUGGUACUGACAUAAUAUGUCAGUAAAACUUUAGUAGUAAAUUGAUAAUAUUUCUUUUGAAAUUAUCAUAGUAUAAUUUACUGAUAUUACAAUUAAGUGUCAAAUUUGGAUUCCUCUGUGAUGUUGUAAUUUUUUUUUAUAGUAUCAAUAACAUUUUAAUUAUGUACCAUUGGAUUUAAUUAAUGGUACACAAUAUUUGUAGUAAAGAAAAAAUAAAUCAUUUAAAAAUAAUGAUAAACAAUUUGUUAAUUGUGUAAGGGUGGAUAAUUUUGUAAACUAACUAUGACCACCCUUAGAGUUUGAAAUAAUUUCACUUAAAUAGUAUAUUUUAUUUAAACUUAUUUUGCAAUCUUCCUUUAAAUUUGAAAUGUGGUAAUCUUUUUUAAAUAAAUUUUCCAAAAUCUAUUACCAUUAAGUAUAAAAUAUAAUGGUAGGUUAUUUAACACAAAUCAAAUAAAUAAGUUGCAAUUGCAAAAUUUAUAUAUGAUAUAAUACUAAUAAAUAACACAACUAAGUACAUAUAUUUAAGUAAAUGUCAUAGUUACAUCAAUAAACUCAUUGGUGAGAUUGCUUGUAAUAUAAAAAAUACUUAAUCACACAUGUUUUAAUAAAAUUUAAUAUCUUAUAUUAAAAACUCAUUAUUUUAUAUAAUAUUAAGGCCGUUGUAUAAUUGAUCAUUAAGUAUAUAUUAUUUUUAACACUCAUUUAACAUACUUAUUCUCUAAACUUUAUGUCUAUCUUACAAUUAAUAUUCUUACGUGUUAGAAAUUUUAAGUUUUACAAGCCUAUAUAUUUUCAUUUUAUUUUCAAAUAUCACUUUGUUAAUUUCAUAAAAGUUAAAUAUAAUGUAUAUUCCUAAUGAGCUUUAGUUUAUGAAUCAUGAAAAAUUAUUUUAUUCACAUCUUUUGAUUGUGAUUAUAAAAUUUUAUGUUAUUAAGAGUCAUUACUUUUGUUAUGAUAGUUAAUAGUGACAAUAAAUAAAAUAUUGUCUCUAAUAAUAUUUACGUGGGAAAAAAUGUGAAAGAAAAUCUUUUAUAUUUUUAUAUAUGGUAGGAAAUUAUCUGAGCCUUAUAAAAUUGAACUUUUACAAGAUUGUUUUCAUUUUAUUUUCAAAUGUCACUUUGUUAAUUUUAUAAAAGUUAAAUCUAAUACAUAUUCCUAAUUAACUUUAGUUUAUGAAUCAUGAAAGAUUAUUUUAUUGUUAAUCUUUGAUAGUAAUUAUAAAAUUUUUAUGUUACGAAGAGUCAUUACUUUUAUCACGAUAAUUAAUAGUGACAAUUAAUAAAUAAAAUAUUACAUCAAAUUAUAUUUAAUGGACAAAAUGAGGAAAAAAUAUUGUAUGUUUUUAUAUUUUCAUUAUAAAGACAUGGUUUUGCAUACUUUAACUUAACAUUUUGAUACAAUAUUUGAGCCACUAAUAUCCCAUAGCCUAAUGGUUCAUAUUGAAAGUCAAAUCAAUAUUUCAUAAUGUUAUAUCCUCCACCAUUGAAUUGCAUGAAAUAAAUAAUUUAAUUUUUUUGUUAAAAAUUUAAAUAAAAAUAUUUCUCACUCUAUAGCUAUAUAGACAUAUAUAUUUUUCAAUAAUAAUUGGUGAAUAAAAUAUUUCUCAUUUGUUGUGACUCAUACAGUAUUAUUAAUAAAACACAUAUAAAAUAGUUUAUCGCAAUACCUUCUAUUAUCAUUAUUGUUUAGGUAUUAAUGGUUUGUAAUUAAAUUCAUACAAUACAAAUUAUUAUAAGACUUUGUGUUAAAUAACUACUUGAUAUUAUAUUUUAUACUUAAUGGUAAUUGAUUUUAGAAGAUUUAUUUAAAAAAUAUUAUUAUAUUACAAAUUUAAAGGAGGGUUAAAAAAUAAUUUUAAAUAAAAUAUAUUAUUUAAGUGAAAUUGUUUCAAACUCUAAAGGUGGUCACGGUUAGUUUACAAAAAUGCUCCAUCCACUUAAAGGGUUAACAAACUGUUUAUUUUUUUAAAAAUUAUUAUUUUUAGUAUAAAUAUUAUAUAUUGUUAAUUAAAUCUAAUGAUAUGUAAUUAAUACAUUAUUAAUGCCGUAAAAAAACAUAUGGCAUGAACCCGUGAAAUUUUGAAUAAAAAUUUGGAAAUGUAUUCACGUUACGGAACCUCAACAAAACGACGCGCUUCAUUUGGGAUUUGCUCAGCUUGGAAACGUUGUCGUUUGGCUCUAAAGCGUAAGCGACGGUUUGUACCCUUCCUUGCUGAAGCUUCACGAACUAGAGCAAAAUUAGUUAAUUUUUAAGCACAUCAAAUCCAGGUAUCAACCCUAAUCUCUCUCUCUCUCUCUUUUGCUUCUGCAUAUUCGUUUGCAGUUCGAUAUAUUUUUACUUUUAUUAACAUAAUUUAUCGUUUCAGGAAAUUAGUAAAUUAAGUGCCAUGUGAGAUUUAGAAUUUAUAUUCGCAUUUUGCUAUUAAAGCAAGCAAACGGAUAGCAAAUUCUUAAAUCAUAAUUUUACCCGCUUAUUUGGGGUUGAUUAUAUGCAUUUUGUUUACUUAAAUGUUACGUGUUUCUCUUAAGAGCGUUUCACUCUUAACAAAAUUUCCAAAUUGCUGAUGUUGUUUGUUCUGCUAAGUUAUUUAACUAAAUCAAGAUCAUAUUUUGAUUAUCAAAUGAUAAAAAAGUUGAGUGGAAGUUGUAAACUAAUUUGUGCUUAACUUGGAGAAUUUGGUAGAUAAAUAUUUGUUAUUUGAAAUUAAGUUAUUCUUCAGUGUUAGUGUGCCCUAUUCUGCACUGGGUGUAAUUCUUAAUUUUCUAUGUUGUAGAGGUGGUGAAUUUGAACCCUAGUUAAUUGUGCAAGGAAAUGUUAAGGGUGUUUUUGUGAUGGAUGCGAAGGCACUGGCGAAAUCCAAGAGAGCUCACUCUCAACAACAUAAGAACAAGUCACAUCCAAAUCAGAAAUUAAAAGCCCCAGUAGUUGCCUCUGACAAUGCUGGGAGCAAAGAAAAGCAACCGGGGAAGCAAGCUGGGGCGGGAACACGCGAGGCACGGCGUUUAUCUAAACUUCCGUCUAACUGGGAUCGCUAUGAAGAUGGAUCUGAUAUGGAUUCGGAAGAUACCACAAGUCAAGCCUCUGAUUUUGUUGUGCCAAAGAGUAAAGGGGCAGACUAUCGUCAUCUAAUUGCUGAGGCUCAAUCACAAUCUCUGUCACAGUCACAGUCACAUUCUUAUUCAGAUACCUUUCCUUUACUUGAUGAUGUUAUGCCCGGUAUGCACUAGCUUCUCGUUGGUUCUAAUUAGCCCUAUCUGUUUGUCUUCUUUAUGUAGUUCUGGCUGAUUAUUUGAGGUCGCCAUGUUGUAAGACGCUGCAUACUUGGUUGUCCUUAGUUGAUAUUGAUUGAUAUUGAUUAUAGAAAAAUAUUUGAGGAAUAUUUCUUUUGCUAUAUGUACAUCGCAGAUAAGAACUGGCCUGUGGUUCCAAAUUUCAAAUGUAGUUUUCUUCAUUAAAACUUUCAAAAAAUGAAUCUGAUGCUAGUGAGUCUGAAAUAGUUGAGAAUUUGUUGAAUUUGAUACUAGUUUUUGGAAUAUCGGAUUAUUGUUUUCCAAAACAUAUUCCAGAUGUGUUGUCUUUUCCUUUUCUUGGCUUUGUAAGUAGAAAACAACUUUUUGAAAUCUUACUGAAGGACACUAAUUUCCAUAUGAACUUCAAACUUGGUUGUUAUUUCUUUGGAAAAGAUGAGUGGAAGUUGGAUUUUAUAGGCACUUGUAAGGGAUUAAUGAAGAAAUGUAUUCUCCAGUGUUUUAAUUCUUCUCCUGAAACCACUGAAACUUGUUUGGAAUUAUGGUUGGUCUCCACUCACUCUCUUGUUUUCUUCCGCUUCUUUAAUACUCAUUGUUCAAAUCUCCUUCAAUCUCAAGUUUUGAUGUAAAUGGAGUUAAAAUACCAGAAAUUGCUUCCAUUACUUCGUAGAUCAACCAUUUUUUUUCCUAGCAUUUUUAUUUCAAGAUAUUUUGUUAAAUUUUAUAAUGUUAAAGGCUUGAUUUAAAAUUUUCCUGUUCGAAUCUGCCAGGAGGUUUUGCUCCAGGAAUGGGCCCUAUGCUGUCAGUCAGGGGGGAGGGCAUUUUGUCAUGGGUUGGGGAUGAUAACUUUGUCGUGGAGGAUAAGACAACUGCAUUUCAAGAGGUACCCCCCCCCCCCCCCCCCCAAUUAUCAGAUGGCAUACCUAUGUAUGAAUUCUUUAGGAUGUUUCUCUCUCUUAGUAUUUUUCUUGCUUUCGAGAAAAAGCUUCAAGGAUUCAUUUGUAUCAAUUAUGGCCAUGCAUGUAUCGAAUUGUUAUUUGGAGGAAAGUUAAAGUUUCUACUUAUGAUUAUAUACGGAGGUGCUCCCAAUUCAUGAAACCAGUAUGCAACUGUAUAUAUAUAGCCUUGCAGUAAGUUAGAAGUACAAUACGUCACUCUGUAGGCUACAUCUGAAGGGUUUUUGCCUUAAUCAUUUCAACUCUUGAAGAUUCUUGGUUUUGUGGAAAUUUUUAAUUGCAAUUGAGAAAGAUGUGAUUUGCAUGGAUUUGUUUUUACAGCAAUGCAAUGGUCAUUACUGUAUUGCAGUUUUACUUUAGCUGGAGGCAACCUUCAGAUUAUAUUCCAUUGAAGGGUUUGAAUUUUCCUGUACGUUUACAACUCACUUUUCUUCCCGCUUUGCCCCUCAAUAUCAUCCUCUUGGGAUGGUUAUCUAUGCAGGCAUCAUUUCUGUCUCUAAAUUUGAAUGCUCUUGCGGAACACCUUGCAAAAGUUGACUUAUCACAGAGGCUGUUUGUAGAAGCAGAUUUAUUGCCAUCAGAGUCGGUAAUUUAUGUUAAUACUUAUCAUUUAUUGCAUAGGAUCCAUGAGUGUUAUUUUAAGCUUCUGAUGUUUUAAUACUUUGGUGUAUAGGUUCUUUUUUCAAGUCUCUUACCCAUUUGUAAAGGUGAUUAAUACUGGAUGUUUUAUGGCUUAUGUGACAGGGCACGGAGGGAUCAAUAGCAAGCAGCAAUCAGGAACCAGGCCUGAUGCAAACAGAACAUGAAAGUGAAGCAGAUGUGGGUAUAUCCAGGGACAUAGAUAUAGCUUCUAAAGAUUUUCCUGAGGUUAAAAUUGCGGAUACUGAAUCUUUAUCAUGUUGCUCUGUCAGUUAUUGUGUAGAUGCAGUUUUAUUCACCUGUGACAUGGUUUAUGUGACAGGGCGAAGAGGAAGAGGAAUCAGUGGCACACAAAGUUAAAGCAGCUGCUAAUAUAUCUGAAGACAAAGCUUCCACUGAUUUCCGGGAGAAGGUUAAAAUUGUGGAUACAAAAUCUACAUCAGUUGUUGGCCACAAAAAUGUAGAUGCAAUAUUUUCUAAUCAGAGGUCUGCUUUAGUGAAUCAAACCAAAAAUGAUGUGACCUCCAGUCAAUAUGACAGAUUUGGACAAGACAAAGCACUUGAACCCCCGGCACAAUUCAAUGAAAAUUCUGUUUCAGUCUCGAAGAAUCUUCCGACAUUUGAGGCCACAGCAGCAGAAGCAGAACUAGAUAUGCUUCUUGAUUCAUUUAAUGAUACCGGGUUCUCUGAUUCCUCUAGCUCCAAAUUCAGCAACUCUUCUGUUUCCCAACAAACAUCUUCUACAGCUCCGCCACAGCUUUCAAGAAAGGGCCCAGAUUUAUCUAAAUCUGCAUCUGUCACUGCCAGUUUUGAUGAUGUACUUGAUGAUUUAUUAGAGGAAACAUCCAAUUUGGUGAACCCCAAUGGCUUGUCCCGGCCUCAUGAAGCUCAGUCUUCUUCUUCUUCUCAAUCUGUUACAAAGUCUAAAGUGUUGGAUGAUUUUGAUUCAUGGUUAGAUACGAUUUGAAUGUAUUCUUCAGUUCAAAUCCAAACUCAUAUAACCAAAUGCGUUGUGUUAAUAGCUGUUCAAUGAAAUUUUUUUAUGCUCUCUCAAUGGAAGUUGCACGGAUUCAUCGUUCAAAUUGAUGGGAGCUCUCCUAUCUUUCUUUUACCUUCACCAGGGUUAAAGGGUUUCAAUUUUCUUUUUCUUUUUCUUUUUUGUUUUGCAAUUUGAACUCAUUUCAAAACGGGCAAUAUAUAUUCACUUUUAUUCAGGACUGCACCAAGUAAAUGACCUGCCUGCCGUUUGCCUCGAGCAAAAUAAGUGGGCCAUCAAAGCCCAUUCUAUUUAUUAUUCUCACAAUUCGUCCCCCUAUAAACACUAAAGCCCUAAAACCCAUCGCGUUCUUUCUUUCGAAUUUCAUAAACCCUAAAACUAAACCCCCUUCUCAGGUACCUACUUGUGCUUCUAUUUUGACUCCCUCAUUUGCUUAUAUUUGCUUUGCUAUAUAUAGUGUUGUUCACAAUUGUUUAAUCUUCCAUAUUUUGUUCUUUAUCUGUUUAGUUUCUGAGAAACAUUUGGGUAAAUUCGAAGACAUCAACAAUUUUAUUAUAAAUUUCGUUUUAAUGCGGCUUUGACUCACCUGGGUUUUCGUUUUUACACAGCGAGAUCUGUGAAGUUUCCUUCUUUUUCUUUCUUGCCUUUAGUAGUAACAAGCUCAUUAUUUUUUUAAAUAAAGUUGUACGAUGAUGUUUUCUUAGAAAUUGUAUAAUUGAUUGUAUGUACUACGAAUUAGUUGAAAUUUACUGCACAGGAUUUAGUUUUUGAUGGGUAUUGGGGUUUUGUGGUGUUAUUUAUGAGUAAUUAUUUACUUCAAUGGAAAAUGCUGUUUGAGAGUUUGUUAUCAACUUUCAAGAAUGUUUCAAUACUUGUUGUAAAGUGCAUAUGACAUCUGUUUCUUUUGUUGAAUUAUUAGUUUAUAGCUUGCAGUUAAUUUCGGGAGACACAGAAAUAGUUUCUAUUAGAUGUUCCAAAUGAGGGUUGUAAGAGUGAAAUCUUGGUUUUUAAUUGCCAAGGUGUUAGUGUUUCUCAGGAGGGAACUCAAGUAUGUGUCUGAUAGAGAAGAGUUUGAAACAUAUUGAGAUGCUUGUACCCAAAUGUUUUAAACAAAUAUACUUGUUAAUAUGUUAUUUUCCACAGCCUAUGUUUUGUUUGUGAAUGUCUUCGGUGGAAUAAAAGUUGGUUAUAAAAAAAAAAGGCUACUUUCAGGACUUUAAAAUGGGCUUUCAGUUCUAGUAGGUUCCUUGUUUAAUAUGUUAGUUGUCACAUCACAGCAAAGUAGUAACAUUCAAAACUUUCCAUAGAUUCACUCCAAGCUAAUGGAGCCUUGUUGGGUGGAUUCAAUAUGUAUUUCUUAUUUACUUGUUAUAAAUAGUUCAAGGCUUUUGUGUAAUAGCUAAUUAAUUUUCUUCAUUUCCUGCUCUUUCAUACUGCUUUCUCAUGCAUAUGGUCUAUAUGUGAAUUGAUUUCUUUUUACCUUGUUGAACUAAGAGUCAAUAUAUGAUGUGCUUUAAGUAAUGUGAUCAUGUAAACAUAUGUUAACUGACUUGCCAUUUAGGAACAUGAACUUCAACAAUGUCAAAGUUCCCAAGGUGCCUGGUGGUGGUGCAGCUUCUGCCUUAAUUAAGGUAGGAAUUAUUGGUGGGAUUGGUUUGUAUGCUGCUGCUAACAGUCUCUACAAUGUUGAGGGAGGGCAUCGAGCCAUUAUGUUCAACCGUAUAACUGGUGUGAAGGACAAGGUUAUUACUUCACCUGAAAUUCCUGGUGUUUGUGGCUGACUUGGAUUUUCACUAUUAUGAAGAAUUUGGAUUUAUUUGCCUGUGUACAACUCUUUAUCCCUUCUUUAGUAUUGCAUCUAAAAUUUAUUUGUACACUAAUCCCUUGGUUUUGACAUAGUCUUAGCAUUGUGGUGAUUAUUUUUUGAGAAUGAGUCAUCCUUCUAAAAGGGUUUUCCUUUACUCAUGGGGAAUUAAAUUUUUUUGUGUCUAUAAUUUUUUUUUCGUCUGAUAAUUUGGAUCUUUAACUGAUGUUUGAUUGGAUCUUUGUUUUUUGAGGCUUUUUCUCAUGGCAUCAUGUCAUUGUGCUUACAAAAAUGGUUCAUCGGUGGUUCAACUAAAACUCUUAUCAUUUACUUCUUGGAAAAAAAAAUUGAAUAUUUCUGCAAUAAUAAAACCUCUUUUUCAAAUUCUCCAUUAAGUAUGUUGGUGAAAGUGUUUGUCAUGCAGACCAUCAUUAGAUUUGUUUUAUGCUCCAAUAUAUAUAUGUGUAUGUAUUCCCGCUUUGCCUUUCCUGGUUCAUGUUAUUUCAGAUUACUGGGCAUCAUCUUCUGUCUGAACAUUUUUUAAUGUUUUUGAACACUCAUACAGUUGCCCUUAAAAUACUAUCCUUAGCAUUAGAGUCAACUUCUCUGAAAAAAGUGAAGGAUACAUCAUCGUCAUGAUUUUCUUUGCUUUAAAUCAGCAUUGCCUUCUCUCUCUCUCUCUCUCUCUCUCUCUCUCAUAUAUUAUGUGCAUCAGUGAAUCUUUAUUCUUGUUGAUGCUGAUUUCUGAGAGGUUUCUUACUUUGUUCGGUAAUUUCUGCACUGUAACAGAUUCCAUUACGGUGAUUCAUGUUGAAUAUGCAGGUUUAUCCUGAGGGGACUCAUCUAAUGGUUCCAUGGUUUGAGAGACCUGUCAUCUAUGAUGUUCGCGCAAGACCCCACUUAGUGGAGAGUACUUCUGGUAGCCGUGAUCUUCAGAUGGUAAAUACUUUCUUCUUUAUUAUUCUUAUUGUUUGGGAGAUAAGAUAUGCUUGGUAUCUGCAGGAAAUGCAGUGAGACUAGUCUAAACUGCUCUCUGUUGCUAAUGUAAGAUUUUCCUUAAUAAAAACAGUGUUGCAAAGAUAAGGUUUUCCUUAAGGUAAACUGUGUUGAUAGGCAAAACACUUUCAGAAGGUUUUGUAGCACAGUUCGCUGGACUAUUUUUUGCUCUAUAUUUCACUUGCUACUCUAUAAAGAGUACUAUUAUUUGCUUUCCUUUUGGGUCUACUGGUUGGUGUUUCACGCAUCUUGUACCCAUCAUGCCAAAAUAAAACAAAACGGGUUUUAUUGUAGCUAUCAACCAAUGGCUAAUACAGUUCUGAAGCAUUCUAUAUUUACUUAUUGCACCACAUUGCUUCAUUUGGACUGCUGUUUGCCGCAAGUAUGUGUUGAAGAUAUAAUUUGCCUUUUUAAGUAUUACGAAUUGUGCAGGAAUUCCAAUGAAUUUGGAGGUUCAAAUUCAUCGUAAUAUUAAGUUGUUUGUAAGGUGGGUGUCUAUUGACCAUCUAUUUUGUAAAUCUUAAAAAGCUGGAAGUCUCAGGGUGAUGACAUUACUCUGAUGAAGAAUUUAUUAAUUCUUAACUGAAAUGACUGGUUCUACUCAUUUACAUGUGUAUCUGAUACUGCUACGUAGGUUAAGAUUGGGCUUCGGGUCCUCACUCGUCCUGUAGCAGACAAGUUGCCAACAGUUUAUCGAGCCCUUGGUGAGAAUUAUAAUGAAAGGGUUCUACCUUCCAUCAUUCAUGAAACUCUCAAGGCUGUGGUUGCACAGUACAAUGCCAGCCAGCUCAUUACUCAGCGUGAGGUGAGCAACUUGGCCUAUUUCUUUUUACCUGAUUGCAGUUUGUGUUGAAGUCCAUCGCUUGGUCAAUAUACACUCUUCUUCUUUUAGACUGUUAGUAGGGAAAUCCGGAAGAUUCUGACGGAGAGGGCAGCCAAUUUCAACAUUGCCCUAGAUGAUGUCUCUAUAACAAGCCUCACUUUUGGGAAGGAAUUUACAUCCGCCAUUGAAGCUAAACAGGUAGCUGCGCAAGAAGCAGAGAGGGCUAAAUAUAUUGUGGAAAAAGCUGAACAAGACAAGAGAAGUGCUAUCAUCCGAGCACAGGUGAGAAGGAAUACUCUUCCCAUGUUUGUCCGCUGUUUAGUUGGUGGUAUAUUUCAUCAUUAUUAUCUUCGGUACUUUGACUAUUUAGUAAUGAAUUUCAAGCAAUGAUAUUAUUCACCAAGGGGGGAAUUCUAUUUUUUAUUAUUUCUUUAGGCAGCAUAUCCAUUGGUUAAUAAUUGAUAAUACUUCUUUUCUCUCAAUCAGGGAGAAGCCACAAGUGCUCAGCUCAUUGGUCAAGCCAUUGCCAACAAUCCAGCAUUUAUCACACUGAGGAAGAUUGAAGCUGCAAGAGAAAUUGCUCAGACAAUUGCGCAUUCAGCCAACAAGGUCUUCUUGAAUUCGGAUGAUCUUUUGCUGAACCUUCAGGAGAUGAAGUUGGAGGGUGCAAAGAAAUAGGCAUAAAUUAACAGGCUGCGGAACUUUUGUUUUGUUUUGAUUCACACACAUUGUUCAAUUGUGGGAAUUUCUUAUCUUCAAUAACUGAGCGGUGCAUAAAAGUGAAGAUCCUUGUUUGUGCUCUGAGAUGGAUGGGCUUGGACAACCGAGUGUAAUUUUCCCAAAGAAUUGUUAAUUGGAGAGAACAACUUUGAACUGUUAAACCGCGCAGCAUAUCAUCACUUCUAGGGGCGGGUAAAAUUGGGUUUGGGUCAACCCGAUCGGGUUUCGGGUUGUUCCGGUUAGACAAGAAUUAAUCCGAACAUAACCCGAAUUAUUGACCCGACCCGAACCGACCCGAACAGUUUGGGUUAUGUUCGGGUUGGAUUUAAAACGGGUAGGAUUGAGUUCGGGUCAAAUCGGUUUAGUUCGGGUCUGUUGAAAUUGGGUCAAUUUGAGUCAAUUAGGGUCAAAUUCGGUUAAUGCAAUUUUGAGCUAUUUUUUUUUCUUAUUAUUGUAGUUUUUAUGAAAGUUUUAAGAUAUUUUUUUUAAUUGUAAUCAUUUUUACUAAUUUUCAACUGAAAAAAAAAAAGAAAAGAAAAUGUUAUUAAAUCAAAUGAAUAAAGUUAAAAUGCUAUAAUAAGAUUAUUUGCCUAUUGGUUUGGAGGGUAGAAUUAGAACUAUUAUUUGCUCAACCAACAAAAUCCAAAGUUUCAAACUUAAUAAAAGUUAAAAGUAAUACAAACUUACAAAGUCCAAAGCACAAUUUUUAAAUAUUAGUCUUUAAAAGUUUGCAACACAAACUCACAAAGUCACAAAAUUAAAUUGUUUAGAAACAUAAAUCACAAAGUUCAAAGUUCAAACAUAAAAAUUAAAUAAGCUUUCUUGGUUCCUCCACCUUGGUUCCUCCAUGGCUCCAUGCAAGCACUUUGACAAGUUCUAAAUUCAAAUUUUUGAACUCCAAGUUUAAGUGCCUAUUGCCUAGAGAAAGAUUGAGAAAAUGUACAAUAAAUAUUUUCUUUAAGCCACGUUCCAAAUGAACAAACUCAAUUCAUAUAAAAAAUUGAGCACAUAAACCAAAUUUAUAAGGUUACACAUCACACACAAACACAAAUAAAUAAAUCUAAUUCAUAUAUUUAAUUAAGCUAAAGGGGUGUUACAAUUUUUCUAAUUUCUAUUAUAUCAUUAUAAAUUUAUAAUUACAAAUAAAUAUAUAUGUUUACCAAAUUUUUCAAUACACACUUGAUUAUAUAUUUCUAUUAUAUCAUGCUUAUUUUAUGGCAUUCAUCACCGAAUCAAGUUAAUAAUAAUACUAGACAAUAAUAAUAUUCUAUCAACUUUAACUUGUCUAACUAAAACAAUUACAAAUUAGACUUAAAAUUUAAAACUAUAACAACUAUAAUUAUAGCUAAAAUUACAACCAAAUACUAAUAGUACUAUAAUAUCAAAUUAUGAAUAAUAAUAUAUAUUAAAAGUUACCUUUCAAACAUCCAUAACACCAAUGUCGGCGCUCAACGCUUCCACUGUCGAAGCUUGCGAUCUUGUAAGCUCUAUAAAAUCCAAAAAAAAAUUAAUAACUCAAGUACAUGACUGCAUGUAGAUGUUCUAUAUAAAGUUAUAAUGCAUUUUAAAUAUAUUAUGCAUUUAAUGGAUGAUAAAAAAUUAAAAACAUUACCUUCUUGUAAUUCCAUAUGAAACAUUUGCUCCUUGAUAUCUUCUUGGAGGUUGUAGACGGGAUUGACAAAAAGUUUAGACUGCAGCUAAUUUUCAGUGCAUAUCAUGCCUCAACCAUAGCCGGGGUUAAAGAACUCCUACACUCAUCAAUAAUACGACGCCUGGUGCUAAAGGCAGACUCAGAUGCCACUGUGGAGACAGGAACAUCAAGGACAUCUCUUGCAAUUUUCUCAAGAAUUGGAUACCUCAAUCCAUUCACCCUCCACCAAAGCAAAACAUUAAGUUUAAGAUUGUUGGGAACUUCAACUGGGUCCUUCAAGUACUUUUCCACCUCAGAUACUACUCUUCUACUCUCAUUCUGAACAGAGACCUUCCUGGCAUAUCCAAGGAAAGGACGAGAUUCUUGAAAAGCGUCAUCACAUUCACCACCAGCAACAUCCACCAAAUUAGCCUCAGUUGUAAAACGUUGAGAAGAACUUGUACCUCCAUAGCUGCCACUAAGACCACUUUCACCAUACAUCGAUGGUGUUGAACUAGCAAAGAAUGCACUAUAUGCAUCAUAAAACUCAUUCAAUAAGUCUUUCACUGCUUUGGUCAUUUGUUCAACCAUCAAACUAUCAUUGCCAAAAAUGAUCUCAAAAAUAUGUUUAGCAAAAUCCAUUUUCGCUCGUGGAUCAAGAAUAGAGGCAAUAAUCAGAAUUUUGUUUAUUUUUCCUGUGGACUCCCAAUACUUAUCAAAUUUUUCUCACAUACUAUAAGCCAUAGAGGACACCCAAGGAUUUGUACUUUCUUGCAAUGCAGUCAAUGAACUCUCAAUUAAGCUAAUAGUAUCACAACAAAGAUUAGAAAGUCACACUCAAAGAGGCAGAAAAUAAUAAUGUGGCAUUAUAAAAUACCUUCAAAAACUUCACAAUUCGUUCAGCACUCUCUCAAUCAUCCGGUCCAGGUGGGCCCACCCUUAUGACAUUAUUUUCUUUCUCAGCAAAGUAUGUCUCAUAAGGUUUAUCCACUUCUGCCAUUCUAUCAAAUGCCGCUUGAAAUUUCAGCGUAGUCAUCAACAUUAAAUAAGUGGAAUUCCAUCUAGUAGGACAAUCCAAAAUAACAAUUCCUUUUGGACAAUUCACCUGCUCAACACAUUGUUUAAAUAUCCGCAGCCUCAUACUGGAGGAUCUCACGUACUUCACUGCAUUUCGAAUAGCGGUAACACUAGCAUGCAACUCUCCCAAUCCUGAAACAACAAUUAAAUUCAAAAUAUGUGCACAACAAUGCACAUGCAUAUAUUGUCCCCGCCAACACAAGUGCAUCAUCAUUCCUCCAACUAAGCAACUGCAUAGUGACAUAACCAACAACAAUAUCAUUUGCAGUGGCAUUAUCAACAGUUAUUGCAAACAACCUCUCUAUCCCCCAAUCUUGUAGGCAAGCCACAAUCUUUUUACCUAUCGACUUCCCUCUAUGAUAUUUGAUUGCGCUAAAACUAAUAAUUCUCCUAUUCAAACACCAAUCACUAUCAAUAAAAUGAGCUGUAAUCACCAUGUAGCUCAUGUUUUGAACAGAAGUCUAUAAAUCAGUUGUAAGAGACACGCACUGCUUGUUGUUGCAAAUCAAACUCUUCAACAUUGCCUUUUCCUCCAAAAAUAACUCCAUAACAUCUCUACCAAUUGUUCUUCGAGAUGACAUAACAACUGAGGAAUAACUACACUGCAGAAAUGCCUAAAUCCUUUGUUGUCUACAAAAUUGAGCGGCAACUCAUCCAUAAUAAUCAUUUUAGUUACUACCUUUCGACACGCGUCUUGACUCCAUCCUUUACCCAAAAUCAAAUUAUUUGCAUUUUCUUCACCGCCCUCGGAUGUCAAAUUUUAUUGACUUCCACUUUGUUGUGCCCGAAAUGUUUUGUAUGAUUCACAUGUCUUUAUAUGCCUUGUCAUAUUUGUAAUCACAUCAAGCCUUGAAUGACAUUGAUAUUGCUUACCGCAAUAGUUGCACAUACAUUUGUUUGGAUUAUCUUCGAGUAAAGUGAAGUGAUUCCAUACUGCCGAUCUUUUCUUCAUUGGCGGUCUUUUCCGCUUCGCCUCUUCCUUUCCUCUAUGGGUUCCUUCCAUUUGUACACUUUGGUCUUCAUCGUCACUCAUCGAAUUCGAUCUUAAGUGUCCAAGCAUCUGAAUAUUCAAAAUAAUCAUUAAUAAUCAUUAAUUCAAAAAUCAAAACACAUAAAUAUUAUUAACAUAAUCCAUAAACAAAAAUUAGUAAUUUUAAUUCAAGUUGUUCAUGCUCCAUAAACAAAAAGUAAGAAAUGACUGAUUAAUUAAUUAAUUUAUAAUAUCCAAUUGUCCAUUCCCCAUAAUAAUAUGAUAUUAUUUGUCUAUCUAUAUCUUAUUUUUUAUUAUAAAUUAAAUCCUUUGAUUUAACAACUUAACGGAUGAUUAACAUACAAUAAAAUAUUAAUUGAAUUUAUUAAUUUUUUUAGGGUUGAAAGCUUGAAGCUACUGCACAAGUACACAUAAUUACAUAACACAUUAUAAUUAUAAAAUAUAUACAGCAUAAUACUUAAUUUUAAUAUUUAAUCUACCUAAUGUGCUAAUUUAUUCAUAAAAAAUCAAUUAUUAACUAUUAUUAACAAUUAACAAUUAAUAUUAUUUCAAUUAUUAAUAAUUAACAAAAUUUUUGUUAUUCGCUGGCUAACACCAUUUUCAUAUGUCCUUAAUGCUUGAUUGUUAUAGUCUAUUCGCUAAAGAGAGCAAACGAUAACAAAUUAAUAAUCAAUGAAAUAAAAACAAAACCCACCAAUCAACAAUUCCUUUUUAUAUAUGAAAAAAAAAUAUUUCUGAUGAGCUCAAUAAUUAACAAAAAUUCCUUGAUUUUAUUACUAAUAUUUAUAAAUACAUAAUUAGUUAAUUACAACAAUUAAAUAAUAACCAAUUACUGAAUUAUAUAAUAAACUAUUUAGCAUAUAUAAUUAAUUAAUUAUAUAGUGUAUAUAUACCGUGAAUUGAAAACUGAAAUGACUUGGGAAACUUGAAAAAAGUUUAAGCUUGAAACUUGAAAGUGGAAGGUGGAAACUGGAAAGCUUCAAAAUUGGGUUCGGGUGGAGAGGAUUCGGCCUUCAAGCAGCAGAUCGGUGGCCACGGCUCACGGUUGGACGGACGGGAUUUCACUUGGCAGCAGAUUGCGGCUUCACUUGGGAGUUGGCAGCAGCAGAUCGCGGAGAUGCGGACGGCUCACGGCUCACAGCUGGUCGCGAAUUCACUUGGCAGCAACAGAUCGUGAUUUCAGUAGUUGGCAGCAACAGAUCGCGUCUUGUGGUGGCUAGUUGCAGACUUGCGGGUUGCGGUUGCCUUGUUCAGUUGUUCAGUUGUUUGUGUUUGUUUAGUUGUUUGAACUUGUGAGUUGUGAUUUGUGGAGUUGUGGCUGACAGCGUGUGUGUGUGUGUUAGGUUUGCGAGUGAAUUGUUGAGACUUGAGUGACUGUGUGCAGCGUGUGUGUGUGCUGUGCAGCGUUUGUGUGUGCUGUGCAGCUUGUGACUUCUGUUCUGUUCUCUGUGUGUGCUGUGCAAGUGUGCAGCUUGUGACUUGUGUUGUGUGUGUGCAACAACGUAUGUGUGUGUGGCUGUGUGUUGUGCAGCUUGCGACGUGUGUGUGUGUGCUGUGCAGCAGCGUAUGCGUGUGUGGUUGUGUGUUGUGUGCAGUGUUGGGCUAUUAGCUUAGGUUUUUUUUUUUUUGGAAACCCGAUCGGGUAUUCGGAUCGAAUCAGAUCGGAUAAAAUGCCCACCCCUAAUCACUUCCCCACCUUCCCCCUCCUCCUCCUUUACACAAAUGAGACGACCAAAAUUAAUUGCAAACUAAUCUUUGUCUUGUAUCUUUACUCUUUUAUCAUUGCCUGUCUGAACUUGUAUCAUAUUCUUUAACAAUACCCAUUGCCUCUUUCUUGUUUGCAUGCGAUUGACCUUCAAAGCCGCCUGUCAUAUGGAGUUUAGUAGCAUCACUCUUCUAGAUGCCAAUAUUGGUUGCAUUUGACUGCCACUUGUUGGUCAAUCGCAAAUAUCUUCUCAACAACCGGUGAAUGGUAGCUUCACAAACACUAUUUGCACCACCACCACAGUCACGGUGAUUAGAAAAUGACUGUUUACUGUUUGGCUUGACUCGGUCACUGCUUUGCCCACUGUUUAUUUUCGACUUUCCAGUUUUCUUAUAUAUAUAUUUCACAAGCCAUUAAAGUCUAAUGAUUCUCGAGACUUUUUAGGCUGGUGCGAGUGCAAAGCUGGUUCCAGCCGAAUCAUAAUACCCUGUGAUCAUCAAACUAUUGAUAAUGGCUAUCCAAAAGCACUUUCUUAAUAGGAAAUCAAAGCGGGGCCCACUUCGUUGCAGAAAAAAUCUGGAAAAUAAAACAGUGAAUCUUGACAUUUGUUAGAAAAAAAAAAUCUAUCCUUUUCUCAAUGACACGUUAGUUGGGACAUUACAUGUGCAUCGUCAUCAUCUCGUUGCAUGAACUGUUGUUAAGAGAAGAAUCCAAUCAAACGCCAGCAGAUUAUCAUCAAACAUAUCUUUAAAAUUAAUUGAUUAUGCUGGGUGAUGCAAGGCGUUGACGUCAUCACCUUGGACUUUUCCACCUUCUCACGACCACCAGAUAAUCAAUAAUUAACAUGAUUUAGUAGUUUAUUUUUAUUUAAAUUUUUAAUUGCACUUGAAUUUUUUUAUUUAAAUAAUGAGAGAAUCACGAUUUUUUUUUUUGGGUUAAUUUUGUCCUGCCCCAACUGUUUCAAUAUUUUUCACCACGCACCCAUAUAUUUUAAAAAUAUUCAUUCUACACCCAAUUCCGUUAAUUUAACCGUUUAUUCUAACGGUCAAAGGAUAAAUUUAGAAAUUCAUAUCCUAAAUAUUAUUUGAUGAUGAUAAAUUAAAUUUAUUUGAUAAUUUAAUUGAUGAAAUUAUUAUUAAUUACCUUUAAAUAAAAUUUUUUAAUAUAAACAUUAAUUAUUAAAUUAAUAUUUUAUCUCAUUUUAUUUUUUUUAAAUUCAAGAUAAGGGGUAUUUCGGACAUUUAUUUAAAUUUCAAAUAGUUCUGUUAAACAUAACGGUCAAAUUAACGGAAUUGAGUAUGGAGUGAGUAUUUUCAAAAUACAUAGGUGCGUGGUGAAAAAUGUUAAAACAAUUGGGGGUAGGACAAAAUUAACCCUUUUUUUUUUUUUGUAAAAUCAUAUAUAUGGGGGAAUGGGAGGUGGUAGAAAUAAUUUUGGUCCCGCGGAGCAGAUGAUAACUCUAAAGGGUACUCGAAACACGUAGGGGAUGGCGGCCGUGUGAUGCCACGCCGUGCUACAAUCAUCAUGAAUCAUGACCGCGGAUGAUGCAUCUCAUGACGUGGCAGCCAAUGGCAGGUGAGUACUUUUAUUCUGUGCCACGUGGCGGGCCAGAUGUGUGACAUCAUGCACACAGUACCGACACGGUUCAUCGAUUGCGGCAUGCGUCGUUUGGUUGGCGCGAGCUUCGGGCACCGUCCUUGAGCGGCUUUUUGUCUUCGCUGUGGGGUACUGUGCGCUGCCACGUGGGCGCGCGAUUCAACAAACCAAACUGUGUUAAAUUACUUGAGAUAAUUAAGCCGAGAAGAAAGAGAAUAUAUUUUAAGAUUAUUGCGCAACCAAUCAUUAAAGUCUCCAAAUGGGCGUGUUUAUGGAUAACCAUUGUGUGAAUGCUUGUCUGAUUGAAGUUGAUGGUUGAAGGGUCUCCAAUAUAAAGGGUAGAAUUUGGAGAACUCGUAAUCAGAUUGAAAAUUAUAAUAUCUUAAAAAUAUUUUAAUUAAUUUGUAUUUUAAUUUAAUUUUAUUAUUUAUUUAGAGUUAUAUUAUUUAAGCAUAGCUUAUUUUAAAUGUAUUCCUUAUUUAGGUAUGAGUUUUUUUUUUGUUGUUGGAAAAUGUAGGUAUAAUUUUUGUUAAAAUAGAUUUUCUACUUAAGUUAGGACAUGUUGCAGUUAGUACAAAUAAAAUAUCCUUUACAGUUUUUAUAAGCAGGCUUUGAUAUGGAUGGCAACCGGGUGGAGUGGAGGUGGGGAGACCUAUCUUAUUUCCCACCUUAUUAAAAAAUUUACCUCUAUUUUCUAAUAAAUUUAGUGGGGUAGGGAUGGAGAAUCUCCACGUGGGGAAUAAUUUUCCCAUCUCCACCUCAUUUCCAAUUUAUUUAUUUUAUAGUAAAUAUAAAUACAUGAGUUCAAUAAAUUAAAAAUUAAAUACUUAAAUAGUUCAAUAAAUUAAAAAUUAAAUACUUAAAUAAAAUCAUUAUCAUAUUAUAAAGUAUUUAAAUUAUUUUAAAAAAAUCUCCAAAUGUUUGAAAUAAUAUCUUGAAACAAUAUCAAAAUGAAAAAUAUCUCCAUUUAUCUAUCAGCUUACAUUUUUUAUCCUUCCACUGCAUCAAUUUCAUUGCAGAGCUUUCUUCUAUAGAGCAUCACUAAGCAUGCUUUUAAAUUUCAAUUUUUAUUUCCAUACAAAUUUUAUUUUAUUUUACUAUUUUCUACUAAUAUGAAGUUUAGAGUUAGAAAAGUAAGAUAUCAGUUAUAAGCCCAAAAUUAUUUUUGAGAGGGUCAAAAGUAAUUUUGAAAAGUUAAAGUUAAUUUUAGUAUUUUAUUUUGCUAAAAACCAUGUCUUUUACGACAGAUUUUGAAAAGUAAGAGAGGAGUAUUUUUUUAAAAUUUAAUUUUGAAAAUCAAUUUUAUACUAAUAUAAUUUCAUAUAUAUUAUAAAAAUCCAAAAUUAUUCUUAUUUUUAGAAAAUGAAAUCAUUAAAUUUAAAGAGAUAAUAAUUAUUAUUACCAACUAGGUUAUUUUUUUUAUUGCACCAACUAGAUUGAGAUAACAAAAAAAUUAAUAGAAUAAAAAUAUGUAUUUUAUUUACUAAUUAUUUUAUUUACAGUAUUUACCACACACACAUGUGUAAAAAUAUGUAGAUAAAUUAUAUUUAAUAUUACGUCUAUUUAUAUUCUUAUAGUAGUUUAACAAUAAGAACUACUAAAUAACUCUGGCUACUUUUAAAAUUGAUAGUAUUUAAAAAAAAUAAAUCUUAUUACAAGUUAAAUUAAUUCUUUUUAUAGUUGAUUAUUUUUAUGGUACAACUAUGAAUUAUUUUAAAAUCUAUAAAAAUUGGCCCGUAAACUAAUUUUUUAUCAUUGUGUGAUAAUAGAAUUAAAAUGAUAUUUUCUGUUACGCCAAAAAAAAAAUGUAUUUUCUCUUUAGCAAAGUACAGAUUCAAGUGAUAGGUAACUACUACGUAGGUUGAAUGAAUGUUGAAUGCCCACAAUUACAACCACACAGGUCAAACAACUAUUUGAUAAUUGGAAUUUGAAUUCCGGACUAGCAUUUCGUCCGUGUGUCCCCAUGUCUAUUUCUUCUUGUAAUUUUUUAUUUUUUGUAUCUUUCUCUUUAUUUCAAUUUUCAUACACCGCGUCAUAGGGAUGGCAAUUUUUCCCGAUGGGAUGGGAUUCUGCGGGAUCUCAUCUCAUUUAAGACGGGAUUGAGAUAUAUUUUUGUCCCAUAAAAAAAUUUAGGGACAGGAUUGAGACAUUUUUUUUAUCCCAAUUACAUAUGCGGAAUGGGAGUGGGAUUGAUAAAUUCCGUCCCAUCCCGUCUCAUUACCGAUUAAGAAUGAAAAUUUUUUUAAUUGGGAUGGGAUUCCGCAAGAUCCCAUCUUUUUUGGGACGGGAUUAAGAUAUAUUUUUGUUCCAAAAAAAAUAUAAGAACGGGAUUGGAAUAUUUUUUCAUCCCAUUUGCAUAUACGGGAUGGGACUGGAAUUGGUAAAUCCCAUCCCAUCCCGUCCCAUUGCCAACCCUACCGCGUCAGCUUAUGCCUGCUAUUAAUUAAGACGCCAUACUCUUUUCUUUUUUUUUUUUUGCUGGUAAACGUCGCACAACACCUUCAAAUCAAACCAUUUCUAGACUUUCCGGAGAAAAUUUAAGCCGUUUCUUUGGCACCUAUUGGAUCAGAAAAGACCCAAUAACAUAAAAAAAAUAUCAAUUCAAUUCACCAUUGUCCAUGUACGUGUAUCAAACAUCAAAUAUAAUAUAUAACAACAUGAUAAUAAGAUAGCGUAAGAGAAAGUUGUGCACCGACUGUGGGACAAGAGCGUAGAGGUGACACAAUAAUAUUAAUAAAAUGAGCACAUAAUAUAUAUAUAUAUAUAUAUUGACACAAGUUAAACGUCACCAAGAAAUUACGAACGCGUAACCAAUUGCCUAACUGCCGUUGACGCAUGACUCUUUCAAAAUGCUCAACUCUUUUAUCAUCACCUCUCUCUCUCUCUCUCUCUUUAUAUAUCAUUCCUCCCCCCUACAUUAUUCUCGGUACCACUCACUACUUAAUUACCCUUUUAAUCUCUCUCUCUCUCUCUCUCUCUCUCUCUUUCUCUUUGUUUUUUCAAAUUUUAAUUAAAUUAUUCUGCAAAAUAAUUAAUAACCAUGCAGCAAGCUAUCCCCUACAAAUCGUGGCAACCCUUUGAUCCCCUGAGCCAUUCAUCGGUAUCGACGAGCAGCAAGAGGGCCGUACGAGGGCCUAGCAUUAAUACCACCGAUGUUGUCAGCAGCAUGGUGUCCGAGAAUGCGGUGAUCGUGUUCGCGAAGCGCGGGUGCUGCAUGAGCCACGUGGUGAAGCGUCUGCUCUUGGGGCUUGGUGCGAACCCUUGUGUUUACGAAGUUGAUGAAGGGGAUGACGAGGCUAGUGUUCUGGAUGCAUUGGAAAUGAUUGUUAAUAAUAAUAAUAAUAAUAAUGGUAGUCACGAUGAUCGUGAUCGCCAGAAGGUGCAGUUCCCAGCUGUGUUUAUUGGGGGGAAGUUGUUUGGCGGGUUGGACAGAAUCAUGGCUACCCAUAUCACAGGUGAACUGAUUCCCGUUUUGAAAGAAGCUAAGGCCUUGUGGCUCUGACGGAUCUUUUUCUUUUUCUUCUUCUUCUUCUUCUUUUUUGUCUUAUUUUGAAAAAUCUUUUCAAGUUGUAUUAUUGGAUUAUACAUAGGUUCUUUUUUAUUGACCUUGUUUAGGGGUGAUUAGGGAGACGGGGUUUAUUCUUUCAAGUUUCAGAACUGGGAAUUGAUGUGAUUUUGUAUUAGAGCUAGCAAAAGGAAUACAAAAUUACCAAGGGAUGGAUUUUAUUCUUGUUCAAUCUUUUUCCUUUCUUGUUGUUGAUUGGAGGAUCGAGUUCAAUAGUUUUCCUCAAUGGGAAUUUUAUCUUUUUUGACCGUUUGGUAAUUAUUAGCUGUUUCCAAUAAUUACGUUUUGUGAAUAUUUUUUUACUUUAUGCAGAGGAAAGAAGGAUUGAGAUUGAAAUACAAAUAAUGAAAUCAUCACCAUUCAAAUUAAUUUUAAAGAAGGUAAAAAAAAAAAAAAAAAAAAGAAAAAGAAAACAUCAAAAGUGAAAAUUAGAAUUGAGUGAAAGGGUCGGAAUCAGAAAAAGAAAAUACUCUUUCCAUCACAUGGAGGUUAGUUAUGUUUGUCUGUCCCAUAUGACAAGCUAAUGUACCUAACUGACUUGAUUUGUAAGCACAUCACAUGUUGGGCAAAUGUUUCCUUUUUCCUUUCACUAGAAAUUAAAUUUUUUUUGUUAUGUACCAUAGAGCAGGACAUAGGGCAAAAGCACCUCUUCGUUCUUACUUUCUGCAACGCAAGCAACAUUAUAGUCCAGAAAAUUAUUAAGCGCGCACCACCACCACCUCCAAUCCUCCAUAUAUCGCAACUGAAAAUGUAAAAAUAUUAUAAAUAAUUGAACUAAUUUCAAAUAAUUAUUUCUAAUUAUUAUCAUUAUUUGUGAAAUCCUUCUCUAAGAAAUUACAUUAUUUCUAUUAACACCCACUUGAGAGCAGCAGACUGCACUCGGCUCAGGAACAGUUUCCAAGAAAAAGGGCCGAAAAGGCCCAAAACUGGUCCAAUAUAUUAUACUUGAAAAAUGACAUUUUCUAUUUUGAGUGGAGCCUUUAACAACCCUCUACAAUCUUUAUAAUACCUCUUCUGAAUUUUAUUUUCUGAAAUACUCCCAGUUUUAAUUUAUAAAACACAUAAUUAUAUAUAUUUAAAAAAUAAAAGUUAACCAUCUUCCUAUAAAUUUUUACUCCAAAAAGGAUACGUCUUUUAAGGUUUCAUUAUAAAAUACAAACAAAUUCUAAAAUUUUUAAUUAUUUUCAUCUUUUUAUAUUAUCUGUAUCGCAAUAACUCAAAAAUCUUAUAAUUUUCUUUGAGAAAAUAUUUUCUAAUUAAAUGUGAAAAUAUAAAUAUAAAUUAUAAAAUGUGGUGGGUGUAAAAAUUUUGUUAAAAGAAUAUUUUAUUUUUGAAAAUAAAAAAUAAUUAAUUUGUCUUUGGUUAGUUAGGUAAUUUUAAUAAGAAAGAUAUUUUACGAGGAAUUUCGAGGAGCGUAGCGAAGGCCUACUCUUCUGUUUGAUAUUUUGGUCAGAUGAUAUGUAGUCAUAGACCUUUCGAGCAGCGGCGGAACGAUACUAGCGCUCUGGGGUUGCUUCCAACUCUUUGAAAACUUUUUAAAAGUAAAAGUUUUUAAGGUAACCCCAACUUGUUUUUUGAAAAUUUGUGAAAAGUAGCGUAAAAAUUAAGAAGUUUUCAAAGUAAUCCGAAACUUAUUUUUUUAAAAUUUUUGAAAGAUGCAGUAAAAAGAUAAAAAGUGCAAAAAAAUUUAAAAAGGCGGGCGAAGUUUUUUGUUUCUUUUCUCUCCCAAAUUUAUAAUUUAUAACAUGAACUUCAGAUUUUACGUUACGAUUUACCCGUUAAUAAAAAUCCAAAUUUGCUAUAAAUAUAUAUAUAUUCAUGAACCACCUAAUUAAACUAGAAUUUUAAUUAUGCGCUUUUGAGUAAUUUACUUUCAGUUGUAAUUAUUUUGGUAUUACUAAAUUGGGGAAACCUGUGGUGCAACUGUGGUACAGUGCUACAGUUGCAUCCAACCGUUGGAUGUCAGUGGACCCCACCAAUCUAAGUGCAUCCAACGACUGGAUACAAUUAUGAUACGGUACUACAGUUGCACCGUAACCUGAUCUACUAAAUCGGUAUGUUUCAUUUUUUUCUCUCAUAUAUGUUGACAUUAAACAUACAGUCAGAUCGUAUUUAUCAAAAUCUAUAUUACCGUGAGAUCAAAAUUGCGAAAGAAGCAGCAGGGAUUUGUUCCCUAAUUAGUUCCCAAAACGUCGAGUCCACGUAUGCAUUAAAAACAAUAUUUUGACGAGGGGCUCUGGCUUAGUGGCUGUCAUAUUCCGAAAUUAUAACUACAAUGAAUUCGUUGUAAUUAUUUUGCACGUUAACCACUCAGAUAUUUGAAGAGCCGGGCUUAAGGUGAGAUUUGAUCAAGCUCGAUUCUAACAACACGUUUAGUUUCAAACAAGUUGAAUUAUUUUAUUUGAGUCUUUUCUUUCUUAUCAUUUUGGCUGUCACCUUCAAUACUGCUCCUAAGCUGUAAGAAAUAUUUUAAUAUGAUCCAACAAUUUGGAAUAUGUUUAUUUGGCCCAAUUUUAAACUAACUUACGAUACUAAACUCAAUUGAAAAUUCACCGAAAUUUGAUUUGCCAAUUGGUUUAUGGACAAGGAUCAUCAUCUUAAUUUUUUUUUUCCUUCUCCUAAUCUUUUUUAAUUUAAUAAAUGGUUGAUCUUGAAUUUUAAAUUUUGAUAUUAACGAUCAAUUUUUUUUUACUUUAUUUACAAUUAAGCUAAUUUUUUCACUAAAUUUUAAAAAAAUUAAGAGAAACAAGGAGAGAGAAAAACUAAGGAAAAAAAAAAUCUUACUCCUUUAAAUAUAUGAUACAAGGAAUUAUUAGAGUACAAUAUGAGCAUUUGCUUAGCUUUAGCUAUAAAGAAUAUAAUAGAAAAUGUUUCGAUAGUUGAUAGAAAAAAAAAAGAGACAUAUAUUAGUAAUAAAUUAAAAUCAUAAAUACACCUCAACUUUAUAUACACAAGCACGUAUAAUGCGAAUGAUGGGCAUAUGAGUUGGUCUUGUUGCUGGACAUGGAAAAUCAUAACGGUUCGAGUAUUCGAGUAUAACAUGCGAUCCACUCUUCAUAAAUCUGCUUAUAAAUUAAUAAAAUUGUAACUUAAAUUCUAUAAUUCAUUAAUGGGUUUGGUUUAUCUACGAACUAGAAUUGAAUCGUAUUCAUACUUUAAGAGAAAUAAGCUAAGGCAUGAUAAAUUAAUCAUACAGCGCAAAAGAAAACAAAAAUGAAAUAGAAAAGAGAAAUACAAAUAAUAACAUGAAUUGAUAGAUACAUAUGGUAACUUGAGAGAGCUCAUCAUGCCUUUAAAAAAAUAAAAAAAAAGGAAAAAUAAUAAAAUAACGAAUAAAAACAGAAAAAGAAAGUAAUGGCAACACUAUCUUCACUUAAUGGUUAAGAAAGAACCCCCAUGCAAAGCAACGCAAGCCCAGCGACAAACCCUAAUCCUGCAUUCAAUCUCCCACCGGCGCCAGUUUUAUCAUCGGCAGGAGCAGGCUCACUGGCUGCCGGCACCUUCUUGUUGGAACCCUCCGUUGGUUUCUUCCCCUCCGGCGCAGGAGCAGCCGACGGAGAUUUAGCUGCCGACAGCUCCUCAGGCAGCAAAACCUUGUCCACUUGGUAUACUGCGAGUGGAAAAUUUUGCCUUAAGACACUGUUAAUGGGAGUCUCAACAACCCCAGAUGACACAUUCACUUGGUUACCCUGUCCGGUGAAGUUUAGGCCCCAGACGUCUUGUCCUGAAGCCAGAGUCCUGACGGGGUUGCUGACUAAUAAAAGAUCGCUCUGCCUGUAGAAUUUAGAGGUUACAUGGUACAAAACAAGCUGCACUUGCUUCUGGUUGUCGAGGUUGUUUAGGAGACCCUUUUCGAGGUUGUUGAAAGCGUUGUCGGUGGGGGCAAAGACUGUCAUGCCUUCGGAGGAGCUGUUGAUUUGGCUUUGGAUUUGGUUUGCUACUUGUGUGGAGAUUAGGAGCUUGAUGAAUGUCGUGAAUUGGCCAUUCUUGUCGAGAAUUCCCGUCAGAUUUACGGGGCCAGCGGGGGCCGGGGCCGGGGCUUGGGCUUGGAUUUGGGGAAGGACAAGGAGGAGGACGAGGGGGGCUAAUGUUAAGAGAAUGUGAGAGGCUGAGGCAGCUGCCAUUGUUGAUUGAUGUGGUGGUGAUGAUGUGCGGUGAAAGCUAAGGGGAUUUAUGGGAUAAGAUGUGGGGGUAGGACUUUGUUGGAAUGAGCUGGCUAUGGUAAUGUAGUUAGAAACUUGAGUCAAGAAAAACAACUUAAAAAUUGGUAUGUUUAUUUUAUAUUAAGAUUGAAAAAAAAAAAAGGUUCAAUUGGGAGAAUAGCCUUUGUAUAAUUCAUGCAUAUAGCUAAUGUGUAUGAGUUCACUCGAGAAAUUAAUUAAUGAAAUUUAAAGACUUUCUGUGGUUUUGCCAAAUGCCUGAUAUUUUAAUGGUAGUUGGGUUUAUUUAUUAAUUUGAUUGGGGUAUCGGAUGGACCGUAUGGCAGCUAGCUGGCCUCUCUCAUCUGGCAAUAAAAAAUGAAAAACUGGAAUAAGUCAACAUUAUUAAUUUUAACCAAUCUAUUGGCCAUUAAUUUUUAUAGUACGCUAGGAGUUGUUAUUGUUUUCUUUUUUAUUUAUUGAUUCUAUAAUUUCAAUCUAUAAAUUGAAAAAGAAACCUUGUUUCGCAAUAGAAAAAUAUAUGAAAUGUUUUCAUCAAACAAAUAAUAUUAUCAAGUGAAAAAAAAAGUAUUAUAUAUCAAAACAAUAUUUCCAAACACCUCUAAAUUAACUGCUAAUUUCUUGAAAGACAACCCCAAUUGGAGCAGAUGGUGUAUAAGAGAGGCUCAAUAAUAUUAUUGUUUCAAUAAUUAAGUUAUUUAACCAAUGCAAUGUGAGGGAGGUUUGAGCUAAGAUUGAUCAAAGCUAACCCACUCAUCUCUGAUUAUUUAAAUUCAGUUUCUGGUGACAAACAGAAAGAAUACAAGCGUAUAUCCUCAAUUUGGCAGCCUGGCAUUGGCAGGGCAUGUGGGAAUACGAUGCCACCAGCAACUGCUCAGCAUGUUUACAAGCAAUGAUUGAUGUGCAGGAAUAUUUAUAAAAGAGUGUAUAUAUUAUAAUUGUGUUUAUGGAUAAUGUUUUUGUUGGUCCCAUUGUCAAUUUACAACCUCCCCCAAUACAAUAAACAAAAAAUUUAAUUACCAUCUAAUUAGUUUAGAAGAAUUACUUUAAUUGGUCAAUUAAUACUUCAACAAGUUACUUUAAUUUUAACUUCUAAUUGGAACAAAUGAACAACUUUUGAGACCACAGCUAGCAUAACAAUUGACAUUAUACAUAGCAAGUGACCCAAAAAAAAAGACUAAACAGCAAUUAAUUAAUUAGUGACUCAAAACAAUCGUAUUGAAUAUUCAUUAUUAGCUUGAUAAGGCGUUAACUGUUGAAGUGUCCCUUACUGCAUUCAUAUCUGUUAUUUCUGGCAAUACGAGACAAGCACAUCAACGGCGGAGCUAAAUUUCUUGUUGUCACGAUGAAGAAGACUAAUUAACGGCCGGAUAAGAUUAGUUUGCUGGCCUGUCAUAUUCCAUUGGAUACAGAAGAAAAAUGGUCAGUGCUAACAACCCUUUGCUUGUAUAGAAUUAAGAAAUUGUUAUUAGUGACAAUUUGGAACCAACCUCGCGUGCAUUCUUAUAUUCCGCCCCAUUUUAAAUUUAAGCAAAUCAAAUUUACCAUGAUUUAUAAUAAUCACGUACUUACAUUCUAAUUCCUAUACAUGAACGGCUGCAAAGUCUGGGAAUAUGCCUCAGUAAUUCAUCUUCGUUAAUUUUAUACUUGACAGGCUAAUUUGAAAGGCCUCUAGCUAAAUUCUUCUGGGUAGCAUGCAUAUAUGCGUACAACACUCAGAGAUGGACACAGCCAACUUGUUUAGUGGGGCUCAAAACUCAAAGGGAUGGAAAAUUAAACAAUCAUUGGAUAUUGGGAACUUUCUUUCAAAAUGAAAAAUAGGGAUGGCUUUUAACAUAUUUGACAAUUCUUACAAUACUGAGAGGUGGUAUUUAUAAGUUAAUAAUAUCGAUAAUAUAAAGGCCGGGGCUAGCUGUGCAAUCAAAGAAAAAGUAUAUGUAAAUUUCAACUGUCGAAAACAAGCUAUAACAAAACUAACAGGCCUCAUUUAUUCCAACACUGGGUCAAUCAAAUCAUGCCAAAAAUGUAUGCUAGGUGGCAAAUAUAUGAAGCAUGUGAUUUGCAUUCAUGACACAUUUAGAGCGGAAAAAAGCCCAAGCAAAAGAAAUACAAUAUAAUGAAUCAUACAGUAGCGCUGGACGUGCUUCGAAAUUUUCUUGUAAAAAACUUUUGUCAGUAAAAAUUUAAUGGAAAAAAAGUACAGUGUACAUGCGUCUAAUUUCACUGCAGAAGUCCUUUUUCUGAUCAGAUUGCUCUCCUCCUCGUAAGCUUUCCACUUAAUAGUCAAUUCGAUAGUUUGUUAAUACGACGCAUGGCGAUACCCUAUACCAUCUUCUCAAAUGUUGAUGUAGGUAAAAUUUUAAAAAACAUAUCUAUAAAAUUUUUUAUGCAACAUAUGUAUCUGUUUUUUAUAAAUCUUUUUAUUUUGUUGGAACUCGAGGACAUAGAAAAACUUCAGUAAAAUGUGUUUUGUUCUAUCUCAUUUAAAUAUCUUCCUUUUCUUUGAGUUAUGCAAGCAAUAUUAUCUUCAGAUAUCAGAUAAGUGGCUCCGCCCAUGAAUAAAUUCAAGGCUUUUCAAUAAUAUUGGAGCAUAUAUUUAAACAACGCUAUAUGAGAUUUAAUAGAUAGAGUUUUAAAAAACUUCUAAGUAGUAAUAAGUAAAGAUGGGUAAAUUGGGUUUCAAUUCUAAUUAUUCGGGUUUCAAUUUGGAUUACAACCCCAUUAGGACGAAGACUUGAAAACGCAAACUCAGUGACACAGUGAGUUUGUGAUUGUGGGAGUAAGUGAGCCGUGAUUGUGAGAUGAGUGAGCAGUGUCAGCAACCGGGGGGGGGGGGGGGUUGUGGGCUGCAACAGUGCGGCUGGGGGGUUGACUGUGCCAUUGUUGGUUGGGGUUAGGCUACAUAUAUAUAUAUAUACUGAAAUUAUGAUCAAUCAAAUGGUAAUUUUCAACCCAUUCGAUAGAGGUGGCUAAACGAAUCGAAUUCGAAUCGAAUCGUAUAUGAAUUGGGUCAAAAUUAUAUUGAUUUGGAUUCGAUUCAUUAUUAAAUGAAUUGAAAUCUCAGAAUUCGGAUUCGAUUCAUUUAUUAAACGAAUAUUCGGUUCUAUUCAUUUAAUUUGUUUAGUAGAAUUAAUAAACGAAUCGAAUCAAAUCUACAUUCAUUUAUUAUUCAUUUAUCCUAUUACAAAUCCAUAAUAAAUCAAAUGGAAUUAGGAUUUGUUUACAAUUCGUUUAGAAAAAUAUGAUUAAUAAACAAAAUUAAGUAAAAUAAAAUAUAAAAAAGCCCCAAAUUUAAUAUCCUACAACAAAAUACAAAUAACCCAAACCAUAUUUUAGGAUUAAAUAUACAUUCAUCCAAAUUACAAUAUUAACCUUCAAAUUUUAAAAAUUUUCAAACUAAUUUAAGGACAAAAAAAUAAUUUAAUUAAACGAAUAAUAAACAAAUUUUAAAUGAAUUGACUUGUAUUCGAUUCGUUUAUGACCCGUUUAUUAAACGAAUUCUAAAUGAAUAAAUGAAUCAAUAUCUUCAAACACUUAGCGAAUUAAAUCAAAUUCACCCAUUUAUUAAACGAAUUAAUUUUUUCAAUUAUAAACAAAUUUAAUUUGCAUCGAAUCGAAUCGAAUCGAGUAAACGAAUCCUGACCUAUAUUGCCAUCCCUACCAUUUGAAUUUUAUAGGUUAACCCGAACUAAACGCCCACCUAUAGUAAUAAGAUCCCAUAGCCAUUUUGGUCGACCAAAUUAAAACAACUACACAAGAAAAGUUCCUUUAAUCACGAAGUUGUUUUUGCUGCUCUUCACAUUAUAGUUUACUCCGUCCCCUUGAUUGACACACCUUUUCCUUUCGCCCAUAGAAAUAAUAUCCUAAAUUAAAAGACCAAAACCAAACCAAGUUGUCUGCGGAAAAAUAUUGUUUAGCUAUUGUAACACUACAUUUGAGUUUGAGGACUGUUAAAUAUUUAAUAAAUAAAACCAAUGGAUUCAUAAUUCAUUCGCCUUUGCCAGUUUGCCUCACAGUUGGAUUUCUUUGUACAACUUUCAGCCUCGAAUCUUGUUUCGGGUAAGUCAAGUAAGGACCAGUUAGUCAGCCCAAUAAACAAUAAAACCUGUAAGGCCCAGUGCAUAAAUAUCAAUUUCCGCCCAUAGAAAUAAUAUUACAAAAAUUAGUACAUUAAAUAACCAUCCCCUACUCUUCUUCCAUAGGUUGAUUAAUUCAAUUAUCUUAAACCUUAUCCAGCACCUUUAACAAGAAGGAUAUGCAUUUGAAUAUAUCCCCUCUUUAGAAGUAUAGAUACCUAUAUUUUAAUUUAUCAAAUAAAUGAAACACACACAUACAUAUACACUUGCACCAACACCACUAAUUUUACUAGAAUUAAUUUUGAAUUAUCCCCUUUGAAUUGAUUAUUUCUAAAUCAUCUCUUAUUUCUAAAAACCUCAAUUUAACUUUUUUUUGUUAAAAGACAAAAAAAAAAUCAAUUCAUCCCCAAUUUUUUUUCUUAUCUUUUGAACAAAAAUUAAAAUAACUUGAGAUUUUAAAAAGUAAUAGAAUGAUUUGAAGAUAAUCAAUUUAUGAGGAAAUAAUAUGAAAUUUACAUAUUUUACAAUAAAGGAAUUGCUUACUUGAUUUCUAAUGUAAAAUAUAACAUUUUAGUUAAAAUAUGAAAUCUUUUAAAUGGUGGUUAGAUUCCCAUACAUGAAUCUUUUAUUUUAACUAAAAUACAAAUUCUGCAUUGGAGAAUAAGUAGGCGAAAUGUUGUGGUAAGUAAUCUCAUAACACAAAACUUCAAUAUGGUUUACGAAGCCUCCCAAAAUCAUUUAGGAAUACAUUGAAUAAAGGGAUAAUCAAGUGCGCAUCAUCAUAUCAGCCCAUAUAGCAUUAAGAUAUUAUAUCAGCUUUAUAAUAAAUAAAUAAUAUCAUAAUAAAUAUGUAUUUAUAUCAAUUUUUAUUACAUAUGUCAUAUUUAACUUAUCUCAAAGUGAGCCGUUAUCCUUAAUUAUUUUGAUUCGAAUUGUUUAUGUUACUUCUAAUAUAUUUUAAAAUUUUAGAAUAUGAACUAUUACAUAAAGUGUCCAUUUGGUUAAAAUUCAUAUUUAAUGUGUCUAUAUAAAUAUAAAAAAAUCAUGACUAUCUUAAAAUUACUUUAAAAUAAAAUACGAAUCAUAACUAUAUAUAUAAAAUAAUAAAUAAUAAAAAAUAUAUUAUAAUUUUAACCGCGUAAUUAUAAAAGGUGUCCGACCUCAUAACGGUUUGAAUAUAAUCGACCCAGAAAAAAAUCCUAAAAUACGGAACCUCGCAUGAAGAGAAGAUCUAAAACUUCUAGGAUUCACGAAUAAAAGCAAGCAAAGGAAGCAUCUGUGGACUGCUUAAAACUCAUCACAAAAUCUCUCCGACAAGAUCUCUCCAUGUAGGCACCUGGACCAGACCCCACCAUCCAUUAUCACUUUUUUUUUUUAAAUUCUGAAACUAAAAAAAUGAUUAUUCUUUCUUUCCCCGCACACCGGCCACCGCUAUUUCAUCAAAACCGCCCACAGAAACGAAAAAUUAAUUUUUAUAACAAAACCAAAAGGUUAAAUUCUCUCUCUCGGUUCAGUUUCCAAAUCUCGCGAAACGAAGCAUUUGUGGCGGUGGUGGAUGGCAAGAACUAACAAAUACACGUCCAUUAAUUUCAACCACGUACUGGAAAAGAACCUCCCCGCCUCCGGAACCGCAGCUAGCAACGCCGGGACCCCUACAAAUCAUGCCUCCUCUUCGUAUUCCUCUGUCGCUUCUCCCAAUAGUCACUUGCACGCGGCUCGUACCCAUGGCCGUAUGCUGGUUCUGACCAAACCGACUCCCAAACCGAUUUCCAUCACUCCGCCGUUGUCUCCGCCACCUGCUUCGUCCUCUUCGUCGUCUGCGCAGACCCAGCAACCUCAAAUGCAAACCCCAGAUCUGAACCGGACCGAACCGGGUUCGGAUCAGAUUUCUCUGCGUCCGCUCGGUCGAACUGGAUACGGUUCGGAGUCUUUCUCUCCUGUUGUGGGGCAGCAGGAUAGGGAGAAGGAAGUUGGUUCAGUUGUUGCUGGAUCGCCUAAACCGGGGAAGUUCGUGCCGCCCCAUCUGAGGCCGGGUUUUGUGGCAAAAGAGGAGAGGCCUGGACCGGAUGCUAUUCGAACCAGAGAGUCGGGUCAAAAGCAUUCUGGAUCUCCGGGUCGGUAUGGAGAAGAUGGGCGUCCCAAAUCUGGUGGUUAUGAGAGAUUAAGGAGAGGUGGUGAGCCGGAUCAUGGUUUGAUGAGUCGACCCAGGUCAAGUGGGAAUCGCCCCAGUUCUAGUGGAUCAUGGUAUGGUUCUUACUCAAUCUUAUUUUCAUUGAUUCUUUUUUCAGCUGAUUGUUUUAGUUUCAGAUAUUAAAUUAUAUCAAUUUCCAUUUUUUCAUGUGAUUAUAUAGCUAAUAUUCACGCUUCUAAAAUUUCAAUCCUCGUUUCCUUGUUGUGUGAUUGAUUAUGUGUCUUCGGUGGUUACCAUCUCCUAUGAGCAUCCGUUGGUAUCAUAUAUCUGCGCAUCAUCCUGUCUUUCUACUGGAAUCAUGAUAUUCAGCUAAUUAGGUUAUUUGCAUAUCUCCGUUGCAUUUUGAUGAAUCCUCUUUGGGUUAAUUCUCGUUAACUUAGGUCCCCAAUUAUCAUUCAUCCUUCUCAACAUCCCGUAAGAAGAAAAUUUAUUAAAUUAAUCUGCUGUGUAUUGGAAAUUCUAUACCAUUCAAUGUGGUUAAUUUUUUCUUUCUUUUAGUAUGUAAGUCUUCUUUCAAUGCUUGACUGUUGCCAUUGGCUUAUAUCGUAAUUGGAAAUCUGAUUUUGGGAUUCUAUGCUCAGUCUGCUAUUUAAAGCUUUUGAAAUCUGAAAGUGGGGCCUGAAUGAUGACUUGUCUUUGAUCUUGAUCGAGCCACUAAAGAUUGUGUUUGAAUUGUGAUGUUGGUUCGAAUAAACUCGGACCUGGACAAUAACUCCCAAAAUCUAGGUGUUGGGUUUAUAUGGUGUAUUUAUAUAUGUUACACAUUUUACAAAACCGUGAUUCUGUGUUUGUUUAUUGAUGCGUAACUUUCUUUGUUAAGUUUCUGGUAUGUAAAUCUUCCUUGAUAAAAAUUCUUUUAGUACAUAUCCAAUAUAUUGUGAUGUUCAUGGAAGAUGUGAAGGUGUAUCCUACCAAUGUCCACAUGGGUAUUUGACAUGGCGGUUGAAAUUGUACUUGUGUCUUCUAGUGUCUGGCAUGUCAAAUUUUCAGAAUAAGUUUCUUAAAAAAUGAUAGCCAUCAAUUGAAUGAAAAUGAGAGUUUUAUAUAGAGGUCUAUUUAGUGGGAAAUCAUGAUGGUGAUUCAGAUAUUGCUUCUGAUGAUGAAAUUCUGUGAUCCGUUCUGUUUGAAGAAUGUUUUUAAUAGAAUGGUCCAAAAUAAACUGAGAAUACCUUUGCCUCAACACUUCGUAAGGUUGUGAAGGCUCCUAGGGUGCGUUUGGCAGCUUGUCUUACACUAUAUUGCAUUGCAUUAAAACAAUGUUCUUAUGCUCAUCUGUGCUUGGCUUUAAUUUCUUGUUGCAUUGCACCGCAGUAAAAAGGUGAUUAAUACAAUAAAAGGUGUAUAAAAUAAAUCCACGAGGGUAGGGUUUAGGGUAUAUUGUAUUAAAACACUGUUCAUAUUUUAAAUAUAAUCAUAUAAUUUUUAUUUUUUUAAUAAUUUAACUUUUAUUUAAUCAUUUAUUAUUUUGCUAAAAUACUAAAUUUAAAAAUAAUUUUAAACUUAACAAUUAUAUUCACAUUAAUAAAGAAAAUAAAUGAAAAUAAAUAUACAAAAAUAAUUAUUUAAUACUUCAAAAAUUAAUAAUAAAACUCUAAAUAUUAAUAAAUUUAAAUAAUAUUAACAUUAAUAAUAUUAAUAAAUAAUUUAUUAAUAUUAACAUUGAUAUAAAUAAUAUUAUUUUGUGUAAUACAAUCUAUACUACAUUGAACAUAGUAUUGCGUCACAAUUUAAUGCAAUGCACACCAUGCAGUAAUCAUAUGGUGCGUUUGCUGCACUUUAUUAUAUUGUAUUAGUUGUAUUGCAUUAUAUUGUAUUAAGUUGUAAUACAAUACUAUCUUUAGUGUAAUAUGGACUAUAUUAUAUAAAACAAUAUUUUUCUUUUAAUAUUUGUAUUAAAUUAAUAGUUUAAGAUUCAUUAUAUUUUAUUAUUUUUUUAUAUUCAAUUAAUAAUUUAAAUGUUUAUAAUUAAAAUAGACAAUAUUCACCGCCGGCCAUCACAAGCUGCUGCAGGCUGCUGCAUGCUGUAUUUUAGUGUCAUUUGAACUAUAUUUUGGCACCAUUAGAAUCCUUAUUGUCGGGGCUACGCAAUGGUGCAACUAUUACCGUUAAAGGAAUUUUAUUUGCCAUAGAUUUAUAAUCAAUUUUUUUUCCAAAUUUUUUACUGUAUGUUUGCAGCAGAGGGAAGCUAGUAAUACCAUUGCAUAGUCUUGAUAAUAAGAAUUCUAAUGGUACCAAGUUUUAGUGCAAAACACUAUGUUAUGCGGUAGCCAUCGACCGCGCAUUUGAGUUUUUAAUUUUAUUUAAUAUUGUAUAUUUCAAUUUAUUUUUUAUUAUUUUCAUUAAAUAAAUAAAAGAAAAGCUAAUGUGAACAGUGUCAUAUCACACAAACCCGACCCUCCUUGGGUUUAUUUAAUGCAAUCCUAUGUAAUGUGGUGUGCCAAACACACCCAUAAUGCAAUACAACUAAUACAGUGUAAUGCAAUACAGUGAGCCAAGUGCACUCUUAAAGCAAUUGGGUGGUUGGGUGUUAGAUUCCUACUGGGUCAUCAUAAAUUCCGGGGACGGUUAAAUGAAUAUUGUGUAAUGUUUCAUACUCAAAUCUCUCAUAUGGGUUGGAUUUUGCGCCAAUCUUUAUCCAGUAGAUCUGCUUAUUUCUAUGUUUUCCUAUUUCACCCCAUGCUUUUUAAUGUUUGCAGGCUCCAUUUUUAUUGGUAAAAACUGAAAAAAAAGAAAAAGGUAGAGCUGUGGUAUAGACAACACAAACUAAGCUGUUCUUAUUAUUUCAGGCCAUCAUAUCAAGUGCUUUUCUCAUGUGAAAAGUUGGUGUAGGGGGGUGUGUACUACUUGCAGGCUGGUUGUUGCAAUUACAGUUAUCUGAAGACUGACUAGUGUUAUUUUUAGCUAGAUAAUUCCGCAAUGCGUGUAGGGCAUAAAGGAUGUCGCCAUAACGAUCUUAAGUUUGUUUUGUUGUUCUGUUUCACUGCUGUUGACAGGAUUUAGGAUUAAAAGAUAAAUGAUCUAUGCUGGGAUGAAAAAAUAUUGUAAUGCUGUGAAAGCAGUUUCUUUAGUCAAUUUUGAACAAUAUAUAAAUUAAACUCAGUUUUGCCCUUCUCUACUUGGAAAGUCGCUUUCGUUGUGCUGCCAAUUGUUCGUUGAAUACUAUAUAUAUCACUGCUAACAGAUGCCCUUUCUGCAGAAUUUCGAAUGAAGUGGAACUCUUUCCUGGGAAAGGACAUGAACUUUCUUGAAACUGCAGAGAAUUCUUUUACUGUGAUCAGGUGCAGUUCUUUGACCCUCUGGAAUUGGCAUUACUUUUGGGAAAAGACCAACCGAAUUACAUUCAUGGCAUGCAAGAUCAGGUGGCACUUGUAGCGGUUUAUAACGCUCACAGGAACUGAAUGAGAUUGAAGUUUUUGUGAUGAAAGAAAGAGAGGUCCGAAGCCCCGCAAUCCCACUCAUCACUUGAUAGCUGUCUCUUUAUAUACUCUGUUUAAACGAGCCACAUUUGCCCACCAGGGGUAAAUUAUAGUUGUAUGAUUUUUUAUCUUUGGUUAAUUUGACUGUAUUGAAAUGGAGCAUUAUGUUUUACCGCUGUCUGUUCAUAAUUCCGCCUUGGGGGCUGUACUUGGAACUGGAAGAUCUCUUUAGCAAGCACAAUUUUCAUUUAUGUUUCACCCGCGCUGGGAUCUCUCUUUCUUUCGUAUUUAUUUAUUUAUUUUUUAUUGUGUGUGUGUGUGUUCAAAUGAAUCUAAUUAAAAUAACAUGCUAUUUACUUUAAAAGAUAAGACAUUAUGGACUUAUGGUAAAUACUGUGUGCUGGAACAUUCAUUUUAUAAACAAGAUAUGACAUGGAAGAAUUAUUUUGCGAACAGAUGAUAAGAAAGCUUAUAUAAAAUGGGAAGGCCUUAGACCCAGAAUUGGAAUGAUCUUAUAAUGGCCGUGUUUAAACUUUAAAAGGCUUUUCAAGUUAACUCUUAACAAUCUUGAUCAAUUGGAGGCAAUCACAUUGAAUCAAGACGACAAAACAGAACCAAGAACAAAAUUGAUGAACCAACUUAUGAAGGGAAAAUAUUCUCACUUUAUUGAUCAAACAAUCAAGGUACAGACUGGAUCUACAGAAGAGAUUGCAUAGAUCACAAAGAAACGAAUUCUAUAUAAAAAGAGUAACUAACGAAAAGGAAAACGAGCUGACACAGGCGCUGUUCACCAGCUCUUCAUACUCUGAUAUUUCUGGAUAGAGCAUAACAGAAUUACAACGUCUGCCACGUCAGCAUUAAAUAUCACUUGGGCCCCUUCACCUGAAAUCAAUCCGCACAAAGGCUCAUAACUUCUUGAAGGUUUUCACUUGAGUCCUAAAAAAAUCAGAUGCAUAUUUCUUCACAGGCCAGCUGCCAAGAAGAGCUUCUUCCAGUCGUGGACAUUCCGUUCAUUUCCCUCUCAUAAAGAUACCAUAUGCAUGCUAAAGUAUAGUUGUAUCUCCACUGAUUCCUUAAAUUUCCCUUUGUUUUUAGAUGGCCAUCUCUAUGAUAAUUACUUUUCCUCCCUCAUCUUUGCUUGGAAUUGCUUCUUUACACUUCUUUAGUAUCUUCGCAAUCUCCUUAUCAUUCCAAUUACUCCCCUGCCCACAACACGUUCUCCAGUAACAAUCUAGUCAUAUCCGAUAGACACUGUUUAAAUAAUGUCCACAUUUCUAGUAAAGAUCAAGAGAAGCUAUCAUUAAUGAUGGAUCAUUCUUAUUCAGUAAGGCGGUUUAUAAUUACCUUUCAUGUGUGAAGCUAAUUUUGUUCUUUCUGGCUAGUAGAACAGUUCUUUUUCAUGCUUAUUAUUGCAGCCACAAUUAAUGACUCAAGUUCGACGGGCAAGUUUUUCAUAAUUUACUUCAACAAACAAAAUUUCGGGCUUUCCUCCAACUAAAUAGCACAGGAUUCUCAAAUGGAUAUCAAGGUUCUCAAGCUUCCAGUAGCACAAAUUUAAAUGUAACAAAAUGCUAUUAAUUUUAGUUUAGUUUAGUUUUUGCCUUUUAAUAUUUAGUUAGUUUCUAGACACCAAUGGUAAUGUACAUUCUGCUAAUUUAGAUUGAUUUUACAAAUUGCUGGUUUUUAUAUUUUUGUGCUUUUGCCUUUCUGAUCAAGAGCUUUAUAUUAAUGCAUAAGCGUUUCUCUUGUUUGAUAUUUUAAUGAUGAAUGCUUAGACUUGUUUAUGCUAAUAACACAAUAUGAAUAAGAGAAUGUCAUAAGUUUGGAGAAAUGAGCAACAACAAAAUGAAAGAUAUUUGCAUAUAAAAUAAUUUUUAUUAAAAAAAAUAGCAUUGUUCUUACAAAAUGAAAGCUGUUUGCACCUUAAGCAAAGGUAAACCAUAUUUAUAAUGAAGAAACUCAACUAUAGUUCACAACAAGUAAUUUGUGCUCUAGGUAAGUUAUUCUCCAAAAGGGCUAGAAUAUAGCCAACCCAAAAUUUUUGCAAAAGAAAUUUCUGCAUCAUGCAUUCUCAAAUCUUCCAACUUAGUAGUAAGAAAUUGAGUUUCGAGCGUUUCACCAAUUCAGUUUCUUUCAUGAGUAAUUUGAAGAAUUUCCCAAGUAUCUUUUGUAGAGUCACAUUUCGAGAUCAAUCGGACCUGGCUUUCAUCUAUACCGUUGCAAAUUGCAUUUAGAGCUUUGAAAUUAUGGCUAGCCACGGUGAUUUCUUCUGUAUUCCACGUUUUUAAAGAUUUCACAGUUUUGAGUCCUGCAGCAUCUUCGGUUCCAAUUGACUUUAUGAAAGCACUCAUCGUAGCCUUCCAACAAGAGUAGUUGUUCUUAUCAAGUAGUGGUGCACACGGCAUAGAUCCUUCUACGAAUGAAAUUCUCCCGUGAAUUUCCUCUCUCCUCAAAUGUUGAUAGCAAGAUCAAUAUCGCAGGAAUUCAUUGAUUUUCUUUCUACAUCAUUUAAGGAUGGCUAGAAGCUGUUAUGCCACAGUUGCGAAGAAGACCCUACAAGUUAGCUCAUUAGACACCCGAUGAGACUUAGUGAAUGGUCGGCAGGAGCCGGUUGAGACCUUAAAAGAGAUGGUAGUAAAACAAGAUGACCCGAGCAAGGUUGUGAAGAUCGGNNNNNNNNNNNNNNNNNNNNNNNNNNNNNNNNNNNNNNNNNNNNNNNNNNNNNNNNNNNNNNNNNNNNNNNNNNNNNNNNNNNNNNNNNNNNNNNNNNNNGGGGUUACAAUUUAAGUCGGAGCUUAAGGGACAAGCUGAUAGAGUGUUUAAGGUCUCAUGUUGAUGUAUUUGCUGGUCACAUGAGUAUAUGCUAGGGAUUGAUACAAGGAUUGCUUGUCAUAAGUAAGCAAUCAGUAAAUAAGCAAAGCCAGUGAAAUAUAAGAGGAGGUGCUUUAACCAAGAAAGGUAUAAAGUCAUAAAUGUCGAGGUAGAGAAAUUGCUCCGAGCAGGAUUCAUCAGGGAAACCAGUUAUUCAGAGUGGAUUUCUGAUGUAGUACUAGUAAAUAAAGCAAAUGGAAAGUGUAGAAUGUGUGUAGACUUCAUGGAUCUCAACAAAGCAUGUCCUAAGGACAUCUUCCCUUUACUAAAAAUAGACUAGCUGGUCACAGCCUGCUAAGCUUUAUGGAUGGAUUUUCCAGCUACAACCAAAUACUCAUAGACGAGCAUAAUGAAGAAAGCAUGGCAUUUGUUACUAAUAUGAGUUUGUUCUGUUACAGGGUGAUGUCGUUUGGUAUAAAAAAUGCAGGGGCCACAUAUUAGAGAUUGGUGAAUAUGAUCUUUAAAUCCUCGAUUGGGCAGACAAUGGAGGUGUAUGUAGAUGAUAUGAUCACGAAGUCUAAAGAGCCGGCAGAGCACAUACGACACUUAGAAGAAACAUUCGAACUGCUCAGAAGAUACAAGAUGAAACUCAAUCCAAAGAAAUGUGCAUUCGAGGUAUGCUCAGGAACGUUCUUGGGGUUCAUGGUGAGCUAUCGGGGAUCGAGGCUAACCCUGAGAAAAUAGGUUCGAUAACAAAGAUGAAAUCUCCUCGGAUGAUGAAGGAAGAUCAAAGCCUUACGGGAAAGCUACUAGCUUUUAAUCGAUUCAUAUCAAGAGUAAUAAAUAAAUGUCAUGCCUUCUUUCAGGCUAUAAGAAAAGGAAAAAAAUGGAGUGGUCAACAAAGUGCAACGAGGCAUUUGAGCAGCUGAAAGGGUAUAUUACCAAAGCCUCAUUAUUGUCAACAUUGCAGGAGGGUGAUGUGUUGUACUUAUACUUAGCCUUAUCCAAAUGGGCUACUAGCGAUGGUUUGGUGAGAGAAGAAGCAGGAACCCAACACCCUGUGUACUAAGCCAGCAAAGCGCUAAUAGAUGCUGAGACCAUAUACCAAUGAUGGAAAAGUGGGUGUUGCCGUUAGUAACAACGGCACGUAAGCAGAGGCUAUAUUUCCAGGUGCAUCCAGUGGUUGUGAUGAUUGGCCAGCCUCUUCGACAUGCCCUCUAAAAGUCGGAGGCCUCUGGUCGCUUGGUGAAAUGUUCAGUGGAGUUGAGUGAGUUCGACAUAACCUAUAAACCUUGAGCAGCCAUUAAAGCGCAAGCCUUGGCUGACUUGUGGCGGAAUGCAUAGUGCUGGAUGAGAAAACUUACGAAGACCAAUUGCCUAGCCAGGUAGAACCAAAAGGGGAUUGGUUGAUAAUAGUAAACGGGUCAUGCAAUGAGCAAGAGUCUGGAGCAGGAAUGGUAAUACGUAGCCUAGAAGGAGUCGAAAUUUCUUAUGUCAUAGAAUUUAAAUUUCAUGCGACCAAUAACUAGGCGGAGUACGAAGCUUUUAUUAUUGAGUUAAAGUUGGCAAAUGCCCUAAGAGCAGAGAGAGUCAAGAUUCGAACAAACUCCCAGUUAGUGAGUAAUCAUCUUAACGAAAACUUCCAAACGAGGGACGAAAAGAUGAAGUUGUAUUUAAGGAAGGCAAAGCAGAUGGUCAAAAUGUUCCAGGAGGUGGAAAUUCAGCAGAUAUCGUGAAAAAAAAAUUACCGAACAGAUAUAUUGGCCAUAAUGGCUGCAACAGCAGAUCCAAAACUACCAAAGUCAAUCUGAGUGGAGGCUAAAACCUCACUAAGCAUUGAACAAGAAAUGAAAGUAAUAUAGGUGGAUGCACAAAACUCCUGAAUGGAUCCAAUUAUUUCAUAUAUCCGCGAUGGAAGUUUAUCGAUGGAUAAAAAGUGGGCAACAAAGAUGAAGUGUUAAGCGGCUAGAUAUACGCUGCUCGAUGGGACAUUCUAUCGGCGGGGAUUAUUUUUCCUUUUCUGCGAUGUUUGGAUGAUGAGGAGACAGACUAUGUGUUGCGAGAAAUACACGAUGCGAUAUGUGGUAACCACUUCGAGGCAAGAACUUCGGCGUUCAAAGUAUUAAGCAGAGGUAUUUCUGGCUAACAAUGCACCAGGACGCACGAGAGAUUACUAGAAAUUGCAGAAGUUGUCAAAGUUUCUUGAAUGUUUCUACCCAACCUCUAGAAAAACUUAUUGUUAUGUCUUCUCUAUGACCUCUUGCACAGUGGGGAAUUGACAUGAUUGGCCUCUUACCCAAAGGAUGGGGAACUGCUACACAUUCUAUUGUAACCAUAUAUUAUUUUACAAAAUGGGUAAAGGUCGAAGCUCUAAGUUAGAUCAUGGAAAAGAAAACAACUGGGUUCAUUUAGAGGAACAUUAUAUGCAGAUAUGGGAUUCCUUACAUGCUCAUAACAGACAAUAGAAGGCAGUUUGAUAACCAUAAUAUCAAAGAAUUUUGUCAGAAUCUAGGUGUUGAGCUGAAGUUCUGUUCUCUAACACAUCCCCAAUAAACAGGUAGGUAGAGGUUGCUAACAAAGUUAUAAAGAAGCUCUUGAAAAUCAAAUUGGGGGAAAAGAAUGGAGCGUGGGUCAAUGAGUUGCCUGGUGUGUUAUGGGUUUAUUGGACAACUUACAAAACAACAACUAGAGAAACCUCAUUUGUCUUGGCCUUUGAUCACGAAGUUGUGGUACCAGCAGAAAUUAGAAUAGGAACACAUAGAAUGGAGUACUUUGAUGAGGAGCAGAACGACGAUAAGAUGUGUCUGAAUUUGGACAUGUUAGAGGAGAAAAGAAAAAAAAGGCCUCGCAGAAGGUGAUUGAAUACCAACAGAGGGUUGCGUGCUACUACAACUAGAACGUGCGGGUGAGCAAAUUCAGAGCUAGAGAUUGGGUGCUCAGGAGAGUAGAUUAAAGUCCAAGAGAUCCCAACCAAGGCGUUUUUGUCCCUAACUUGGAAGGCCCGUGCAGGGUGUUGCAAGCAACUGAUCCGGGAGCUUAAAAGUUGGUGUAUCUAGACAGACGAGAAGUAAAUAGAUCAUGGAAUACGGAGAACUUAAGAAAAUAUUUCCAGUAAGCAAGCCAUCACUCAGAGUUUUCCGGUCAAAAUAUUCAUGUUUAAUGUAGCAGAAGCUGCCACAUACUUAUGUUUUCUACUUUUGUAGCCGUUUAAGUGUUGAGUAAUAAUAAAAUGAUGAGUUUUAUUCAGACACAUCUGACAAAAUAAUUUCUAAGGAAAAUAAAGGCUCAAUAAGUUUCAAGGCCUAUUCGAGGCGAGGCGAGACAAGUCAAAAGUUUGCCAAGAACCUGCUCUGUCAAGCGAAGAUGAGCAGGCAAAGCUUACAAAAUAAUUUCAAAGGCAAAUAAAGGCUCAAUAGGUCUCAAGGCCUAUUCAAGGCCAGACGAGUCAAAAGUUUCCCAAAAACCUGUUCUAUCAAGCGAAGACAAGCGGACAAAGCCUAUAAAAUAAUAUUUAAGGCAAAUAAAGGCUCAAUAAGUCUCAAGGCCUGUUCGAGGUGAGACGAGCAAAAGUUUGCCAAGACCUACUCUGUUAAGCAAAGACGAGCGGGCAAAGCCUAUAAAAUAAUUUCUAAGGCAAAUAAAGGCUCAAUACGUCUCAAGACUUGUUCGAGGCGAGACGAGUCAAAAGUUUGCCAAGAACCUGCUCUGUCAAGUGAAAACGAGCGGCCAAAGCCUACAAAAUAAUUUCUAAGGCAAAUAAAUGUUCAAUAAGUCUCAAGGUCUGUUCGAGGCUAGACGAGUCAAAAGUUUGCCAAGAACUUACUCUAUCAAGCGAAGACGAGCAGGCAAAGCUUAUUAAAUAAUUUCAAAGGCAAAAAAGGCUUAACAGUCCCAUAGCCUAUUCGAGUUGAGAUGAGUCAAAACUUGGCUAAGCAUAUGCUCAAUUAAGCGAGGAUAAGUAGACAAAAGUCAAUGAAAUAAUUUACAAGCAAAUAAGAGGCUUUAAAACCCCAGGGUUAUUUUCAAAAUCCAACAUUCAGAUAACUUUAUUCACGAAAUCCAGCAUUCAGAUAACUAAGAAUACAAAAUUACAGUUCGUACAAGCCUUUAAGAGCAAAUAUUAAUAUGUAUAGCAAUUAAAGGGCAUGAUUUACAAAUGGUUCAAAAUGUGUGAACAUAUGAAAAGUUUGCGGUUCAAACACGAAGUAAAACCCAUAGAUCAUAAGGGGGAGGCUCAACUGGUUUAGAGGGGUCCAUGAUAGUAGCAAAGACGGGACUAAUGACUUCAGUAGGAGAAAGGACCUCUUCAACACCUGUAUUUAGCACUUCAUCCCCAACUUCUCGGUGCUGCUUUUCAGGAACUGGAAGGGUCCCUUUUUGGCCCUUAUCUCUCUGAUUCUGCUCCUUCAUAUACUUGUUUACACCUGCCUCCAACUUAUCCAUCUUUAAUUUUGGAUAUUCCUUCUUAAGGAUAGACAUAAUGCAGUUGUAGCCGAAGGCGAGCCUAGAAUUAUAUUUCUCGUCCAUUCGAUCCUCCAUACUAUUGACCUUAUCCUUAAGCUCUACUAUAACCAACUCUAAAGACUUGAUACGCCAUUCUUACGCUGAUUUCUAGGUGUCUUGCUUGCUUCGGGUAGCGUCCAGAUUAGAUUUCACAUCGGCUAAUUCACGAUUGAGCUGAGUAGCCUUGAAUUUAGAAAGAGCAACUUUCUCCUCGAAGUUAAGAACUUACUUGUAAAGUUCAAGUAGCUACUCCUCUACACGCUCAACUUUUUCAGCUUUUUUCUUUAACCUAUUGAUCUUUGUUUCUCGUUUCUUUUCUUGAUGUGAAGCCUUGAACUUAUAGUAAGAUGUUGCCGUAGUAAGUUGAAAGGCAGUCUUUUAGAUGAAACCCCCCAUUUCACUAAGAGUUAUGCCCUCAAGCUCUGUAACGAACUUGAGCCCCACCACCCUAGCAUACUUCCUCUUAUAUAUACCCAGGAAAUCACUCAAGUCUUAAGGCAGAGUUGGUGAAGCUCGUUCAGCCGAAGGGGCAGCUCCCUCAAGGCUCCUCUCACAAGACCACUCACUUGCACCCUUGCGGGUCGGAGGAGGUAGGAGAGCCGGUAGAGGAGAGCUGGUCGGGGCGGCGUUAUUCUUUUCUAGGGGGUGGGGGCAUUGCUCGAGUCAUUUGUGCCGUGAGCACAUUUCCUCGCUAUGGCGCCAAAGAUCCUAUUGUCCAUCAUUGCAGCAAUGUCAACUAGGUGGGAUUCGACGAGUUGGUUGAUGUCAAAGGGUCUUUACACACGCAAGCGUUGACAGGGGUAGUUCAGACCUGAAGCAACAAUCUCUCUUCGAUGUUGUAAACUAAGCUCUAAGAAUCUGAAAAACAUAGUAAAUGUGAGAAGGAAAGUAAUUAUUGAUUUAAGGCUUGAGGCAUGAAGAAUAAUAAACGACCUGAGGUACAAAAAUGAGAAGGGAUGUGGACACUAUCACCAGGUGUUUGAGUCACCUGACCCCAGUUUCCCUAGAGAAAAAGAAUUUGGUCUUCCAGUUUCCAUAUGAGGUGGGAACGUCAGUAAUUAGUUUUCUCUUCGCGGAGUUUAACAUGAAAUAAUACCAACUCGAGUCUUUAGGGCUGUUCCUCAACUGAUACAAGUUCUUUAUUUCAUCAGUGGUGGGCUAGUCGAGUUUGCACCUGAACCACAACAUGAACAAGCCCGAAAUAACCCUCCAUCCAUUUUGAUUGAGCUGACUAGAGGCCAGGUGCAUUUCACUCAAUACUUUCACAAAGUAGGGUUGGAGAGGCAACCUAACACCUAACUUAAAACAUUUCAAGUACAAGGUUACAAAACCCAUAGGAGGUCGACUGAGGACAUCACUUGUUUCCAAGAAAGACGAAGUGGAUGUCGUCGGGAAUACAAUAGAGGUUUCUUAAGUUGUGUAGGUUAUUUUGUGUGGUGCUGCACCUCAUAUAAUCGAUAGGAUAAGAAUCAACUUUUGUUCUAUGGCCAAGGUUUCUCUUUUUAGUUGGUCUGCUCUGCUCGAUACCAUCAUUUCUAUAAUCACUCACCCCAUUAUCAUUUUUCGUUCCACUCGAGUUAUGGGUCUCACCGGAGCUCGAUGCUUGUUCUCUUAUACCCCUAUUGGGUUAAUUACCAUAAGGUGAUGGGGUGGCCUCUAACGAUGGUUGCAUGAGAACAUUUUCGAUACUAGAGGGGCCUACAUCACUUAGGGGAAUUUGGGGAUUGAGGAGAUAUUCUCUUAACAUGUGAGGGUAAGAAUCUACUUCCUCAUCACUCUCAACUUUAAUAAUCUUUCCUUUUUGAUUCGACAUAGUAUGAAUGAAAACAAAUCCAAAUACUUGAACAAGAAAGCACAACACAGAUCAAUACAACAACAACCAAAAGAAAGUUCAGAAAGCGAUACCUGGGAUGAUCUAGGGUCGGCGAAGUGACUGUCGCGGCAAAAACGACAAAAAAGGGAAGUUUUAAGCAUAAAGAGGACGCCCGACUUCGAGUUAAAGUCAGUUUUUGGUGAAAGGCGGAAGAAUGAGUUGAAGAAAUGGGAAAAUCGAGGUUUAGGGAUUUUGUUGAUGAGAGAUAAAAGAGAAACAUUUAAGUAAUGCAUAUGUUAGUUUAAUCGACGCAUCUCGAGGGCAUGUAAACUGCCAUUUUAAAUUUCAAAUACAUGGUAUGGGAAACGCCACAUCAUAAGCAUUCAAGGUGAUAUGACAGGAGGUCAGAUCGGUAAUGCAUGGCCUAAGGACAUAGGUGUUGGCUCCUAAGUGUUAGAGACCGCUCGAGCAGCUAAGCAAUUGAGGAGCGCAAUUUCAACCUCAUUUAAUCCAGGUCAGGGAUGGACGACCAAGAUUUCGUGAUUACCAGAAUAGUAUCAUAAUUUCUAGUCUCUGUUCGUUUCAUUCACAACACUAGAAACUGGGGGACUGGCGUUUAGGUGACCAAAAGAACACCAAUUGUACACAUUUUUAUCUGGUCGAGGAGAUUUGAGAGUGCCAAACGAGAUAAUAUUUAACCACUUGGACCUCCUUGUAAAGGGAAAUUACAAGAUGGCACCACGGUCCUCUUCGAGGUACAACCAAAGCUCGACCUGAGAGUAGUUCUUGGAAAGUUGGGUAUGAUACCCACAUUUAAGCGACUGUUUUGCCACUUCCCAACCGUCCAAAGGAAGGCAUGUUAACCACUUCAUAGUUUUUGCAAUCCAUGAAGACCACGAAAGUUCGAAUAUUAUGGAGGUGGAUUCCAAAUACAAGAGGAAUCGCCGAUAAAGCCCCUAAAAAAUCACAAAGACAGAAAAAGAAAAAAAGGGAAUAGGGGGGAAACUCUGCCAUUUUGAAUCCAGAAUUCAUUGCCUUUAAGCCUUUUUAAGGCAUUUCCUUCGUUUUAUAAUUGUCAACUUACAUAGAUUGAUAAUCCAACGUUUUUCCCGACGGACUUAAGUAUCGAAGGGUUUUCAACAAAAAAAUCACCGGCGCCCCUUAUCCAUUUUUGUGAUUUUAGGUCAGAAGAGUAGGACAAAGGUCAAUUGAGGUCGUCGAAUCCGGUUUAUUGGAGAACAUACGAGCAGCUUUGUGCUCUACCAAAAACCAAUCUAAAGCGUUGACGAGAUAACCUGGUCUGCUCGAGAUAACGACCAAAUUUCAACAUCAACACAAAUUAUUUUCAAUAGAUCUUAAAUUGUAAUAUAUCAAAAUGAUGUAAUACCUCUAAACAAAAAAAAAAAAAAAUUGACAUGCACCCCAAGUUGCUUUUUCCAUUUGUUGAUUUUUGAAAUGCUGCUAAGUUUCAUUGUAUUAUGGGUCAGCCUGUAAUACAGUUCUGUAUGUCAUGCAGCUGCCUUUAUUAUUUUUUUAUUAUUGCGGAUGUAACCGGCCACCGAUAUCAAUUAUGAAACAGGUAAAUAUUAAAGGUAAUUAUCAUACAGCUACCCUCAUUUCAAAUAAAUAUCAAAAUAAUCAGUUCAAAGUAGAACACUACCAAAGAACCCCUCAAUUUAACUUGAAAAUAUACUACUUUCUUUUUGUUUUCUCCGAAUAACAUGAAAACACGUAAAAUAUAUGAGAUUUCUAUACUAAUUAGAAUAAUAUUUAAAUAUAAAUUAAUAAAUUGACCAAUUAAUUUUUAAUAUUACAUUAUAAAGUUAAGAGUGUUCUACAUAAAAAAAAUUAUCAUAAUAUUUUAUCAAUUUUUAGAUAAUACAAUGUAGUAUAAAUAUUUAGACCUAUAAUAUUUCUAUAUUAGCCAAGUAUAAAAAAUCUAAUGUUUGAUAUUUUUAAAUAAUACUCAAAAACAAUCUCUUGUGUAAAUUAAUUCAUAGAAAUUAAUGUGAAAUUAAUUACUUUAUUCAUUAUAUUAUGUAUUACUUUUAUGAUUUUCUUUAUUCACUAUUUUUAAGUCACAAUAAUUUCUACAAAUACUUGUAAUGGACAAUUAAGUACAUAUUGUUAAUUUUUAAUCUAUUUUUAUUAGUGUUAUUGUGAUUAAUGAUAUCAUAAUUCAUACACUAAGCCUUUUCCUUUUUUAAUGUUGUUAAUAACUCCAAUGGGCCUUUAGUCUAGCGGUGAAUCUCUACCCUCACAGUUAAGCAGGAUUGUGAGGGUAGGGGUUUGAGUUCUCAUGGACUCAAACUCUUUCAAUUAAACAUUAUGCAUGAUCAUGUGGAGUUAUUUGCAAGUCUUUUUCCCUUGCGAAAUGCAAGUAGAGCAGAGAUAUCCCUCAUUUAUGAUAAUUUGAUGUGUAAUCAGUAUUAAAAAAAAGUUGUUAAUAACUAUCAUGGCUAGCACUUGGUCAAUAUUAAUUCGAUUAAACUAAAUUCAGUUAUGACAUUAUUAUUUUUUUAGUAAUAUUUAAUUUAAUAUUAUUAUUUUAGGGGUAUGGUUGGGAGAGGACAAAUAUAACUUUUUAACUCUUACAAUCUCUCAUGAGUUUUACUCGGUAGCAAUAAAUGAAAAAACCAUUCAACCGUCCCCUUGGAGCUGAGUAAUAUUGUUAAUUAAAAUUACAAUUCUUAUUCACAUUGCAUUGUAAAUAUUAGAAAAAGAGAUAACAACGAGCCCGUGUUUUGUGAAAUUGUCUCGAAGACCCUUAUUAUUUUAAAAAAUAAUCAUAUAUUUCUCUUUUUGGACAAUUAUGUCCUUUAGCUAAAGUGACCCACCGAUAUUCCAUAUGAACAUAAUUAUUCAAAACAAGAUUUAUAUAACAGUUUCACUAAAUCAUAAGAUAUUAAUAUACUUUUUGUCAUAACCUUGGGUAAUUACAAUCUAAACACUACUAAUAUUGAAUAAUUUAGAAACGUUUUAAAUUAAAUCAAAUUAUUUGAGUAAUGUACAAUAUUAUAUUUCGUUAUAUUAUUUGUAUACUAAAUGUUGUUCAAUUCAUUUAUUAGUGUUACAAAAUUAUUACAAUAUUGGUAGAUUAUAAAAUCAAGUAUCAUUGAAAUAUAAACAUAUAAAAACAAGUCAUCGGAUAGAAUAUAAAUUAUGUAUCCAAUUGUAUAAGGAUAAUUUAUUAAAUUUAUUCGUAUUAAUAAUUUUUUGAUAUUUUUUAUUUGUAUUACUAUAAUAAACAUUUAGAAUGAAAUGUAAUAAGGUUUAAUUUAGGCAGUAAAACUACCGCCAAUAUGAAAGAAUGAUUUAUUAAAUUUUAAUUUUUUUGAAAUUUUUUCCUAUAUAAAAUUGAAAACCUUAUAUAGCUUUUCUUUUUUACCCCAAAAAUAUAAACACUUUAGUACUUCAUAUUGUUGAAAACCCUAGCCCCUCGCCUCAGCCGUGCUCAAGCAUCAGAAACCAGCCACCAUCCUAGUAGUCGCGCCGUCUUCGUUCCAACGACACUAGAUCACAGUCGCCGUUUCCGUCGCCGUCGCCGUCGCCGUCCCCAUCCUCAUCCUGCAUAUCAGCCACUAGCUCACCAGCCCUCACCGUCUUGUCACUUUCCUCCAUGAACUCUCUCUGCACACAAACCCUAGACUAGCGAGUUCAAUCAAAGGGUGAAGGUUGCUUUCUUUCUUUUCUAACAAUAAAGAACAAAGAUCUCAUCAAUUUCCUUUUAAUAAUAACUUCUAAUUAGUGAUUCGGCACUUCUUCUCAAUUUACAGCUCUCAUUUUUUAAUUUCGUCUUUAAUUCUUGAAGAACGAAGAACAAACAGAAGCCUUUCAACUUUGAUCGACUUUGAUUCUCGAAAUUUAGGUAUUUCCUCUAUUACUCACUUAAAGAAUUAAAAUUCUUCACUUUGAUUUUGACACCAUGGUUAGAUAUUGAUUUAUUGCUUGUUUAAUUAGUUUAGAGUUUCAUUUAAUUUGUUUUGAGUUGUUCACUUUUAUUGCAUCUUCAAGAUGGAAUUUUGGUACUCUAAAUGAUACAAAGUUUUAUUCCUAUGCAGUAUGAUUAGAAGAAGUAAAUUGAUUGUGCACUUGAUAUUUUGCAUCUUAAUUUACAAAUAAUUUAAUGCCUAAAUUCUUAUUUUAUCAACCACAUAGUCAAAAGUGAUUUGUUUGGGUUAUAUAGGCUUACCUGUAAUUCUGUAUUAUUUAUAUCUUCAUAAAUUCUUGUUUAUGUAGGCUUGAUUGUUGAGGCUUCUUUCAUCAGUGAUGAUGUGUUAUAGACUUGGUUGUUGAGGUUUGUUUUAUCAAUGAUGAUGUGUUAUUAAAAAAAAAAACACACACACACAUUUUGAUUUUUUUUUAUAUAUAUAGAAUAAGCAUGACAAUGGAUCUUUAAGUGUGUAUUAGUAAUUUAGUAAUUUGGCACCCAUUUCUUUCUAACAAGUGCUAUUAAGUUCGAUUAUUUUAUUUCACUUAUUCUUUACUGACCAUGGUAAUCAUUCAGGCCAAGCAUAAAAAUACAACAUACUAUAAAUUGAUCUAAAGUAGGAAAUACUACAUAAUUCAGAUGAGACUGGUUACUAAUUUCUAAUAUUAAAAAGCUGAGAUUUAAUUUUAAUGUGUAUGUAAGAAUUCAUGGGUGGUGAGGGUUGACAUUGUAUUUGACUCUUUGUCUUUGGAAAUGUUUUAUCAAGAUUUACUUUUGCUAAUAUCACUUGGGUAAUGCCCUGGACAUGCUUAUCAAAUGUCAUUACUGCCAGGUUUAUGCUUGUUGUCCAUAGUUCUUAGUCUCUAAUUAAUUCAAAAUAUUGGGAAUAUCUUUUUAUGGCACAUUGAUCUUUUCUUGUUGUAUAUCCUUGAUCUGUAUUUUGAUCGAUUAAGUAUAGAUGUUUGAGUCAUUACUCUGUAUUUUUGAUGGAUUAAGUAUGGAGCUUUGAGUUUACAAUUGAUCAUGGGUAUUUUCUAAAAUCUUAUUACUUUGAAAAAAUUGUAGGUUAAAGGAGCAAGUAAGCCCCUUUUCAAUAAGGACAAAAUGUCACAGACAGAAGGUUUUAUCUUCAUCUUAUUUAUUGUCUUAGAAUGAAAAAAUGACAAUUUGUUCAAGCUGUGAAAGCUUGGUAAGGAUUCUUAAAAACCAGAAAAGUGAGGAUGGCUAAUGCGUGGUGACUUACUUGGUGAUGGAUAAUUUGGAGGUGAUGCCAAAUUAAUUUGCGUCUCCGCAUUUCAAUUUCUAUUUCAGUCUCCACUCUCUAGUGCUUGAACUGGUAGCACUGUCUUUUUUCCUCUAAUUUUAUGUAACCUCUUGUGUCAUUGUUCAUGGAUUGAGAUAUGGUUUCGAUUAUUUGAAUUAGCUAUGAUGACUUUGUUUUGUGGCUCCUUAAUAUUUCUUAAAUUGUUUUGCAUAAACAUUUGUUUUUCCUUAUAUGAAUGUUAUCCCUGUUCAGUUAUUUGUUGCAGCCUCUCCCAUUUUUCAUUCUUUUUCCAUUUUUUUCUUGAGUUUCUAUCAUUAAUAUUUCAUGUGGAGGAUUUUGAUAUGCUCAUUACAGUUUUCUUUAAUCAUAGAAGUAAAUAAAAAUAUGAUAUGAAACAAUAAUUCAUAGCAUGAAUGAAAAUGGUAGAAAAGUAGAGAUUGAACUCUUGUUAUUUUGAUUUUUUAUAUUUGUGGUAUUACAAUAUCUUAGGAAUUGUAAAGUAAUCUACUCCUUUUUUUGUAUAUUUUUAACUAAUUCUGUAAUGUCUAAAGUUUCGAUUAUAUUUCAGUGAUAUUACUAAUAGGAACUUCAACUAGUGUUUCAGCAUUGCGAAGACGAUUCAAUUUUAAUUGAGUAUUUUUGCCAAUGUAAUUGAUUAGCAUUUUUCUUUUAGCUAUAGGAGAUAUUUUAAUGAUCUAACUUGCAUAGUCUCUAAUGUUUCAGUUGAAAUUGUAGUUGUUUGAUUGUUAGAUUUAAUUUUAUUUGCUUUAUUGUUUAUUGGAUUUUGUUGCUUGUCUUAAUUCCUUGGAUUAUAGUUGUAACAUGUAAUAUGAUUUGAGUUGUUAUUUUAAAAUAAAGAAACAUUUACUUGUUAUUUUUUAUAUGACAUCUACAUGCCAUAUUGUUUAAUUUUAUAUCACUUGUUACUAGUUAAAAUGAAUUUGUGGGUAAAUGAAAUUUUGAUCUUGGUAAUUCUUGAUGUAUUGUUAUCUUUAUUUUUAUUCCAAAGAUCACUUGGUCGUUAAAUGAAAGUAGACAUAAAAGUUGCAUCGAACAAUUAUGCAAGUCGAGAGUAAUUUUUUUAUAUUGAAUAUUGCUGUUAAUAAAUCCCUUAAAAAAUAUAUGUUAAAUGAAAAUAUAUUUUGUAUUUAUUUUAGAUUAAAAGUCUUCAGUUUUUCUGUUGAAAACCAAAUUUAUUUGAUCCUACCUAAGAAUUUGGAUCAUGCCUUUGAAAUUCUAAAUAUUGUUGUUUACUUUGUGGUUGCAUUGUGUUUUCUAAUGCCAUUUGUUUUUUUUUUUUUUUAUGUGUAGAUACUUGAAAUCUAAAACGAGCAGCAGCUGGAGUCCUAGUUUGUGGAAGUUGUAAAUUAAUUUAAUUUUGUGAAGCUAUUUGGUCACAAGCUUGUGAAAAAUUCUAAUUGUCUUAUUACAUCUGUUUAAAUGAAUGGAAGUUUUAGUUUACCUAAAUUUUUAGUGCAUCGCAAACAAUUAAUAGGGUAUUUAUUAUUUUAUUUGCAAAGGAAUGACAACAAAUCAAGAGUACCGACCAUUCCAAUCAAGACAUGCCAAAUUCAACAAUUAAAGUGAUGUUAAAAAAAAAAGUGGUAUUCUCUUAGUACCAAAUUAAGCUGUAAAAAACUUCUAAAAAUGAUUUUAGUCAAGUUAGAAAAAUUGAAGAUCUGAUUCUGUAAUUGAAUAAUUGACUUAAUAUAAUUUAUUUUUGAGAUAAAAAAAUAUACUUUGGUGUAACAUAUCGAAACAUCAAAAGUAAGUAUAAACAAAAUUACAUUAAAAAAAAAGAAAUAUAAUCAAGUUGAAAUGAUAGAAAAAAAAUGAUGUUUUAAUACAAAUAAAUUAGCAUCAAUUUUAUUAAUUUAAAAUGUUUUGGAAGUUAUAACUUACGUUUGCCUUAACUUUUUAAAAGAUAAAAUUUUUUGAGAAGCAUAGCAAUUGGCUGCAUCCUUAGAUGGUAUUAUUGUUUAAGUUAUAACAAAUUAAGGAAAUUCUUUUAAAAGUAAAGAGAAAGAUGAAAAUAAAUUAAUAAGGUUAUUUUAAACGUAAAUAAUUAAAAUGGAGAAAGUGGUUCAAAAGAAUUAGAAUUUUCUAAUUUUUUAUUUAAAAUUAUCAUGAUCUAAAACUUGAAUUUAGACAUUUUUUAUUUGAAAUAGAAUUUUAUUUUUCAAAUUAUAAAUUUUUCAUAGGAAAAUGAGAAAUGAUAAAUGAACAAAUGUUUAUGUAGAGUUCAAAAGAUCAAGUAUGGAUAAUCAAAUUAAUGAUUAAAAUAAUCUCUCAAAAUAAUGAAUAACGAUUUUUUAAUCUUUUUUCUCUUUCAAGUACAAACAAAGCAUUUUUGCCAACCUUUGAAACUUUGAUAUAACAUAUUAAUUUUCAUGGUUCAUUGAAUAAUCAUAUAAUAAAUAUAUAAUUUAUUUGAUCAUAACAAUUUGAAAAAUAAAAUGUUUGAGGAGUAUAACAAUUGCAUGCAAAGCUGUUAAAAUGAAUUUUGGUUGAAGUCGAAGAAAUUAAUUAUUUGAAAAGAAAUAGAAUGAAAAAAAUUUUAAACGAAUGGAUAAAAAAAUUAUUUUCCCAGAAGCUUGUAAAAAAUUCUUAUAAACAAAUGGAUGAAAAUUUUGAUUUGAUUAACUUUUUAGUGCACUGGAUAACUUAAUAGGGCACGAUAAUUUCAUUUACAAUUGCAAUCAUUCUCAAUUGUUAUUUAUUUAUAUACCGUUGCAGUUAUGAAAAAUUAAAGCAUUUAGUUUGAAAAGUAAAGAGAAAGAUGGAAAUAAAUGCAUAAAUUUUUUUAAAUACAACUAAAUACUAUUAAUUAAAAUGAUUAAAUGAUAAUAAAUAUAUAUAAAGAUUAAAAUCUUAAGUAUAUAUACAUUCAAGUUCAGAAGAACUCAUGAAGUAACGAAGAUUAAAAAAAAGGACUUAAAAUUAAGGACCCAAAACGUUGAAAAUGAUAAAGGGUUGCAAUAAAAAAAUUUCAAUAUUGUAUAGUAAAUUGAUAUUUGUUAAAAUAAUAAGGGGUUAUAUAUAAUUGGCCUUACUGAUAUUGUUGUUAUUUUAAAAAAGUAAUAUUAUUAUUAGUUGAAAAAAAGGAUAUGGAACAUGUAUCUAUAGUGUUGGAAUAUAAUGAAAAUAAUAGGAACAUAAAACCAUUGUAAAGGUGUAAAAGAAUAUGAAUAACUUAACCUAAAAAUGGGAAUAAUUUACUAAAAAGUUGAAAAAUUAUAACGGAAAACAUGAAUUUAUGAAGUAAACUUGGAUCAUUAGCCAAAAUAUUGGAAUACAAUUGAAAGAGUAAGAAUAUGUAACCAAAAAAUCUUGAAAAUAAAGUUGAAAUUGAUUAAAAGAAAGUAGGAAUACAAAAACUAAACUUGAAAUAUCUAAUCAAAAUAUUGGAAUUUAAUAGAAAGAGUGGGAAUAUAGAACCAAAAAAUGGUGGAAAAAGGAGUGGAAGAGCAGAACUUAAAAGUUGGAAUAACUUGAUAAGAAUUUGAUAAAUUCCAAUGAAAAGUAGAGAUUUAAAAGAUAAACUUGAAACAUUCACCUAAAUGUUGGAAUUCAAUAAAAAGAGUAGGAAUAUAGUAUCGUGGAAAAAAGAGUUGAAUAGGUUAACACAAUAGUUAGAACAACUUACAAAGAAUUUGAUAAAUUCCAAUGAGAAGUAGAGAUCUUAAAAACAAACUUGAAAUAUUAACCUAGAAUAUUGGAAUUUAGUAUAAAAAAAGUAUGAAUAUAUAAUCAAAUCGUGGUGCUAAUAAUAGUUGAAGAACUUAACCCAAAAGUUGUAAGUAUCUACCAAUAAUAUGAUAAAUUCCAACAAUGCAUAGGGAUCUGAAAAAUAAACUUGAAACAUCCACAAAAAAUAUUGAAAUUCAAUUAAAAGAGUAGGAAUAUAAAACCAAUAUAUUGUAGGAAAUGAGUGGAAGUGCUUAACACAGAAAUUGAAACAACUUGACAAGAAUUUAAUAAAUUCUAAUGAAAAGUAGAGAACUAAAAAAUAAACUUGAAACAUUUACUCAAAUAUUGGAAUUCAAUAAAAAGAGUAGAAAUAUAGGACCAAAAUUUGGUAAGAAAAUAAGUUGAAAACGUUACCCCAAAAGUUGGAACAACUUACAAAGAAUUUGAUAAAUUUUAAUAAAAAAUAGGGAUAUGAAAACAGAACUUGAUAUAUUUACCAAAAUGUUGGAAUUUAAUAAAAAGAAUAGGAACAUAGAACAAAUAAAUGGUGAAAAAGGAGUGGAAAAACAUAACCCAGAAGUUGGAACAACUCAACAAGAGUUUGAUAAAUUCCAAUGAAAAAUAGAGNNNNNNNNNNNNNNNNNNNNNNNNNNNNNNNNNNNNNNNNNNNNNNNNNNNNNNNNNNNNNNNNNNNNNNNNNNNNNNNNNNNNNNNNNNNNNNNNNNNNNNNNNNNNNNNNNNNNNNNNNNNNNNNNNNNNNNNNNNNNNNNNNNNNNNNNNNNNNNNNNNNNNNNNNNNNNNNNNNNNNNNNNNNNNNNNNNNNNNNNNNNNNNNNNNNNNNNNNNNNNNNNNNNNNNNNNNNNNNNNNNNNNNNNNNNNNNNNNNNNNNNNNNNNNNNNNNNNNNNNNNNNNNNNNNNNNNNNNNNNNNNNNNNNNNNNNNNNNNNNNNNNNNNNNNNNNNNNNNNNNNNNNNNNNAAUAAAAAAUAGUAGGAUAUAGAACCCAAAAAAGGUGGUAGAAAAAAUAAAUCGGAACAAAUUUACCAAAAAAUAGAAUAAAGUUUAAUACAUACAUAGAUAUAAAAAAUAAACUUGAAAUAUAUCCCUAAAAAGCUGGAAGUUAAUGAAAAGAGUGGAUAUAUGAAACCAAAAACUAGUGGGAAAUGAGUGAAAUAAUGUACCAAAAUUUAGAUAAAUAACCACGAAAAAUAGGAAUUUGAAAAGUAAACUUGAAAUAUGCAUUAUAAAUAUUGGAAUGUGGCAAAAUAAGUAGGAAUAUAACUAUUUUAUAAUAUAUUUAUAUUUUUUGUACUAUUUUUAAAUUUAAAAUUAUUACAAUAUUUUUCCUCAUUUAAUUACAAUUUUAUCUUUUUUUUCAAAAUUUUUCAUAAAUUUUUCACACUUAAAACAAAUAAAAAUGUAAUUUUUAUUAUAUUAUCCGGUUAAAAACCGGUUGUGCUGGUUGCAUGCAUGCGCUGUAUCAGAUACAGCGCUGCAUGGUAGGUUGACUCUUGUAUUAUAUGCCCUCAUUCUCGCAAAAAAGUAAAAUGACAGCAAGAUUUACUUUAAGACGGCAAAUGCUUGAGGAACAAAACACCAAUCAACCAUCAAUCGCAUGAAAGAGUAUAUUUGCCGAUUUGCAACAACACCCAAAGCUUAAUUAUAAUCAUUAUUACAUUUAUAAUUUACUCAAAAAUAAAACAUAUUUUAUUAAGAUGUCUGCAUCAGCUCUUUUAAAUGGUGAGUCGAUAGCUAGAGACAAAGUCAAAGACAGAUAUAAAUGGGGACGGCCGGAUUAAUGAUGGUCCCUUACACUUGUUGUCUCUUCAUUGCAUACGCAGCUAGAACUUUAUUUCACAAUUCAAGCUAUGGGGAAUUUAACCUUCACAAUCAGAGAAAUGAAAGGUGAAGAAUUAAUCACUGUGUCCAUCCUUUUCCAUCCAAUUAAUCCUAACCUUACACUCAUGCCGUCAUCAGUCUACUUCAGUUAAACUUGUGAGGAACGUGACCUGCAAGUUUUUCAGAAUAUUGUGCACGAUGCACGUUGCGCGGAGGCUAUCCAAUCCUUAUUUUAAUGAGAGUCGUACGUGUCUUAAUUUUAUAUUUUAAAUAAAAUAAUAUUUAUUAAUUUAUUAAUAAAAUAAUAUAAUUAAUUUACUUAAAUUUUAUAAAAAAAUUAUUAAUUAUUUAGUCAAUAAUGUAUCAUUUAAAAUUUUAAAAUACCAAUUAUUACUUUGAUCCCAAUUUUAUAGACCCGUGAAAAAUUAAAAUUACUCGUUUUAGCACGAUGGUUUGACAGAGGCUCUCGUGUUGACGUGUGUCUUCUGUUCUAUCGUCCUGUUACUACUAACUACUAUAAAUGAAGCAUGAAGCAUGCACCGUUGAGGCAAACCAAUUACAUAUCUACUUUCAAGAAACUCAUACUCCCCUAAUCAAUGGUAUCAAAAUUUUCCCCAAGCUCUGUCGAUUACUCGGGCAGGGCAACCGGGAACUAAUUGUUCCAGCGAGGGCCACCACCCACGAGAAAGUGAAGCAACUUUCCAGAUAUAGAUGACCAAGAAAGCCUAAGGUUUCAAUACCAGCAAUAUUCUUUACAAGAAUGACCCUUUACCUUCAAUGCAAGGAGAGACCCUGUUAAGGUCAUUAGAGAAGCAAUAAGUAAAGCACUUGUGUUUUACUACCCUUUAGCUGGCAGGCUUAAAGAAGGUUACAACCGCAAGCUUAUGGUGGAAUGCAAUGCUAAAGGAGUCUUGUUUAUUGAUGAUGCCAACUUCACACUUGAGCAGCUUGGAGAUGAUAUUCAGCCACCAUGCCCGUAUUUGAACCAACUGCUUUAUGAUGUUCCAGGCUCUGAAGGCAUUCUUGGUUGCCCUUCGUUGUUAAUUCAAGUGAGUCUCUCUUUACUUUAAUAAGUAUGUAACUUUAUUUUCUGAUUUUAGAAUUGAAAAAAAAAUAGUGGUAGUACAUGCUGAAGAUUAGUUAGGUGAUCAGUUGAGUGGCUUUAAGUAAUUUAUUUAACUAACCACUCGAGUUUAAAUAAUCUUGAGGGAAGAAAGGGGUUAAAAAUAUUAAUUUUCGACUUUGUUUAUUAAAGAAGAAAUUAAUAUUAAAUUUAGAUUAAAACAAGUAUCAAUUCCUACAAAUACAUAGAUUUUUCUUGAAAAUUCUAAACUUAAAGUCGAUAUGAUUGUUAAACUAAUGAUACAAAUUCAUUCAUUUAAUAAUCGUAUAAAAUGUAAUUAAUUUUAAUACAUUAUUUAUAUCGGUUUUAUCGAGUUGGCACGUUUUUAAAAAAAUUAUUAGUUUUACUAAUAAUGAUAAUAAAGAUGUGAAAAAAAGAAGAAGAGAUCCUUAGUAACUUUUACAUUACAUAAUGACUUUUUGAGGUAUAUAUAUCCUGUUUUGCUAUCGGAGGAUUCAUUUUUAUGUUUAUAGGUGACGCGUUUGACAUGCAGAGGAUUCAUUUUUGCAAUACGUUUUAACCAUACAAUGUGUGUGCUUUUGGUUUAGUACAAUUCUUAAAAGCCAUGGAGGACAUGGCACGUGGGGAACGUUCCCCAACUGUAUUUCCAAUUUGGCAACGACAAAUCUUAAAUGCCAGAAAUCCCCCACAAGUAACAUGUAUCCAGUAUCCACCAUGAGUACGAUGAAAUAAACACAAAUGAGGUUCCAAGUGACAACAUGGCUCACAAAUCGUUCUUCUUUAGCCUCAAAGGGAUCAAAGCUCUGAGAAAUCAGCUUCCUUUUCACCUUAAAGAUUGUUCAACAUUUGAGCUAUUAUUAGCUUUUCUAUGGAAAUGUCGAACAAUUGCACUCAAGCUAUAACCUGAAGAGAUUGCUAAAGUUUCUUGCAUCGUUAACGUACGAGGAAAACGUUAUAAAAUGGAUAUUCCUCCAGGCUAUUAUGGCAAUGCAUUUACAUUUUCGGCUGUAUGUUCAACAGCUGAACAAUUGUGUAAGAAUCCAAUAGGAUACGCCGUUGAAUUGGUGAAAAAGGCGAAGGCUCAAAUGAACGAAGAGUAUAUAAGGUCUGUAGCGGAUCUUAUGGUGAUCAAAGGGCGACGAAUAAAGUCCUCGACUAGGGGAAAUUUCAUUGUUUCGGAUCUAAGGAAUGUUGGACUUGGAGAUGUUGAUUUUGGGUGGGGGAAACCAAUUUAUGGCGGAGCUGCUGGGGCUGUAGCAGUGUUCAGCUUCUGUGUUAAGUACCAAAGCAAGAAUGGAGAGCCUGGAAUUCUUGUACCAAUAUGCCUGCCGCAGUCAGCUAUGGAAAGGUUUCAAGAAGAGCUAAAAAGAUUGACGAUUCAAGGAUCUAUGGAGGAUUUAUGGAACACUAACCAGACUCAGGUUUUCAGCAAGCUUUAAGGGAUAUAUCUCCUCAGUUUACGUAGUAGCUUAUUUUGAUCAUAAACCAAUAAUGCAAGUUAUGCGUCCUCUCAAGUUAUGUCUAAACCUAAAUAAUGUACCCUUUACCCUUAACUUUUUAAGGGUAUACGUUAUUAGUCAUUUACGAUUUAGAUAUAUAUUUUCAUAAAAAUGAUAUGCUUGAAGUUAGUAUAUUAAAUAAUGUGUUACCAACAAUUGACCAUCAUGUAUUUGGUAUUUGCAGCACUAAUGAAUAAAUGACAUGUUAAGUUUUACAUCAUUUAUAAUGCAAAUUUUGUAUUCUAAUUUUCUAAACAUAUUAUUAUUCUGAAAGCUAAGAUGAGUAGAAAAUCUUAGUUCAAAAUGAAAAUAGCAAUUCCAUGUCUAAACAGACCUUAGUAAUCAUUUUUGCCAUGUUGCACAAGAAUAUAAAAGAUUCAAUAGAUGAAAUAUUUUUGGAAAAAAAAAAUUACUUCCAAAAUGUUUAGCAUAAAACAGAUAAUACUACACUUUAUCAAACUUAUUUUGGAAAAGAACUGGACUGUUCCCCCUUUCUGUUUACUCACUAUAGCAACAGCAUCUCAACAAAUCUAUCAAAAAUAAAAUAAAAUAAAAACAACGGUGACAAAUCUAUAAAAAUAAUAAUAAUAAUAACAAUGUUGCGGAAACGUGAGUUGAACAAUUACUAAUGUGCAACUUCUGAAGAAAUAUAAAUGUGGUGUUAAACAAAUGUAAAGAAAAUAUAACACAAUGAUUUACGUGGUUCGGCAUAAUGCCUACAUCCACGGGCAAAAACUGAAAGAUAAUUUUACUAACAAUGGAAAUUUAUAAAAGUGGGAACAACUCACAAAACCCACAACCCUAAUACACCCAAAUGGAAUCUCACUAGAACACUUAAAUGGAAGCUCUCUCAAAUUCUCUCAAAGAACUCUCUAAUUCUCUCAAAUUGGGAUGAUUUACAAAUGCAUUUUGCGUCUCUAUUUAUAGGCAAAGCAUGCUCACCUACCACAUGGCUUCAAUUUGACUUUAAUUGGCUAAAUUGACAAAUUUGGUAAUUGGUGCCAAAUUUGUCAUGCAAUACAUGCUAGUUGUCCUAUGCCAUUUAUUCAAUUUGCAUAUUUUCAAAACCUAACCUUGCUUUUUUGAAAUUGGUAAGCCGACCAUUUGACUUUUCAACAAUUCUCCACCUCGGCGAAGAUUUAGUAAAUCUGAGCCGAUUGUCAAUAAUCAUCCUCUAGUCUUUGCCUUCUCUGACUGCUUUUAAACUUGUAGGAUAUUAGUCAAGUUUAGACAAUGCCCAAAGUUGAUCACCGUCACUACCUUGGUCAACAUAUCUGCGAGAUUAUCUGCAGUUUUAAUUUUCUGAAGAAGAAUCUUCCCCUCAUCAACAAUUUCCCGCACAAAGUGAAAUCAUACAUCGAUAUGCUUCGUACGCGCAUGAUAAACUUGGUUCUUCGUUAUGUGAGUAGCACUCUGACUAUCGCGAUACACAUUAAUGUGCUCCUGUGCCAAUCCCAAGUUUUCAAGCAAACCUUGUAACCAAAUAGCCUCUUUAACAACCUCUGUAAUUGCCAUGUACUCAGCCUCCGUGGUCGACAGUGCAACUGUAGACUGUAGUGUAGACUUCCAACUAAUUGGCCCUCCAGCAAAAGUAAAUACAUAUCCGGUGGUUGACCGUCGUUUGUCCAAAUCACCAGUAUAAUAAGAAUUAACGUACCCGAUCACACCUUGACCAAGUGUAUCGUCUCUUUCAAACAGUAAACCAACAUCCACAGUCUUCUGAAUGUACCGUAGAAUCCAUUUCACAGCUUGCCAAUGUCCUUUACCAAGAUUAUGCAUAUAUCUGCUCACUAUACCAACUGCAUGUGAAAUGUCAGACCUUGUACACACCAUUGCAUACAUCAAGCUACCCACUGCAUUUGAAUACAGAACCUCGUUCCGCAUCUGUUGAAGGAGAUAAUUGUGCAGAAAACUUGAAAUGAGAAGCCAACGGGGUACUUACAGGUUUUGUCUGCUCAGUCAUACCAAACUGCUGUAGUACCUUCUUCAAAUAUUGCUUCUGAGACAAGCUUACUUUGCCACGAUCUCUAUCUCUGCAUAUCUCUAUGCCAAGAAUCUUCUUAACUUCACCCAGAUCUUUGAUCUCAAACUCUUGGUUGAGUUAAGUUUUCAACUUCUCUAUCUCAUCUUUGCUCUUCGAUGCUAUUAGCAUAUCAUCGACAUACAAUAGCAAAUAAAUGAAAGAUCCUUUUUAUAGCUUGCAAAAAUACACACAAUGAUCAAAUUUAUUUCUUGUGUACCUUUGCCCUUUCAUAAAUUGAUCAAAUUGCUUGUACCACUGCCUCAGAGAUAGUUUCAACCCAUAAAGCGACUUUGUCAAUUUGCAAACCCAAUUUUCUUUUCCAGCAACCUUAAAUCCAUAUGGUUGAGUCAUGUAGAUUUUCUCUUCCAAAUCACCGAAAAAUGCAGUUUUUACAUUAAGUUGAACUAGUUCAAGAUCAAAUUGCGCAACCAUGGCUAGCAAAAUUCGAAUAGACGAGUGUUUCACAACUAGAGAAAACACCUCAUUGUAGUCCAUUCCUUCCUUCUGAGCGUAACCCUACGCUACCAAUUUAGCCUUGUAUCGAAUUUCAUUUUUAUGAGGAAAUCCUUCCUUUUUUGCAUAUAUCCAUUUGCACCCAAUUGCCUUCUUUUCCUUGGGCAGUGUAACUAACUCCUAAGUUUCAUUUUUGUGAAGAGACUGCAUUUCUUCGUUCAUUGCUUUCUUCCACUGUAUGCUUUCUGGAUUACUUAUUGCUUUUCUGUAAGUGGAAUGAACAUCAUCAUCUACAAUUGGAAGUGCAUAGGCCACCAUAUCAACAAAGCGAGCAGGUUUGCGAAUUUCUCUGCGUGGCCUUCUAUAUGCAAUUGAAUCUUGUUGCUGUGAAGGUUCUUGGGUCAGAACCUCUUCAUCAUUUUCAAUCGAUGGAGAAUCACUAUCCAUCUCAUCGACACCAGCUGGAUCAACUUUAACUUUUUCAAACUUCACCUGCUGCAAAGUGCUACUGGUCUUGUCAUCCUCUUGAGAAUCUUUUUGUUUCAACAUAGUUGAUUAAUCAAAAGUUACAUCUUUGAUGAAAAUAAUCUUCUUCGUAACAGAACACCAGAGACGGUAUCCUUUUACUCCACCAGUUAUACCCAUGAAUAAUACUUUCUUUGCUAUUGGGUCUAACUUAGAUUCUUUUACAUGAUAAAAAGCAGUGGAACUAAAAACAUGUAAAGAAUUAUAAUCAGUAGCAGGUAUACCAGUCCACAUCUCCAUGGGUGUUCUGCCCUCAAUUGCAGUUGAUGGCAAAUGGUUGAUCAGAUGGCACGCAUAUACAACUGCCUCAGCCCAAAACUCUUUGCCCAAUCCAGCAUUGGACAACAUACAAUGAACUUUCUCCAGUAUAGUCCGGUUCAUGUGUUCUGCCACCCCAUUUUGUUGUGGUGUAUCUUGAAUAGUGAAAUGUCGCUCAAUACCCUCAUCUUGGCAUAGCUUCCUUUUUGACUUCCUUUGUCCAUUUUUAGCUCCAUGUGCAAGAUUAAUUUUGCUUGGCCCGUACAAGCUCUAAUUGGAAAAUAUUCUUUAUUUCUUUAUUUCUUUCUAAUUCUUAAUCUCUUUUGCACUUUUGUCUCUCAAUCUUCAAUUCUUUUCAUAUUCUGAUUCUUUCAAUUAGAUUUCUUUCCUAAAUACUCCGAUUUAAUUUCUCUUUAAUCCCAUAAUAUACCUAAAAUAACAAAAUAAAAAAACUAAGAUAAAAAUAACACAAUAAAAAUAUAAUUUACUAAAUUAAAAAUUAACUAAAAUAACUAGAAUAUUUAAGACCAAAACAAGAAAAAAGAUGAGGAAAUUAAUAGCAAAAUAUAUGAAAAAUAUGCACUUAUCAUUCUGCAUAAUUCAAGUUUCGCAUGCUGAAGGACACAACUCUCCACAAUAAGAAACAUUUACAAAUAGUUCAAGUUUCGCAUGCUCAAGGACACAACUCUCUGCUUAAAACUUGUGCCCCCAACAUACAUCCCCAUCACUAGUUAUAUACAUAAGUUUGCAAAUGACACCCCUAUUUGCUAGGUUUAUGUGGCUGCGCCACCCUCGCACAACCUAAAUUUCCCUCCCCAAAUUUUAGGCACCACUAGCAUUAUCUAAAGAGCACAUCUCUACUCCCCCUUGAAUCAAGCAACCGCUGCCCAUUUAGCCUAUUAGCAAGGAAAUCAUGGGAUAUAAUCGCCACUGCCCAUUAACUUUGCCCCUCAUUUCUAGGCAUGUGAUCAAAGCCCAUGUUUUCGCACUUAGUUGCACCCACAAUUGCCCACUCAUGCUUGAUUUUAGGGCCACUUUCUAAGAGUUUCAGCCACCAUACUCCAUGUUCAACCACCAUUGUCCCGCACUUAGCCCGCACAUGAACUCUUUUCAUUUUUCACAUGAUUUGGCCCCACGUGCAUGCCCCAUGUUGCUGCACACUCAUGCACACUCCGACACACAAUUAUGCCAUUAUCUCUCAAACUACCCAUGCAAUUGAGCUACUAUCUCACGCAUCGCUGUGCCCCACGCUUGCGGGCUGCUGCGCCUAGUGCUCGCGCGCUCUUGUGCCUUCGCGCUUGCAUGCUGUUGCGCCUUGUGCUCAAGUGCCCUACGCCUCGCGCCCACCGGCCCAUGCGCGUCACACCCGCUCGCCCGUGCAUCUCACACCUGUGCACCCAUGUGCUCAUGCACUUGUGAAAUGUUGCGUGCGCUGCCCAUAUAUGCCCUUGCGCUCACUAUCUCGCAUUCCCUACAUCUAUGCCACAACACACACUUGUUGCAGCGGCCCAGCCCAUACGUCAUACUUACUUUGCUUUGAUGCUUGCCCCCAAGCACGCCUAUGUUUCUGCCAUGACUUGGCAUAAGGCCCGAAGCCAAGCCAAGACAGUCGGCCAUCAUGACUUACGGUGGUGACAAACCUCCCCCACCCAAAAAGCACAACGCCUUCAUCGGUGGGGUAAAUAUGUCUGCUAUAACCUCCCAUACUCAAAGCUAUAUCAAAGAUAUAACCUCCACUAGUGCAGCAACAUCUUCCGUAACCUUGUUCAGCUUAUCCAAAAUCCCAUUCAUAAACUUCGCCCAAGUUUGCUUUACAUUUUCCGUCUCGAGGGAGUUGAUUUAUGUGUUCUUAGCCAAGCUCUCCAAGUCAGGUUGUAAAGUGCCCACAAUUGCCUCAAAAUGCACUAACCUGUCCUUUUUUGACUCCCCUGUCAUGUUGGUUUCCACUAUUAUCAAUCUCCUUGAAACUACAUAAAUACAUUCUUUCACUCUAGUUUCUCCCUAAAACUAUAAAAGCACCUAUCCGCAAACUGAUUUAACCGAGCUUGGCUCUGAUACUAAAUUGUCACUGAAACUGAGGUAGCCGUCCUCUGAUACCAAUAUGGUCACCAAAAUUUUUCUAACUAUGUGUGGCAACCCGCGUGAUGACACUAAGUACUCUGCUUAACCAGCCACUCAAAAUGCCCAACGGAAGCUAAUGCAUCAUAAGUAAUUUAAGAAGGUUAUGCAAGAGAGAUUUCUCACCAACACAAAGAACUACACACACAAGCCACGAGAGCACAAGUGAUUUUCUUUUUACAGAGGCACCAACCUCUAACUUUUCUAUUUCCGCAAUAAGAAAAGUUUACAAAUAGUUCAAUUUUCACAUGUAUACCCAGUAUACAUCCUACCACUAUUUAUAUAUUAAAUUUGCAAAUGACACCCCCAUUUGCUAAGGUUAGGCGGCACGUCACCCUCGCGUCACCUCAGUUUCCCUCACAAAUUUUUAUACACUAUCAAGCAUGAUUUAAGUAGCACAUCUUCAUUCCCCCUUGAAUCGAACAAUCGUUGCCUAUUUAGCCUUUUAGCAAGGAAAUCAUGGGGAUGUAAAAGCCGCUACCCACCAGCUUCUCGAUAAGUAACCACCACUACCCACUAGCUUUACCCCUCAUUUCUAGGCAUGUGAUCCAAGACCAUGCUCUCCUACAUAGUUGCAAAAGACAUUGGUCCAGUUGCGUGGGCAGUUUGCGGGAUAAUUCGAGAGAGUGGCGUAAUUGCAUGUCAGAGUGUGCACAAGUUUGCAGCAACAUAGGUCGUGCACUUGGGGAUAAAUCAUACAAAAAAAAUGAGAGGAGUUCAUGCGCGAGACAAUGGUGGUUGAAUGUAGACCAUGGUAGCUGAAACUCUCCGAAAGUGGCCCUAAAAUCAAACAUGAGUGGGCAGUUGUGGGUGCAACUAAGUGGGAGAACAUGGCCUUGGAUCACAUGCCCAAAAAUGAGGGACAAAGAUAGUGGGCAAUGGCAGUUACAUCUCAUGAUUUCCUUGCUAAUCGGCUAAAUGGGCAGCAAUUGUUUAAUUCAAGGAGGAGUGAAGAUGUGCUCCUUUGAUCAUGCUUAGUGGUGCCUAAAAUUUGGAGAGGGAAAUUGAGGUAGUACGAGGGUGGCGCGCCACCUAACCUUAGCAAACGGGGGUUUCAUUUGCAAAGUUAUAUAUACAAAUAGUGAUGUGGAUGUAUGUUAGAGGUGCGAGUUUUGAGUAAAGAGUUGUGUCCGUGAGCAUGCAAAACUUGAACUAUCUAUAAACUUUUCUUAUUGUGGAAAUAAAAGCAUUGGGGCUUGGUGCCUCCGUAAAAAGCAAAUCAUUUGUGUUCUCGUGGCUUGUGUGUGUUGUUCUUUAUGUUAGUGAGAAAUCUCUCUUGCAUAACCUCUAUUGGGAGUCUUGGAUUACUUGCGACGCAUUAGCUUCUGUUGGGCAUUUUGAGUGAUUGGCUAAGUGGAGACUUAGCCCCAUCACAUGAGUUGCCACACAUUGUUAGAAAAAGCCUCGUAACUAGUUUGGUAUCAGAUCCAGGCUCGGUUAAAUCAGUUUGCAGACAACUAGUUUUGUAGUUUUGGGAAGAAACUAGAGUUCAAGAGUGUAGUUAUAUAGUUUCAGGGAGAUUCACAACGACGAAAACCAACAUGAAGGAGGAGUCGACAAAGGACAAGUUGGUGCGCUUGGAUGCAGUUGUGGACACUUUACAGUCCGACUUGGAGAGUUUGGCUAAGAAUACAAAAAUCAACUUCAUCGAGAUGGAAAAUGUGAAGCAAACUUCCAUGGAGUUUGUAAACAAGUUUUCAGAUAAGUUGAACAUGGCUACAGAAGAUGUUGCUAUACUAGCGGAUGUGCUUAAAGGGAUCUUGAAAAGGAAGUGGGAUUGCUGAAACAUGCAGUAGGGAACACCUCUGAGGCGGAGGAUGGACCUUCGAAAGUUAAAGUAUUCGAACCAAAGGCUUAUAAAGGAACUUAGAAUGCCAAAGAGUUGAAAACUUUCUGUGGGACAUGGAGAAGUAUUUUCGAGCUGUUUGUGUGCCUGAAGUGGAGUGGGUCAUUAUCACGAGCAUAUACUUAGAGGCCGAUGCUAAGUUAUAAUGGUGGAGCAGGCUUCAAGAGGAUGUUAAAGCGCAACGACCAGCGACUGAAACUUGAGACAGGCUUAAAGAAAACUGAAGGGACAAUUCUUCCCGAAAAAUGUUAGCUGGCUACGAGGGGGAGCUCGAAGAAUCUAAAGCAUAUUGCAUCAAUAGGGAAUUGCGUCAAAGAAUUCAGUUCAUUGAUAUUGAACAUCAAGAACAUGUCGGAUGUGGACAAGCUUUUCAAUUUCAUGUUAGAUUUGGAGUUGUGGGCUCAAACAGAAUUACGGAGGAAACCUGUGAGGGAUUUACCGGCUGCAAUAGCAGUGACCAAUGGCUUGGUAGAUUUCAGAUUUGUGAACGCUUGUCCUUCCAAAUAUAAGAAAUCAAAGGAUGGUAAGAAAGGCAAUUCCUACUACUAGAAUUAUGGUCAUCUGCGACCAAUAAAUUCGUCGCAAAAAAUAUCAAAUUCGUCACAAACAAUAAUUUGCGUCAAAAAAAUUAUGGUCGCAAGUUGGUCACAUUAGGUCUAUCGAGGAAAAAUAUAUACGACGAAAAAAAUGGUCACAAAAUAUAAUUUCACUUUGUCUUUGUUACCUUUUUGCAACCAAUUAUUUCGUCAUAGAUUUAGAAUAUUUGCAACCAUACUCAAACUGGUCGCAAAAAAUUUAAAUAUAAUAUUAUGUUUUAAUUAUAAUUUGUUUAUUUUUCUUUAAUAAUUAAGACAAUUAUAACCAACGUCAUGAAAGUAGAAAAAUUAAAUUAAAAUUUAUUAUUGAUAAAAAAUACACAAAUUUUAGCAAACGAAAUUACAUUAUUUAGAACAAUUACAUAAUUGUAACACUUGGACAAUUACAUAAUGAUCCUCAAAUAACAUUGUAAUAUUUGGAACAACUAUAUUUGUUCAUAAAUUUCUUGAUUUUCUUCACCUCUUUGUAUAUGAUCUUCAAUAUUUAAUUUAUACCAAAAAAAAAGCACAAAGGUUAGUUAACUUCUACACAUGAUAAUUAAAUAAAAUUAUGUAACCAAAAAAAUAAAAACGUUUGUGAGAAAAUAAGAUAGGAAGAUAGAGUGAGAACAAGAGAAUGAGAAUUAUAAGAGUGAGAGAACUUAGAGAUAAAAAUGAAAGAGAGAAGAAUAUUACAAAUAUAUAUAACAUGCUAGUCUUUUGCGACCACGUUUAAAUUUGUUCGCAAAAACUAGUUCAAAUUGAGUUUAAUUGUGUAAGACGGUUCAAUUUCCACCAAAAUCUUUUGACUUUUUUCAACAACUUAAAAGGGGUCGCAAAAAGUAGAUAUAUUGAGACGAAAAUUUGGUUUUGUCCCAAAAAAGAAGUCGCAUAUUAAUUUUAUCACUUUCUUUUUUGUGACGAAAUCUUGAAGUGGUUGCUAAAAGUAUAGAAUUUCCGAUAAAAUGUUUUUGGUCGCAAAUAAAUUAAAAAUAAAUAUAAUUGGCAAAUGCUUUUGCGACGAAAAUUGUGUUUGAUCCCAAAAAGUGAGUUUCUGUGAUAAACUUAAUUUCGGUCACAGAAAAAUAAAACAUUUAGCGACGAGAUCGUCUAUGGUCGUAAAAAGUGACAUUCUGUGACAAAAAUUAUAUCGUCACAGAAAAUAUGGUUACGAAAGAAUAUAAUACUUGUAGUGUUCUUACAUGAUGGUGGUGAGAAGAAUAACAACCAAAACAAAGCCAAGCAAGUGAAUCCACAAGGAAAGAGGAGUUCGGGGUGCUUCAUCUAUGACAGAGAACAUUGGGCAAAAGAUUGUCCAAAACGCGAGAAGCUGAAGGCUUUGAUGAAGGAAUUAGAAAGGAAGUCUUUGAAACCUUUGGAGGUUGAAGUAGCAACAACGUCCAUGAAUCUGUUACAAAUGUCGAGCAACUUCGUCAAGGUAGAAAAAGAACCAAUGGAUCAAGAGGUGCUAGCAAGCAUUCUGAGGGGUGAAUUCCACCAAGGGGGACUAAUUUGUGCAACAAUGUGGCUGAACAAAGUUAAAGUGAGAGCAAUAAUUGAUACGGGAGUGGAAGGAAGUUGGGUACCAUGUUUUGGUCUGCAAGUCGCUAGAGCCAACAUUGCCGUGGGUCUUACUUCAUACUAUCGGGUGGUUCCGAAUGACACAAUGGUGGCCAACCUAAGUGUGGGCACUUGGGUGUGUGAGACAACAUUUAUGGUGAUAGUUAUGUCCUAAUUUGAUGUGAUUUUGGGAAUAAAGUUCUUGUACAAUGCAUAGGUGCAUGUACUAUCUCACUUGUCAUGUAUUUAGAUCGGGGGCAUUAAGAGCCAUGCACAGUUGAAUGCGAGUAUCGGAGUUUGAGUAGGCUGAAACCAUCACUCUAGACUAUCAACAAUGGUUUAGAUCGGGGGAGUUUUGCAAUGAUCAGGUUGAAGAGCACAAUCAAGUUAAGAAAGACCUUGACAGGUAGUGAGACACUUGGACCUCGACUAGACAAGUUACCGAAGAAGAUAAGUAACCAAAGUAUAGCAGAAUCAAAAGCUAAGUCCUUGGCAAAUUUUUCUAAUUACUGGAAAUUGACGACAGUAAGACUGAAGGAGACAUUCAAGAAGGUAUCAGUUGUGGUGAGUCUUUGCCGUACGAGGGAAAACGAUGGUGCAUUAAAAAUGAAGCACAAAGCUUCGAGCACUGUAAAACAGCAAACGAGAGUCCGAUAAAAACUUCACAGUGGCUGCUUGGUUCAUAUUCGUGCUGUUGGGUGUAAUGACAUUGUUCUCUAUUUAUUGAUGCACAUGCAAGUGGUGUGAACAUCAAGCAUUGUGCGAGGAAACUCAUUAUAGUGGGCUGAAGUGGAAAAUGACAUGUGUGGCUGCCGAAUCCGAGGGAACUUUAGCAUUCCUUGGCAACAAGGCAGCAAGGAUGAAACUUUAUUGCGACGUCUACAAAAUGGACAAGCAAAGGCUUGCGUGGACGCAAUGACUUGUGGAAGUCGAGAGGGAACAAUUUGUAGCGACAAGUACAUUCUUAGGAAGAAUGGCUAGUGGGAAAAUCGCUAGCACAAAGUUAUUUAAUAGGUAGUGAAUGAUUCCACAUGGGCAAAAUUGCUUGCUGGAGUGCGCCAAGCAUGCAGCAACAUGGGGCAUGCACAGGGUGCCAAAUCAUGUGAAAAAUCAGAUGUGUUCAUGCACGGCUGUGUGCACACAAUGGCAGUUGAAUGUGGAGCAUGGUGGCUGUAACUCUCCGAAAGUGAGCAUAAAAUCAAGCAUGACUGGACAGUUGUGGGUGCAACUAAGUGGAAGAACAUGGCAUUGAAUCACAUGCUUAGAAAUGAGGGGCAAAGAUAGUGGACAUUGGCGAUUCCUCAUCGAGGAGGUAGUCAACGACGGUUACAUCCUAUAAUUUCCUUGCUAAUAGGCUAAAUGGACAGUGGUUGCUCGAUUUAAGGGGGAGUGGAUAUGUGCUCCUUAGAUCAUGCUUGGUAAUGUUUAAAAUUUGGGGAAGGAAAUUAAGGUGGCGCGAGGGUGGCGCUAUUGCACACAUUAGUCCCCCUUGGUAGAAUUCACCCCUUAGGAUGCUUGCUAGCACCUCUUGAUUCAUGGGUUCCUUCUCUACCAUGACUUCUUUGUUGCUCAACAGUUGUAACGGGUUCAUGUGUGUUGCUGCUACUUCGGCCUUCAAAGGUUUUGAAGACUCCCCGUCUGAUUCCUUCACCAAAGCAUUCAGCUUCUCAAGCUUUGGACACCUCGAACUCUUCUUUCCUUACGGUUUCCCUUGCUUGGCUUUGUUUUAACCGUUAUUCUUCUUCCCACCAUCACGCUAAAAAUUGCCUUUCUUACAAUCUUUUGAUUUCUUAGAUUCGGAAAGAGAAGCGUUUGCGAAUCUGAAAUCUACCAAGCCAUUAGCCGCUGGUAAAUCCCUCACAACUUGCCUCCGCAAUUCUAUUUGAGCGUACAGUUGCAAAUUGACAUGAAAUUGAUCAUCUUGUCCUCAUCCGACAUGUUCUUGAUGUCCACCAUCAACGAACUAAAUUGUUUAACGUAAUCCCUCACUAAUCUGGUAUACUUUAGCUUCACGUGCAUAAGUUUAAGAAUUAUUACCUCAUAUUAUUGUCAAGGAUUAGUAGAAAAUCACGGUAUUCUUUUUGUUAUCUUUUAGUUCAUUCAUUAUAUUGUGAUGUUUAGGGCAAAUAGAUAUGUAUCCAACAAAUAUUUGCGUGGGUAUUGGACACGGAUAAGAAUUACACUUGUGUCCUCAAGUAAUUAACCAGUCAUCAAAUCGGUUAAAUAAUUUUUUAAGAUCAAAUAAUAAAGAGAAAUAAGCACAGUCUAUCUAAAUUUCCAUAAUUUCUCCAUUAAAAAAAUUUAAUUACCAUAUUUAAAAAAAUAUUUUUUUUUAAUAUUAAAACAACUCGAUCUUAAAUUUUUCAUCUUAUUCUUACUUUUCAUAUAUUGCUAGGGAUGACAAUGGAUUGGAUCUAACCCAAGAUCCACGUGAUCCAAAUCCAAUCGGAUCGGAUUUAGGUCAGUUUAAAAUGAAUUUAGAUCAGAUUUGAAUAUCAAUGUGCGGAUUUAAAAUGGAUCUGGAGCAGGUUUGGAUCCAUUUUAAUAUCUAAAUCCAUAUCCAUAUCCACCCAUCUUUUUAUUUUAUUUUAUUUUAAAAGUUUCUUAAUAAUUAUGGAAUUAUAAUAAUAAUAAAUUUUAUUCAUAGCAUAUUAGUAGUAUUUACCAUGCAUUUAAAUUCUUAAAAUUUAAAGGUUAGUUUUGUAAAUUUAAAGGUCAGCCAGCCCCACAGCAUGUACAUGCAAUAUUCAAAUUGCAAGUCCAGUAAUACAACCUGGUAAUUUAUUUUAUUAUAUUGACCAAAUAAUUUUUAAGGAAUAUAAUUAUUCAUAUAUUUAGUCAAAUAUGGGCAUAAUAAAAAUAAUAAAGGACUGGAUAUAAAUCAUAUUUAAUUUAUAUGUCAUUGUCUAAUGUUGUAGGAAUGAAGGUGGGUGUGUUGUUGAUAUUAGAAUUGUGAAGGAGACAAUAGAAUAUUAGAUUGAUUUUGCUCCUAUAAUUACUUUUGAACGAUAUUUUAUUAUCUUUCUUAUUUGUUGUUUUGAUGUAAAAGUAUAAGCUACAAUAUUUAUUAUAUUUUUGAGAAAAAUUAUAUAAUUUAUUUGUUAUCAAUACAUUUUAUCCAAUGAAUAUAACUAAAAAUUCAAAAUUGUACGGUACCAAUCAUAAAAAACAAAAGGGAUAACCAUUAACAUGUAUUUGAUGACGAUUAAAAAAAUUCAUAUUUAUUUUGUACACAUCCAAAGUAAUAUGUAUAUUUGCAUAUUCAAUUUUUUUUGGUCAUUUAGAAAAUAUUUAUCAAUUAAUUAAAAAAUAAAUUUACAUCCAUGAACUUGUUAAUUUUUAAGUUAUUUAUCUAUUAAAUUAAGCCAAUGGAAAUAUUAAAAAUAUUUAAAUUUAAGGUCCAAAAUAAUCGCAUCUCAAUACUAUAAAACUUUAUACCACAUUAUGAAAAAAUUAAUUUUAAAAAUAUACAUAAAAUACCACAUUAAUAAGUAUUUUAAUAAAAUAUCCAGUUGAGGAAACGUAGCAUUUCUCUUAAUGAAAUUUAUGGUCUUUGUUCUUUAAAGUUUUUUUUUUUUGUCAAGAAAACAUGCUACUGACCUCAAACAAAUAAGACCCUUGAUUUUAGGGAAAUUUACACUAUUAACCAUAAAAUUUUUUUCUUUUUCCAUCUUAACCCCCAAACAAAUUUCUAUCAACAUUAGCCACAAAAAACCUUUGAGACCAAAAUACCCCUCUCUCUCAUCUCUCCCCCAACACUCUCUCUUUCACCCAUCUCUCCCAAACUGAAGAAUCUCUCAUCAUCAGUGGCAACAUCAACCCUCGUCGGCGGUGGCUUCAUCCCUCAUCGGCAUCCGAUCUAUCAUCUACAGCCUUCAACAACACCUAGGUUAGCCAUUUUAUUUAUUUUCAUUAAUUUAAAAUGAAAUUUUAGAAUAAUAGUGGUUGUAGUUUGAGAAUAAUGGUGGUGGUGGUGUUUGUGGUGGUUGUUGUUGUUUUGGGAGUGUGUUGAUUUGGGAGUGUUGUUUUGGGAAUGUUGAACCACUGCCCAGCGAAGGGCGCUAGCUCGCGCCCGUCACUGGGCAGCAGCGCGCGCACGCACCCCUACUAUCGCACUAAAUUACAUUGGGUUUAACAUUUUUUUCCGUCAACUCAAUUUAUUUUAUUUUUGUUGUAAAUGCAAUGUAAUAAUGUUAUAAAUAUUAUAGAUACAUGGCGAAAUCAGAAUCAUCGGAUAUCGAAGUAGGUAGGAUGUAUUUUCGUUAUGCCAAUCACUUUCCGGGUCGAAUUUCGAGCAUGUGUAAUUUAUCUUCGGUCGCAAAAGCCAUCGAGGAAAAAUUAACAAAGCGACAGUUGAAUCUAUUCAAGAAGGAUAUAUUUGGGCAUUUUUUGGAGUGUCGAAGCUUUCCAUUUAGUCGGGUAAUUUUGCACAAUCUUUCACUGAGGCAAGUGGCCCAUGAAGAAGAUAGCCGUGAGGAUCAGUUAUGGUUUCAAAUUGGUGAGCAUUUGAUUCGCUUGUCAAUUGUAGAAUGGUGCCUGGUUACUGGACUUUCAUAUGGUGUUGAUAACGAACUAAGAAAUAACAAAACGGUGCAUAGGCUACGGAAUACGUAUUUUGGUGGUGUGCAUCGCAAGAUCAAUUUUAAGGAAUUCGAUGCAUUAUUUAAGAAGUUGAAAUUCGAGGAAAUGGACAAUAUGGACGCAUUAAAGAUUGCGCUCUUUUAUUUUGUGGACAAAGUACUAAAUGCAAGAAUAAAUCACUGUCAAAUCAAUUUCGAUUGGCUUAACGAAAUUGAUGAUAUAGAGUACUUCUGAAACCGUUCAUGGGGUCGUUUUUCAUGGGAAAUGUGACCGGCUCCUCUAUCAUCACCAUUAUUAUUGAAAUGAGUGUCUCUCAUACUAUUAGAAGGUUUUGCACAAACAUUAUCCCCAUCUAUCUCAUCAUGAAGAUCAUCAUUGUUCCGGAAAUCAUUGUUGUGAUACGGAGGAUACCGUUGCUCCAACGACGUCUUUAUUGGAAAUACCGUUGCUCCAACAUCCUGUAACGUAAUGCCGUUAUCAUCAAUCACUACUAGAAAAAUGGGCUACCAUGACAGAGAAUAUCUGUCAUCCGACCCUGUUUAUGACAGAGUUUCUAUCUGUCAUUGUAGCCCCUCUCACAAACCUGUGACAGUAAUUUAUCUAUCAUAGGUAUAUGUGACAGCUUAUAGCUAUCACAAAUGUGUCACAACAAAAGCAACGUCAUUUUAAUAUUUUAGUGGUAAAUUUUUUUUAUUGUGAAAAAUCUUUUGGCGGGUAUUAUUAAUUCAAUUUUAAAUUAUGGCGCGUAAUUAUGUGUCACAACUUUAUGAUUCUAAUAUGGUGUCACGAUGUGAUUUUUUUAAACAAUAAUAUUAUUAAAAGAAUUUUUUUAAAAUCAUAAAUUUGUAAUAUUUUAAAUAAUAUUAAUAUUAUUAUUAUUAAAAAUAUUAAAAAUUAGAACAUAAGUUUUAAUAUUUUUAAUAAUAAUAUUAUUAUUAUUUUAUAAUUUUAUAAAUUCCAUUGAAAUUUAAAAAUUACAAUAUGUAUAAAAUCAAUACAUCCAAAUUAUCUCAACAAUAUUAUCAAAACAUCACUAAAUCAUCACUUGAAAUAACCAUAACAUUGUCAAAACAUCAUCUAUUCAAUUAUCACAAAUCUACAUCCCAACACUACCAUCUGGAUCAUUACCAGCAUACAAAAACAUCACAACACUAUAUAUCAUCUGAAACACUACCAGGCUGAUCAAGAUUCACUACUAUACUUAAGACUUUAUCAAACAAUAUAGCAUACAAAUUUCACUACCACUUAGACUUUAUCAAGAUUCACUAUCAUCUGGAACAAUACCAGCAUACAAAAUUCACUGCCACUUAAGACUUUAUCAAACAAUAUCAUCAUCAACUCCACUGCUCAUACUAUCAGCUCAGACACAAAGGAAGCAUACUCGAGACGCACUUCAUCAAGCUCACUUUGAGUGUAUUCACAUUUCCCUUUAAACUGUGAAAUGAUGAUCACAUGUUAGACUAAAGUAAACUAUAUAUAGUUAAAAGUAUUAAGUGAAGAAAUCCGACAAUGCAUCUGAAAGAAUGUGUACUUACAUCAUGGAGAAGUAAACUCGGGUCUGCAAUUAUGUCUUUCAUAAACCUCAGCACAUAGUAUCCACACUCAGUACUCCCUGGUUGAUUUGGGGACUAUAUCAUCAACAAAAUAAUCAUUAAUACAUAUGCAUAUGAAUUCUUUCAAGUGAUUAAAUAUUAACAAGUCAUGCGCUGCCAAAAAAAAAGAAGAAAAAAGAAAGUCAUGAUUGUUUACCAAAACUUUUGUGAUAUGUGGUUUCACCCUUUUUUUACCAGUCACCGCAACAUGCAUUGAUAUCCCACUACAUUAUAAUACAUGCAGUAAGUAAAUAAACAUGAUACAUAAAAUUAUAUUAAAAAUACAAUAUCACCAUACUUGGUAACUAUGUCCUUCAGGUCACUGUCGUCACCCAAAUCGUUGUUCGUAGAAUCCAGAUAAAACGCUUGCUUUGUCGUCAUAUCAAUUACAAUCAACACCCAAUGGAAACUAUUACAUAAAGAAAUUGAAAUUAUGAAUCAAUUUUAGUAAAUGAUCAUCAAUAUAAAGUAAAUAGAACUGUACCCAGGGUUAUAUGGCAUGAAAAUCAUUUGCCCUUUGUUUGCUUUGUUCAACCGUUCGGCAAUAAAUUGUGCCCUUUUUACCCUUGUAGCAAAGGCAUCCUUAUCAUGGGCUGAUGAUACGAGUCCUGUGUGUAUGAACCUAAAUGGUCUGCCCACUAUAUCAUUCGCCAUGUGUGCAUGCAACAUCCUGAUGCAAUUAAGAUGAUGAAAUAGUGAGAAUGUUGCCAAUAAAAAAUAUCACUAAAAAAAAAAGAAACCAGAGAAAGGAAGUAAUAAACUAAAAAUUGAAAAUAAACUAGUAAUUAUGAUUUUGUAAACUUACGCGAUGUAUAGAUGCAUAUGAUUUGCUCCUAGCUCUUUCAUCGAAAUCAAUGAUUGACAUUCAUCGAGACCAAUAUGUGCUUUAGUUGGAUGCUUGUAUACCUCUUCAUCCAACUGAUAAGGUACAUAAUAACCCAUUUGAGCCAACUUCUUUUCACAAAGAUUUGCAAAUAUUACAAGCCCAGGCACCCGGUUCAUAUGCACAAUAUGAUAAUUCCUUGUUCUUCUUCUUGACAGUGGCUUCUCUUGAGGCUUUUUUGGUGAUGUCUUCUUCUUUGGACUACAUGGUUUGUCUCUUGGACAAUCAAGAGUCAUUCUUGGUUUCUUGUGAGGCUUCAUUGGUGAUUCCUUCUUCUUUCUUGGUGAUUGCCUUUUCUUCAUCACUUGCUGCUUUGGUGAUUCUUGUUUCUUCCUUGGUGAUUGCCUUUUCGUUGGAGUUUCUGGUUUGUCUCCAGGACAAUCAGCAGUCACUUGCUUCUUUGGUGACUCAUUCCUCUUCCUAGGUGAUUGCCUUUUCUUUGUCAACGUUUCGUGCUUCUUCUUUGCAGGUGAUCCAUUCCUUGUCAUGCCGAUUGACUGACAAGCCAAAAAAAAAAAAGGUUUGUUAUUACGGUUUUGACUACGGCUAAAAUUGUCUAAAAUCCAAUGUUUAAGUCAUUUUUUAACUUGACUGUGCACAAUAAUCUGUAUCAUACCUUGUCCUCAUUACGAGCAGUCAUUUCUUCAGCUUCAUCUUCAAUUGUUUGCUCAUCUAAUGGAAAGUUUGAGCUUCCAACAUCUGAAUGUCGAGGUUGCUUUUUAAUCUUCUUCUUCAGAUCACUCAACUCUGCUUCUUGCUUAUCUAACCUCUCUAGUAUGUUUAGUCGCUCUUGUCGCAUCUGAAAUGAAUUGUUUGGGGUGUCAAAGUACAUCUUAGGCGAUAUAAAUUUCCCAACACCCUGCAUAUGUCCAGAAGUGGCAGGCCUUCCAAUUGAACGUGCAAGAAUAUCAUUUCUUGCAUCAGCUUUAAAUUCUCCCUUUUUAGCUUUCUCUUCCAGUGCAUCCUAAUUGCAUAAUAAUCAUAUUGAUGAAUAUCAAUUUUUUUCCAACAGAACCUACUUAAAAAAAAAACCUUGCUAUUACUUACAAUCUUCUUCACAACUGAAUCAACAUCAGGAUCAUAUUCACCGUUUUUCAUCUUCCUAGCACGCUUCCAUGCUACACUCCUGUCAACUUCAGUUUCGACAAGUCCAGUUUCCGAGCACUAUAGUUUAAAAAAAUAAUAAUAUCACAGCUGGUAUGCAUCCUUAACUAACCAUGAAUUGCAAGCAGUAAAUUAAAACAAAAGGUUUGCCAAUUUAUCAUCAUCAAACCAACCAUCUUUAUACCAAUAGCUAUACAAGAAUGGUCAAGUUAGUAUCAUAGUACUUACAAUUUCAUCAAGCAAUCCAGCAUAUCCUUUUCUACUUAAACGAUGGUUCCACUUGUUGUUAGCUCUCUUAUUUUGCUGUUGACGCCUAAUUCUCUACAUAAAACAAUCCAUAAUUAGAUUUAAAGAUGGUUUUAUGAAAUGUCUAAAUGUUUAACAUUUAAAAUUAUUCACCUCAAACUCAGUGGACAAUCUAGAAUUCACAAAUUUAUCCCAAACAUUUUGAGGAAUAUGACUGUACUGAAAAGGUGGCCGCUUCAGCCUUUUACGAUUGUGCUUGUGUGGCAAGAUAUACUUUGUGGUGAGCAAGUACUUGAAGUUUCUGAAUGCACUACCAAGUGCUUGGAAAACUUGCUUCUUACUAUUUGGAUGAACAAUAAAACGUUCCUGAGAAAAAUACAUAGCAUAAUGAUCAAAUAGUUUAACAUAUACAUUAUUCAAUUCUGAUAUAUAAAUAUAAAUAAUCAUUUUACCUUAAUAAACUCCCACAAACGGCUUUUUAAAUCUGGAGUAAUCUUUCUCCAUUCUUGGUUAAUAUCUGGAAUAGAAGUACGGCCCAACAGCCCAAUAAAGCUUGCUAAUUCAGUAGCUUCAGGGCCAACAGGUACACCGAGCCCAUUGUACCUCACUACAAGCUUCCCGCCACUCAUCCUCAUCCUGCCAGAGUUUUUAGUUGGUCCUCUCACAGUGGAACUGCUCUUCGGAACAUCAUUUUCAUCCUCUGAAUUAGGAAACUCAUCAGGAACCUCCUCAUCCCUUGAAUUAUCUUCAUCAGGAACCUCUUCAUUACCCGAAUAAUCAAUACUUUCCUCGUUAGAGAGUUCAUCAGCAAGUCCUUUUCCUUUAUCCAUAAGGUUGCUCCUGCAAUAAAUGCACAUUUAGUAUUAGAACAUUAUAUAACAUAUAAAUAAUGUCAAAAAAGGUAAUCUAAAGUCAAUACAAGGAAAAUAUAAUAAUAAAAGAUAACGUAACACAAAACUAUUAUAAGACAUACAAGCAGUAAAUGCCAUCAGCUUUUUCAAGCAUCAAUCCAGAUGCCAUGCUUGCCAUCUCUUGCAUAUCUGUCCGCGUAAUUUAAAUUUUCAAUAUUUGGUAACCCAUUGGUCAGAGGGUUGUGUUCCAUCAUGAUAUCUAUAUCCUCAGCACUUGUCUUCUUUGGAACACAUCUACGAUGUAUAUGACUUACAACUGACCAUCUUUUAUCAAGUUGAUCAGUGACAUAAAAGACUUGUGUUGCUUGUGAAGCCAAUAUAAAUGGGUCUGAUUUAUGACCCAGGCGAUUUAAGUCCACUAAAGUGAAGCCAAAUUCAUCAAUUUUAAUACCCCCAUUAUUUUGAACCCAAUCACACUUGAACAAAGGGAUUCUAAACAUAUGGUAGUCAAGGUCCCAUAUGUCGUUAAUAACUCCAUAGUAAGACAUGUCACCAAGAAUAGGGUUUUUGUCUUUGGCACUUGCUACUUGUAAAGUUACUGCAAUAAGACUAACUCCACUAUUUUGAUGAACUCGUUGUUCGUCUCAUUCCCGAGUAUGGAAACGAUACCCAUUGAUGUCAUAUCCUGGGUGCUUAACUACAAAAGGACGGGGUCCUUGAGAUAACCACCUCAAGAUGUUCGAGACAUCUUCAUCAUCAUCUAUCAUCUCAUAUACCUACAUAAUAAUAAUCGUAAUGAAUGAAUUAUUGUAUAAACAUGACAAUAACUUUACUAAAAAGAAUAUAUAAUGGAACAUCUAUUAUUAACCUUCUUAUUAAGCCAAGUUGAAAAGGUGCGGUUGUGCUCAUUGCUCAACCAUCUCUCAUUCUUGGCUUUUUGUGAAUGAUGACCCUUUAGCCAUUGAAUGUGCUCACUACAUAUUUGACAUUUACAUAUUAAGCUACUGUUCAAAUUCUUUAAAAAUAAUUCAGUAAAGGAACAAAUUAAAGGUUAAACAUUAACAAACCUAAUAAAUGGUUGAACUUCUUCUGUGUUUUGCAAUACAUAUAGGUGCGCUUGAUGAAUUAAGGAAUGAUCAACAUGCUCAAAUUUUCCACCAGGCAAAGGCUUAUCAAUUGAAGAGGUUUCAACAUGUCCAGGAGGAAGCCCAAUUGUACGCAUAUUUGAAACAUAUUUUGCACAAAAUUCCAGAGCCUCUUCGGCAAUGUAACUCUCAGCUAUGCAUCCCUCAGGGUUAUUACGGUUUCGAACAUAAGCCUUUAGGCCUUUCAUGUUCCUCUCAAAUGGGUACAUCCAUCUUAAGUAUACCGGCCCACAUAGUCUAACUUCAUUAACUAAAUGGAUGGUUAAAUGGAUCAUUAUGUCAAAAAAGGAUGGCGGAAAGCAUUUUUCCAGCAAGCAUAAGGUCAACGCAAUAUCUUCUUCCAUUUGGUCAAGUUUGGUCACAUCAACAACCGUUGCGCAUAAGGAAUUAAAGAAGAAGCACAAUCUAAUAAUGGCAUAUUUAACAUGAUCUGGUAAGAUAGACCUUAAAGCAAUAGGUAAAAGUUGUUGCAUGAGAACAUGACAGUCAUGAGACUUUAAACCUUGCAGUUUUAAGUCUUUCAUUGACACUAGGUUCUGAAUGUUUGAAGAAUAACCUACAGGAACCUUUAUGCUUUUUAAUACUUCACAAAACCUUUUCUUUUCUUCUUUGGUCAAGGUGUAACAAGCUGGAGGCAAAAAAGUACGAUUAUUUUCUUUAACAUCAGGUGCCAAUUUUUGCCUAAUCUUUAAAACUUUUAGAUCCCACCUCGACUUAAUGCCAUCUUUGGUCUUUCCCGGGAUAUUUAGUAAUGUUCCGUAGAUGCUUUCACAAACAUUUUUUUCAAUGUGCAUAACAUCUAACUGGUGACGAAUAAGCAAGUACUUCCAAUACUCUAACUUAAAGAAUAUUGAUUUUUUCUUCCACCAAACACGAUCGUCAUCAUCAUCCUUUUUCUCGCCUCUUUUUUUGCGCUUUUUAUCUUUCACUUUACCCCAUUUGUUUUCAAUACUCUCCACCUUUCGAAAAAUGGCCUCACUAUUCAAUGGUUUCGGAGGAGGCUCUCUUUCAUGUUUAUUAUUAAAAGGUUUCUUUUGAGUUCGAAAGGGAUGAUCAUGAGGAAGCCAACGGCGAUGGCCAAUAUAAGCAAUUUUUUUACUGUGUUUAAGUCUACAUUUUGGCAUAUCUUCACCGCAAUAAGGACAAGCAUAAUAACCCUUAACCGUACAACCCGCCAAAUUCCCAUAAGCAGGAAAGUCAUUUAUAGUCCACAAUAGUACAGCCCGUAAAUUGAAGAACUCUUUUUUGUAGGCAUCAUAAGCUUCCACACCAACAUCCCAUAGAGUUUGCAAGUCCUCUAUUAGUGGUGCCAAGUACACAUCAAUAUCAUUACCGGGCUGUUGUGGACCAGAAAUUAAUAAGGAUAACAUCAUAAAUUUUCGUUUCAUACACAACCAGGGUGGAAGAUUGUAUGUUACAAGAAGAAUGGGCCAGCAACUAUACGUACUACUAAGAGAGCUAUGAGGAUUAAUGCCAUCAGCUGAUAGGGCAAGACGCAGAUUUCUAGGCUCUAAAGCAAAGGUAGGCCAUUUUUCAUCAACUAACUUCCAUGCCGGUGAGUCAGCUGGAUGUCGAAGCUUACCAUCUAUUUCCCUCUCAUUUAUAUGCCAAGUCAAGUCUUUGGCAGUUUGUGAGGACUGAAACAAACGCCUAAAUCUAGGUAUAGGAGGGAAAUACCAUAACACUUUUGUAGGAACCCCCUUCCUAUAAGCAGCAACACUACCAUCUCUUUUCUUCCACCUAGAUUCACCGCAUGUAGGACAAUUAGAAAGGCUUUCAUACUCCUUUCUAUAGAGUAUACAAUCAUUUGGACAAGCAUGAAUUUUGAUAUACUCUAAGCCUAAAGCACUCAUUGUCUGUUUGGCUUUAUACAUUGAUACAGGCAAGUCAUUUCCUUCCGGUAACAUGUCAGAAAGAGCACUCAACAAAUCUGAAAAGCUACUAUCAGACCACCCAUAUCUGCCCUUUAUAUUGUACAAUUUAACUAAAGCUGAUAACUUGGUAAAUUUGUUUGAUCCAGGGUACAAAGGCUUCUCAGAAUCUUCUAAUAGUUUUUUCAAUGCUUUAAGAUCACUAUCACAAUCCUUAAAAGCAUCUUCAACCAUUUCAACAGUAUUACCACCAUCAUAAUCCAUAUAUCCACUGUCAUUUUGGCAACCUAUAUUGUCAGGAGAUUUGUUGCGGAUAUCUUCCCCAUGCCAAACCCAUGUUUUGUAUGACAUAUCAAGACCCCAUAUAAUUAAAUGAUCUUUCACUUCUUUAGGCCUAUGAAAUGCUAAAUUCUGACAUUUAUCACAUGGACACCUAACAACACUAAUUUCUUGAUUACUUUCAACUGCAGUCUUAAUAAAUUUUUCCACACCAGCCUCAUACUCAUCGGACAAUCUAUCAUAUUUAAGCCAAGAUUUAUCCAUUUUUUGUCUAGUACCUGACAUAUAAUUGAGAUAAAUUUCAACACAAUGUACUAAUGGGCAGCAAUGAUAAACGGUUUCCAUUAUCAAUAAAUUAAGCAACAAAACAUUAUUAAUAUUCAAUUUAUAAAUUCAAUGAAAUAAAUAAGUUUAAAAAAAACUUGUCAUCAUGUGCAACAAAUGUAACUUUACCAACAUGCUAUCAUCAUUGACCAAAACCACCGACUAACCAUACCCAACUAAUAAUAUCCUAAAUAACUUGGCCCACAUACAUUUAACAUUUAUUUAAAAAAAAAAUUCUAGCAAUCCAGCAUUUCAUGGACCACAAGACUAUAUAUAUAUAACCAACUAAACAUUACUUGGUCCACAUGACCAAACUUGCCCCCACAUGGUACCAUUUCCUUCAAACAUAAAAAAGACAAUUGAAAAGGGGGCCUUACUUUUUAACUCAAUAAAUUACACAAAAUCUAGCUCACAAUCAUUAAAGAAAAUGUCUAACACCAUUGGACCACAGUUUCGGAUUCAUCCCAACAAAAGACACUAGUAAAUGAAAAGUACUAUAUCAUCAACCAAAAUCACUUCACACACAUGCAAGCUCUGACUAAAAAUUUACAGAAUAUAACAAUAUUCAUACAAACCAUUGGCAGCAAACAUUUUUCAAACAUUGAACGGAAAGGCAAGUAAAAAAUUGAACAAACCUGAUGUUAGAAAUCGAGUUUGAAAGGGAACAGGGCAGUGAAAUCCUGCGAUUCAGAACAAAUUUUUUUUAAAUAAAAGAUGAGGACAUGCUAAAUUAAAUGAUUGAGCAAUUUCUAGAUUUAAUAGAAGGACAAAGUAUAAGCUUCUUGAAUUAAAAAAUAAACAAAAAAUAUAACAACAGAAACAAACGAGAAUUAAAAAGUAAUAAUAAAGAUAAACCUAGGGCAUAAAUUAUGAACAAAUAAGGGAAAUAACAACAAAACUAACAAUUAAUUUUAUAAUGACCAAUUAAUUUAUUCUGAAUAAAAUUUAAAAAAGUUAAUUGAUGACAAACCUAGGGAUUCAGCGAUUACAGGAUGGCUUCUCCAACGCCGAUUGAACAAUACAAAGAAAUAGUGACACCGACAGCUUCAAUAAUGGACGCGAAGGCGCAACAAUGAGCAUAUGUGGUGAUUUUGUUCCUAAAAACAAUGGGUUCGAAAUAAUGGGGGUUAAAGAUAAUGGGGGUUCAAAAUAAGGACGGGAAGGCUCCUUCAAUAGCAUAAACUAUGAUUUCGGUUUCCAUGCAACGGAUUUCAAAACCAAUUUGCAGAUUAAAAUAUGUUAAUAAACGGAUUUUGAGGGGUUUCACUGCUUUGGUUUCUCAGCCCUUGCUGAUGGAGUGAUGGGUCAAAGGUGCCAACACUUAGAAUUUUUUUUGUGUUUGUGGUUUACAAUAUACUGAAACGAUAGCGUUUAAAUGUUAAAUAAAUAUUUUUAUUUUAAAAAUGUUUUAAAUCUGUAAAACGGUGUCGUUUUAUGUCCAAAUUAAUUCCACUCGAAACCCACGGUUUGAUUAAAUAUUAAUACGCUAUCAUGUUUAUCUGAUAUAUAAAAAAUCUAUCAGAAAUCUGUCAUGAAUUUAUGAUGUACGAAAAUUCUAUCAUAUGUCUAUCAUAUUCUUAUGAUAAAUGACUAAUUUUCUAAUAUCUAUCACAAAAAUUCUGUCAUGGUAGCCCAUUUUUCUAGUAGUGAAUGUUGUCAUAUUUGUUGUGGAUUGGAGAGUAAUAUUGCUGCACCGAUAUUGUCCUUGGUAACACCUCUUCUUCAUUAUCGGGGCCAGACAUAUUUGCUCUAAACGAAAUUUCUAUAUCGACAUGUGGCUCAAUACCUUCGCUUGGAACUCGAGGUGAUGUGGUCACGAAUAUAGGAAUGCAUCCAAAAUUGGCUACAUUGGAUGCCAUAUGCAACACAAUCCUCAUCAUUUCUUCAUCAAAUAUAUCUAUGGGCAGUGCACAUAUACGAUGUAAUGUGUUACUAAACCUCAAAGUUAUCUUCAUUGUAAUACUAUAUUCAUUAUGGUUUAUUUGGAACACCUCGUAUACUCUUGUCAAUAACUGAUCAAACAAAUAAUUUUUCCCAACCAAAAAAACUCUAUUUUUACCAUUCACAUACUCCAUACGGCCAUCCUCUAAUGUCUCCUACCAAUUAUCGUAACACAAUUCAAAUACAACUGAAUCCAUUAAGCCUGAAAUUAUAAAAAUAAAAAAUAAAUUAUUUGAGCCCUAUCAAAUUAAUACAGUUGCAAUGAAUCUGCCUCUUCGUGCGACAGGCAGCCUGUUGCCAGAUUCACCCACGACUCGCAGUUCACUGAAACUCUCAACCAAGUUCAGAAAAUAACUCAUACCACUAUAUGAUGCCGAUUAGUGUUGGAUCCGGAUAGAUUAUGAUCAGAUUUCACUUUUAUCGUUGCCUUUUGCUGUCGUCGUUGGUUGAUGAUACAAGAGUGGAAAGCUACCUUUGGUUUGACGAAAAGGGGAGAAAGAAAAUUGCUUUUGGUUUGUAAAGAAGGGUAAUUUGGGAAGAAAGCUAUAUAAAAGGAUUAUAAUCACGAUAUGACAUGGAUUUAUAUUUUACUAACAUAACAGAUGGUAAGAAAGCUCUGAAAAACGAUGAGAAUUGACGUGGAUUAAUAUUUUACUUACAUAACAGAUGGUAAGAAAGCUAUAUAAGAGGAUGAGAAUCCUAUACACAAAAUGGACAAUACGGUAGACAAGUAGACUAUAUUUUACUUACAUAACAGAUGGUAAGAAAGCUAUAGAAAAGGAUGAGAAUCCUAUACACAAAAUGGACAAUAUGGUAGACAAGUAGACUAUAUUUUACGUACAUUUUGCUUGGAAUUGCUUCUUUACAUUUCUUUAGUAAUUUCACGCUUUCUUCAUCAUUCCAGUUAUGCAGCAUCCACUACAAGUACAAUUUGGUCAGAUCCAUUAGGCGCAAUUUGGAUUCAUACACUAAUUAUAAAUAUUUUUAAAACUAGAGAAGAAGAAUUGGAUGAGUAAGAGAUCCUUUACCUUGAGUAAAAUAGCAUUUGCCUGAGGUAUUGCCUCAAACAUGUUCCCUCCAAGAAAGUCCAGAUUAUCAUUAGUCCCUUGCAAAUUAUCAACCACGUGUGGAAGAUCAAAAACAGUGCAUUUAAUAUCAGGAAAAGCUGUAGCAAUGGCCCUUGCCAUGGUUCCUGUGCCACCAGCGACAUCAAUCAGGGAUUCAACCCCUCGAACACCUCUUUACAAUCUUUAAUCACAAUCCCAGCUAUCAGCUCCGAAUCAGUGAUCAUGAGAUCAUAAAAUAAGCUUUUAAAUUUGGGUUCAUCAGCUACCCGGUCCCAAACUUUUUUCCCAUGCGUUGUCUCAAACAGCGUGGGAUCAUCGUUUUGCAGCUAAGUUCCCAAGCAAUGAAACGCAGUUGUAUAUAAGGGAUCAGCAACAAGAUCCACAAAUGGUGCUGCCUUCAAGGGCGUAUCCUUAAGAAGAAGUCUAAAAGCGGGUGUAAGAAAAUACUCAUCAUUUUUUUGCUGAGCAAAAAAGCCCGAGUGAACUAGAAUGCGCAUGACGCUUUGAAUGCAUUCAACUUUAUUUGGUUUUAUAUUGAGUGCUUGAAGAAACGUGUUUUCAUUUCUUAAAUAAAGCAUUAUACAUUGAGAGUUAUUUAUAGAUGCAGAGGCUACAUUUUUUCAAAGAUUACAUAUGUGAAUACGGAAGGAAAUGUGUCAAUCCGUUCGGCGCGGAUCUUGUCUUUGACAAGUGCAUAUUACCCCUUUGACAAGUGCAGAUUCUGUCUUUGAAAGCUUCAUUCAAUGCCGUUUUAUUUGAUUCUCAACACUCCCCCUCAAGCUGGUGUAUAGAUGUCUUGCAUACCCAACUUGUCUAGGAAUUUUGUAAAUGCCCUGCUUGAAAUGGCCUUCGUUAAAAUAUCUGCAAGUUGAUCUUCUGAUCGAAUUUUCGGCAGUUCUAAGAUUUUUUCAUCUAAUUUCUCCUUGAUGAAAAAUCUAUCUACCUCCACAUGUUUUGUUCGAUCGUGUUGAACUGGGUUAUGAGCAAUAUCUCGUGCAGCUUUGUUGUCACAGUAUAGUUGUAUUGGUUGUUGUGAUGGAUAGCCCAAAUCGUUUAAGAUAAAACUUAUCCAUAACCCUUCACAUAUCCCAAGGGCCAUGCCUCGAUAUUCUGCUUCAGCGCUCGAACGGGCAACGACAUGUUUUUUGCUUCUCCAUGUGACAAGGUUUCCUCCCACAAAGGUAAAGUAUCCUGAAGUAGAGCGUCUAUCACUAACUGACCCGGCCCAAUCUGCAUCAGUAUAAACUUCUAUGUUGCUGUAAUCUUCAUUUUUGGAAAAUAAGAUUCCUUUUCCUAGAUUUGUCUUCAGGUACCUCAGGAUCCGCAUUACUGCUUUCAUGUGUUGUUCUCCGGGAUUAUGCAUAAACUGGCUUACAACACUCAAUGCAUAAGCAAGAUCUGGCCUUGUGUGGGACAAGUACAUCAAUCUUCCAAUCAGCCUUUGAUAUCUUCCUUUGUCUACUGGAACUUGGUCUGAAGUAAUACAAAACUUCAGUCCUUCUUCUAUUGGGGUGUCAAUAGGCUGACAAGCUGUCAUUCCCGUUUCGUGUAAUAGAUCUAAGGCAUAUUUCCUUUGAGACAGAAAGAUUCCUCCCUUAGAUCGAGAAACCUCUAUUCCAAGAAAGUAUUUUAAGGCACCUAAAUCCUUCAUCUCAAACUCUCUUGACAAGUACUUCUGAAGAGCCUCUGUUUCUUCCUCGUCGUUGCCUGUAACUACCAUAUCAUCCACAUAGACAAUAAGGACAGUGAUUUUACCUUGUCGUUUUUUAAUGAAUAAGGUAUGAUCUGAAUUGCUUUGGUUAUACCCAAAAUGAACCAUAGCCUUUGUGAAUUUCCCGAACCAUGCUCUUGGGGAUUGCUUCAACCCAUACAAUGAUUUCUUCAAUUUGCAUACUUUCUGAUUGAGUCGUUCUGGUCCACUGCAUCCUGGUGGCAGAUCCAUAUAAAUUUCUUCAGACAGGUCUCCAUGGAGGAAAGCAUUCUUUACAUCGAAUUGUUGCACUGGCCAAUCCAAGUUGACUGCUAAUGAUAAUAAGAUACGAAUAGUAUUAAUUUUUGCUACCGGUGCAAAUGUAUCAGUAUAAUCAAUCCCGUAGGUUUGGGUGUAACCCUUAGCUACGAGUCUUGCUUUGUAUCGUUCAAUAGAGCCAUCUGCUUUGUAUUUUAUAGUGUAGAUCCAUCGACAACCCAUUGGUUUCUUUCCUGUUGGAAGAUCAACUAGUUCCCAUGUUUGAUUUUUCUGAAGAGAUCUCAUUUCAUCAUUCAUAGCCGCUUUCCACUUUGGAUCUUUUAAAGCUUCCUGCACACUGUUAGGAAUAGAUACAGCAGAUAAUUGAUUCACAAAUGACUGAUUUGAUUCUGACAAGCGAUGGUUAGACACAAAAUGACUCAUAGGGUAUUUGACUCUACUAGAGAAGUCAGGCUCAUAUGUGGGUUUAGGGAUACCUCUAUUUUGACGCUGGGGAAGAAUUCUUCUGAUUGGACUUGUGGUAGGAACAUCCUCUGCAGACGAUUGGUUAGGUAUUUCUUCAUGUGACUCAUUCUCGAUUGCAGUUAUGUCUGAGUUAUUGCGCUCCCCAAAUGUGUCUUCACAUAUCUCAGCCUGCGAAUCAUCACCAUUUGCUUUUCCAGUAUCUUGAAGGUUUACUAUCUCAAUGGAAGAUUGACUUUCUUCAGGUAGAAGAUAUGUAAGAGUAUGAAUUUCCUCUUCAUUAUACUCCCCCUGAAAUUCAGACUCUGACAAGUAGUACAUGAUAUCUUCAUGAAAAACGACAUCCAUGGUGAUGUAUAUUUUUCUUGAUGGUGGAUGAUAGCAUCGGUAUCCCUUUUGAUGUAAGGCAUACCCUACAAACACACAACGUAGUGCUCGAGGAGAUAAUUUGUCUUGUUGCGGCAAAUGAACGAAGGCAACACAGCCAAACACAUGUGGGGGCAGAUUCGGCACAUUUGGUGACAUAAUUGCAUCAUUCAGAACUUGGAAAGGAGUCUGGAAUCCAAGGGAGCUUGAUGGUGUUCAAUUGAUCAAGUAUGCUGCGGAUGCCAGUGCUUCUCCCCAAUAAGAUAAUGGCAUGUGGGCUUGGAUUAGUGAUGCUCGAACAACUUCUAGUAAAUGUCUGUUUUUUCGUUCAGCAACGCCAUUUUGUUGGGGUGUCCCCACACAAGUGGUUUGAUGGACAGAUCCUUGUGAUUUCAGAAACUGUUGAAUUGCUGUGCUCAUAUACUCGCCUCCAUUAUCAGUAUGUAGAACUCGAAUUUGUGUCUGAAAUUGAGUUGUCACCAUCUUAUGAAAUCUUUGAAAUAAAGAGUUUACUUCGUCUUUCGAUUUCAUCAGAAAAAUCCAUGUCAUUCUGCUACAAUCAUCAAUAAAUGUAACAAACCAACGAGCACCUCCAAUUGUAGAAACUUUAGAUGGCCCCCAUACAUCAGAAUGUACUACCAUAAAAGGAACUAGAUUUUUAUUUAAGGACAAUGGAAAAGUAGUUCGAUGGCUUUUUGAAAGUUCACAAACAUCACAUUUAAAGUUACAAACAUCAAAUUUCAGAAACAAACUAGGAAAUAAUUUUUUUAAGUAACCAAAUGACACAUGCCCUAAACGUCUAUGCCAUAACCAAAUUUCUGAUUUCCCUUUUUUUAUGGAACUAUCUGCGACUAGUGCGGGGCUUAGCUUUCCAGUGUUUGUUGAUGACAUCUCCAAGUAGUACAAGUUGCCUCGUUUAAUACCAUAACCAAUCGUUUGCUUCGUUUGGAUGUCCUUAAACACACAAUGAUCAGGCCAAAAAAUUACAACACAUGAUAAGUAAGUGGUUAAUUGAGACACAGAUAAAAGAUUAUAAUCUAAAGAUGGAACAAUUAACACAGCGUCUAAAUUUAAUUCAUUUGUGAGUCGUAAAGAUCCUUCCCCAAUAACUGAGGUUGUGGUUCCAUUUGCAGUGGAAAUAUGUUUUUGUGAAGAUGGUUUCAAUUGAGAAACUUGUCGAGAAUCAAAAGUCAUAUGAUCAGUUGCCCCAGAAUCAAUUAUCCAUGUACUAUUAAUAACAGGUGUAAGAGUUUUAAGGGCCUUACCUGGACUGACAGAGGUUGCGAUUUGCACUGAAGAUUCUUUUCUAAGAUCUGUAGUGGAUGUGGAUUCAGCUACUGUAGUUUUUGAUCCAUGCUUGGUGUUCUUCUUUCGAGUAUCCCACCAGUCAGGAUAUCCAAUGAUUUCAAAACAUUGUUCUUUCGUAUGACCCUUCUUUCUACAAUGAGUGCAAUGGAGUGAUGACUUGUCAACAAACUUCCUUUGAGGCUGCUGUCGUGCUAUCAUAGCAGACGUUUCUGAGUCGACCUUCUUGUUUAGUUUGCUUUGCCGUAUAUCUUCUCUUCGGAUCAGAGAAUAACAUUCUUCUAAGUCUGGGAUAAUGUCUUUUCGUAGAAUUUCUCCACGAACUUGGUCAAAUUCUUCAUCUAGCCCAGCAAGAAAAAUGUGCACUCUCAAUCUUUCAACAGACCUUCUGUAUAUUACAACAUCUUCUGGAUCCUUCAUGACCACUUUAUCUCGGUGAUCAAGUUCUCGAAAUAUUUCAACCAAUUCUCCAUAGAAUUUAGAGAGUGGUUGUCCAUUUUGCUUGGUAGAGAAUGCCUUCUGGUUUAGAGUGAAAACUUGUAAUUCAUCGCUUCCAUCAUAGAAGGCUUUUGAUAAUGCAUCCCAGAUUUCGUAGGCUGUAGGAAUUCGUAAAUAUCGCUUCAUGAUCUCCGGAGACAUGGAUAUGAGUAACCAUCUUUUUACUUUUUGGUUCUCACUAUACCAUUUCUCAUAUUCCUUUGAAGAUUCCUCAAAUGGCUUUGUGCUGCUACGAAUAUAUGAGAGUUUUUCUCUUUCUGCAAGAUGCAUCUCCAUUAUUUGAGACCAAACAUCGUAGUUUGUCUCAGUGAGGAUAAUUCCAGCAUUAAAUACUCCAUCAGAUUGAACAGAUUGAAUGACAACAGGACUAGAUUCAGUUGGAGUUUUCUCCAUUUUUUUGUUUUUUUUCCUUUUCUUUUUUCUCUUUUUUUUCUUUUUUUUUGUUUUUUUAUUUGUUUUCUUUUUUUUUGUUUUUUUUCCGUCUAGAUUGAAAGAAGAAAAAAAAUAACCUUUUUAGGUAACAAAACGAUAGGUCGUUUGACCACUGCUUGCCAAACCGACAUGUCGGUUAUGGUGGAAUAUAAACGACAUGUCGUUUUAAUCCUGCUGCACUUCUGGAGACUAAGUGUCACGUCGUUUUAUCUCUAAUUUAAACACGACAUGUCGGUUUUAAUAUAACAAAAAACGACACGUCGUUUUUUGACUGCUGCACUUCUGAGAUAAAAACGACAUGUCGGCUGACGUCUUCUUCAACCUCUGGAGCGCGUGAGAGCGCGUGAAUGAUGACAGUGGCGCGUGGUUGACUGGCCGUGGCUUCGGGUGGCGCGUGGGAGCGCGUGGGAAUGUGUUUAAAUGCGAAAUGUUUACAGUUUCCUCACUGAAAACUGAGAAUUGUGAUGGUGUUCUUGGUUUUUGAGGAAAACACUCUCGGAAAAUUGAUGGGAUUGUUGAUAAAUUUGUAAACUCAAGUUUUUUACGUAUGGGUGGCUUGUUUCUUGAUCGGCAUGGAUAUCUGUAAUGGUAGGAAUGGGUUUAAGAAAGAAAAUGGUGGGAAAAAUGGUUGUGGGAGGAAUUUGGUUUCCUCUGUUUUUGUUACAAACAGAGCAGCGGAACUUGAAGAAACUUGAGCGUAUUCAUGGCUCUGAUACCAUGAAGAAACGUGUUUUCAUUUCUUAAAUAAAGCAUUAUACAUUGAGAGUUAUUUAUAGAUGCAGAGGCUACAUUUUUUCAAAGAUUACAUAAGUGAAUACGGAAGGAAAUGUGUCAAUCCGUUCGGCGCGGAUCUUGUCUUUGACAAGUGCAUAUUACCCCUUUGACAAGUGCAGAUUCUGUCUUUGAAAGCUUCAUUCAAUGCCGUUUUAUUUAAUUCUCAACAGUGCUGAGGCUAUUUGUGAAAGAGUCGUGGGUUGGCCAUGGCUGUGAAUGAUAUCUGCUAUGCCAAGCUCAACGGCACAUUUUAGUGACAUGGAAUUGACGUAAUUGAAUGUACAAUUCCACACCUGAGCUUGAGCUUUAAGAAGCUCAGAGCUGCUAGCAGCAUUCUCUCCAUUAAUCAUAUUCCUUUUAAGGCUAUAUUCCCAGUUGUGUGAACCCUGAAGACUCAAGGCUCUUUAUAUAUAGCAAUUUAUCAUCAGAUCCAAAGCAGCGGAUUAAUUACGUUACCUCGUUGAAAACGUUAAUCUAUUGUUUCUUAUUAUUCAAACACUCCAAUAGGGUUCCACUAGGGUAGGAAGUAUCAUAGAUUCCCAUUUGUUAAUUGACAUAAAGAUUCGUUCAGGCAUCUUUUUUAAUGCGCUAGUUAAAUUUGAUUUGAGUUGCUGUGAGUCAAUUGUCUAAGUAGAAGAUUUUCUGUCUAUAUAUUGUUUGUAAUCUUUGAGAUUUUUAAUUAAGGGCGGGUAAAAUUGGAUUUAGAUCGAAUUCGAAUCAAUCCGAUCAAAUUUCAAUUAUUUAGAUUAAGAGAAGAAAUCAUCAGAAUGCAAUUUUAAUUAUUCAGAUUAACAGAAAAAGUCACUCGAACACGAUUGAAAUAUUAAAUUCCAUCCAAUUCGAGUUAAAUCGGAUUGAACGAAAAUUUCAUACUUAUUCGAAUAGGAUCGAAUAAACUAUUCAAUUCCCAAUAAAUAUGAAGGAAAAAAACAAAUAAUCCUUCGUGUAAUACACAAUCAUUAAAAAAAAUGAGUACCUCGACCGAUCUAUUCAACCAUGAUCAUUUAUUCAGCUAGUUAUUGAAGUAAUUAUCUUGAAUGAGGCUUCCAACUGUGAAUUGUAUAAAUGAGGCAUUCAGCUAAUUAAUUGACAAAAUAAAAAAAAAAUAAAAAAAACGCAAGAAUAGUACAUAAAAAAAUGGCAGCAAAUUAUCAAAAAAUAAUAAUAUCAGAAAUAUAUGUUACAACAUAUACAAUGAAGUUAAAUAUUGGGUGUAAUCUGAGUUUUAGUAGUUUCCAUUCGAAAAUUAAUAAUUAGUAAAAUAAAAAAAUAAACCAAUUAAUAAUAAAUGUUUGCUUCAAUCAGUGCCGAAGUUAAUUAAGAAACUAUUUUAAUCUGGGCUAAAGUAUUUUAACCAUAUGACAGUGAUUAUAUGGGAGACAACGACACCGAACUGGUCUCAUCAGAGGGCGAUGUGUCCCUGGAUGAUGAGAAUGUCAUGGCAGUGAUUUAGGAGGCUAUUGAGCCGUUUGCUUAAGGUUCAUAUCUCUUUUGUUUUCUUAAUUUAAUUAAAUGGUUGAUUCAAUUAUGUUUAGGAAUGUUCAAGGAGCUGCUUCUCCAAACUUUCGUCAGACUUUUCGGACGCUUGUGAAAACUUAUAAACCGCUGAUGGUUGCUAUCUUCGAACCUAGAAUUAAUGGCAUAAAGGCUGAUGAAUUUAUCAGAAAGAGUGGUUUUGACAAGUCUCAUAAAGUUGAAGCCAUUGGUUUUUCUAGCGGUAUUUGGUUGUUGUGGAAAGAUAGCUAUGAUGUGGAAAUUAUUUCAAAUCAUAAACAAUUUAUUCAUUUUAAUAUCUCUAAAAAUAAUGUGUUCCUUUCGUGAAUUAAUGUUAUUUAUGCUAGUCCUAAUUCAUGCAAAAUGAGACAUCUUAUUGGCCUAGAGCAGUUUUUUCUUUACAUUGCCUUCGGUAAAUUUUCCUUCUUAUUAGUCUAGGAAAGUUUUUCCUUAUUGUUGGUAUAAUAAAAUUUUUCCUCUUUAAUGGUCUAAGACAUUUUUCCUUCUUAUUGGCCUCAGAAAGUUUUUUUCUUGUUGUUGGCCUUGGAAAGUUUUUCCUAUUGGCCUAGGAAACUUUUCCUUUUUCUUGGCAUAUGAAAAAAUAAACUACUUUUACGAAUCUUUUUCUUCUUAUUGGUCUUAGGAAUAUUUUUCCUCUUUGUUGGUCUAAGGAAUAGUGAGUUAUUCCAAACGAAUUUUAUUAGGAAAUUUUUUUUUCUUUAUUGGCCUAGAAAGUUUUUCCACUAUUUUGUCCUCAAAAAAAUGAGUUAUUCCAGAGAAAUUUAAUAAGGGAAAUUUUCCCUUGAACUGGAAUUAUUUGUGGAAAUAUAUGAAUUGUUCUUUCUUAACAUGAGAGAGAAUAUCUCCUUGUUUAUUUGUCUUGGGAAAUUUAGUUAAUUUAAUGACCCAAAUAGAUAUUUGUUUAUCUAAUACCCCAUUGAUAAACCACCCCCUUUCUAUAGAAGGUCGAUCGUUAAAAGCUUACUAAAUCCACUCGCAAAAUAUUGCUUCUUGAUCUACACGAUCGACUCCAUGAAUCACACUAAUAUGAAUACUAAAAUUGAAAAAAAGUAGUCAAUUUAACGUUUAGUUGUUGAGGAGAGGAUUAGGGUUUAUGGUAGGUGCAAAGAGUUGAGUUUGAUUAAUAAUUAAUUAAAUUAUUUGUCCCUUUUAGUAAUUUUGUUUAGGGUUAAUUUUGCAAUACAAUUUUUUAUUGAAAGAUAGGUUUAAAGAGUAAUUUUAUAAGUUUAAAUAGCCUCACUUUUAAUUUAUGGGUGACACUAUUUGAACCACUAAAAAAACUUUACAAAUCCACUUUUCCAUUUGAUAUUUUAUUACAAAAUAUCCACAAUACACACCUAUGUUCGUGCCUAUAGUCUAUAGAUCUUUUUCAGCGACGAUUUUAUUUUUUGUUGCCAUGGCUUAUUUUUAGCAAUGAAAUCAUGCAUCGCUAAAAGUAUCUUUAGCUUUAACAACAUUUUCAUUUUCAUCACAAAAAAUACUUUUUCGUCGCUAAUAGUUGGUUUUUGUGGCUAAAAAAUAUUUUGAGCGAUGAUUAACAUUUUCAUCACCAUUUGUUAGUUUUAGCGAUGAAAUGUUUCGUCGCUAAAUGGUUAUUUAGCGACCAUUUUUUGAAUCGCAAAAGGUUUACUUUAGCGACAAAAGUUAACAUCGCUAAAUGCUUUUUUAGCUACAAUUUUCUUUUGGUAGCAAAAUAUUCUUUUGAUGACGAAAUGUAACAAUGUGCCAAUAUUUUAGUGGGUAAUGGCGCCUUAUUUUAAAUAUUUGAAAAAAUAUUUAGCACCUAUAAUUUUUGGCGACGAAAUUACUGUUUCAUUGCUAAAAAUCUAGAAAAUCAAUAUAAUUUUAUAAAUUUAGAGUGCAUUUUUAAUGUUUUAAUCAAUGUUCAUGAUUAAUCUUUUUAUUAACUAAUAAGCAAUAUAAUUUUCACUGUAAUAAUAAAAAAUUAUUAAUAUUAUAAAAAAUUAAGAAAAAUAAAAUGUGUUAGUUAUUAAUUCUUUAUGGGAAUAAUGAUAACUUCAUAUUCUCUAGAAAAACUGAUAAUUUUUGUAAAAUUAAGUGAAUUGACUUAUUAUUACUAUUAUUUUUUUUAAUUAAAACUUACAAAUAUAUUUUGUUGAGAGGUUUAUGACUACUCAUGUUAAGAGACCUUUAACUAUAAAUGCAAAUAGUUCAUUCAACCGAGCGCUUCUUAAUUUUAAUAUAGUGAUUGAAUGAUCGAAAGUUCAAUUUAGUUCGAAGUUGGAACACUUGUAUAUGUUAUGAUUAAAAUUAUGAGUCAAUUUAUCAUAUUAUAUAUCUUUUAAAGGUUAAAAUUAAAAUUGAUCGAUAAAGUCGAUACAACAUAAUUAAAAUUAUGAGCAAGUAUAAUAUAGUUAAUUUUGUUUAUGAAAUAAAUUAUUAUUUAAACUUGAAAUAAAAAUAUAUUUUCAUAUAAGAUCCAUAUAAGAUAUAAAUUUUCAUAUGAAAUUAUAUAAUUAUCAAUUAUCAAUUCAAUUUAAUUGGAUUAAUAUAAAAUGUAAUUUAAUUUUAAGAACUUAUAUGAACCAAAUAAUGAAUUGGGUUUUUGAAUCGGGUUAAACAGAAUCUGAAAUUUAUUUUGGAUUGGAUUCGAUUUGAUUUAACUCUAGAAACUGACCGAAUUCAAAUUUAGAAACCGAUCGAUUUUUAAUUUUGGUUUUGGUUGAACUGGAAUAAAAUUAUGAAACCAAUUGGGUUUCAUAUAUGUGUGUGUGUGAAAAAUUCUAUAAUGUCGUAAUGAAAAUUACGUGAUAAAAUAUAAAUAUUGUAAAUUACACAUAAAACUAGUAAAUAUAAAGUAAAACCAGUAAAUUCAUAUAAGAUUAUUAAUUAUUUAAAAAAUUAACAUUGUUUCUAUAGAGUUUAAAUGAAAAAUAUUUUAUUCAUUUACAAAAAAUAUUUUCCUUAAUUAAUUAAAUAAAAUUACUCGUUAAUUAAACAAAAAAAUUAUACUAAAAACUGUGGAAUAAGUUUUAUUGAAUUCGUUUAACCAUAAAUUCUAUAUUUAUUCUAGGACAUUUGUGUACUUUUUUCUCAUUUUCUAUAAUAAUAUCUAUUUAUUACACAAGUUAAUUAAGCACAAUUAUUUAUCUUGAUAUGGAUCAAGCAAAAACAAAAUUAAAAAAUAUUCUUAUAUUAUUAGAUACAUAUAUGAUAUAUCAAUAAACUUAGGUCUUAUUUUGAGUCUUAUGCAUACUUUAUACAGUUUCAAACUUUUUACUUGUACUUAUAGACCAUUUAGGGUUAUUGUUGAGGAAGUGUAGAAAGACGUAAUUAUGCAAAAUAACCUCAUUUAAUAACAACUAUAAAAGAUAUUAAAAUAAUAUCUUUUUCAAAAUUCGAUUUUGAAAAUAAAUUUCAUCCUUAAUAAAACAUCACAUGUAUUACAUAAAUGCAAAAUCAGCAUCAUUCAAUUUAAAUAAAAAAUAAUAAAUAUAUAAGGUAAUAAAUAUUAUAAUGAGUUUUUAUUUUAUAAUUUUUUUUCAGUAAGUCUUAUAUUAAUUUACUUAUUUUACCUUUUAUUCAUAAGUUUUAGGCAUAAUCUAUAAAAUUUAUGUUUUAUUUUAUACUUAAUUUUGUUUUACUUGUUUUAUAUUAUAUUUGUGAGUUUUUAUUUUAUUUAUCAGUAAUACAUCAAUUACCAACUUUAUAAUAAUUUAUUUGUUUUACCUUCUUUUUACAAAUCUUAUGUUCUAUUUCCAAAAUUUAUGUUUUAUUUUACAGUUAGUGUUGAUUUACUAAUUUUAUAUUAUAUUUGCAAGUUUUUAUUUUAUUUACCAUUAAUACAUUAAUUUACUAAUUUUAUAUUAAUUUACUUGUUUUACCUUCCAUUUACAAGUUUUAUGUUCUAUUUCCAAAAUUUAUAUUUUAUUUAACGCUUAAUGUUGAUUUACUAGUUUUAUAUUAUAUUUCUAAGUUUUUGUUUUAUUUACUAGUAAUACAUCAAAUUACCAGUUUUAUAGUAAUUUACUUGUUUUACCUUUUCUUUACAAGUCUUUUGUUUCGUUUCCAAAAUUUAUGUUUUAUUUUACAAUUAAUGUUGAUUUACUAUUUUAAGUUAUACCUACAAGUUUUUAUUUUAUUUACUAGUAAUACAUCAAUUUACUAGUUUUAUAUUAAUUUACUUGUUUUAUCUUAUAUUUACAAAUCUUAUGUUUAAUUUCUAAAAAAAUUAUGUUUUAUUUUACACUUAAUAUUAAUUUACGAGUUUUAUGUUACAUUUGUAAGUUUUUAUUUUAUUUACUAAUAAUACAUGAUUUUAUCAAUUUUAUAUUAAUUUACUCAUUUUACCUUUCAUUUACAAUUCUUAUAUUUAAUUUCUAAAAUUUAUAAUUUAAUUUAUAAUUAAUGUUGAUUUACAAGUUUUAUAUUAAAUUUAUAAGUUUUAUAUUUCAUUUACAUAAUUUAUGUUUAAUUACGGUAUUGAUGUUGUAACUGUAAUCAUGGCAUCAUAAAAUGACCCAUAUACAUAUAUAUGAAAAAUUCUAAUAAUAAUAAUAAUAAUUUAUUCAAAAUUAUUUAUUUAUACAUAAAUAAAUAUGAGGCAUUAAAUCAGACCUUGUAGUCUUGUACCAAUCCCUAAUUCCCCUUUUCUUACUUCACUUCUACUUCUCCAUCGUGAAAGAGAGAGAGAGAGAGGACACAUUCACUCGCACAUACCACGCCCACGCUGCCGUCGCGUCAGAGACUGGUUUGCGAUUGGUGUCCAGCUGAGGGAACCUGAGUUCGGAUUGAAACGGUGAGUUUUGUUAUGUUUUGUUUUUGUUUUGCGUGGGGUGGGGGACUGUGAAAUUGGAAUAAAGUUUGUGUUUUUAUCGUUUAGUGGGGCGAGUUGAAUGCGGAGCCGUUCGUUUUAUGAUCCGUAUUGAGAAGUUGCAAUGUGGAUUUACGGUGAAAUGAAUCACUAUCGUGUGGAUUUUUUAUUUUCCCGCUGGUUUGGUUUUUGAAGCCGAAAUGAAGCUUUGGUUUCAAUUUUUGUGAAUCUGUGUCUUGUGUGUGUUUUGGUUGAACAAAACACAUUGCAACUUGAAAAUGAAGAUUUUUUUUAAAAUUUUUUAAAUGGGGUUAGUUGAUUUUCAUCUAUUUAUAUUCCUGGAUUUGUGAAAAAAUAUAUUAAAUAUAUGCAUAAUCUGAAAUGGGUAUUUGCUUGCUUUAUUGGGGAGUUAUGUAAGAACUGAAAUUCCUGAACUUUCAAGGGAAAAUGCAAUUUUUAUUUAUUAUAAGCGAAGUGAAGUUGUGAAUGAUACAUGAUACCUCACAAGAAAGUUGCUUGCUUCUUUUGCUGCCUUCAAGCUCGGCUAAUAUAUCAGAUGCAGUCAAACAGAUUUUCUUGUUCAUCCAAGAGUUUGGUGAUUUAAAUUUAGAAUCUCUGUGUUGCAUUUGUGGUUUUGCUUUUGGAUGCUCAAGCUUCUGUUUUUGACAGAGUGCACAGACGUGAGUGCAUGCAUUUUAGCUGUGGAUUUGUCUUCAGUUUAAGUGUCCAUGGAGAUGGUUUGCACACUUUUGCCGGACUAUCUAAUUUUUAUGUAAUUCUGUAACAAUAUGGGAUAUAAUGUAAUAAAUUUAUACUGGAACUCCACCCCCUCACCUUCGGUUGUUAUGCCUUCUUUUGUUCUUGUGUGUGUGAGACUUGGGCGUUUUCAAUUUUGUGUGAUUGAGCUGUUAUGGAAUAGAAUCUCUGACCAUCAACUAAAAGUGGUAAUUGUAUAACUGGCCAAAAUUAAAUCCUGAUAGUUCAGGAGAUAUAUAGCCAAAAAAAAAAAAGGAGAUAUAUUUAUUAAAUAUUUAGUUGCAUGGCAGUGGGCACUAAUACUGAAGUUGGGGGAAACACCAUGGUAUAGGGAGUAGGUUCUUUGACUUGCUUUUUGAGACAAUGCUAGCCUUUAGAAAAGUUUGCAAAAACAUAGCAUGCAGACCUGCCCAAUUAGUUCUUCCUUUCAAUAAUAGUAAUAAUAAACAAAGAAGAGGAUUUUAAUUAGGUUGCUGUUUCAGUAACUGGACUUCAAACCUCAAACUCCACAUCAAUCCAUUUGAUUCUAUAAAUCUCCAGGCUUUGGUUUCCCGUUCAUUAACUCGUCUGCACAUUAGCAGGCACAUUAACGGAGAAAUAUUUUAAAAAAUCACAUUAGAUCUUGAAUUAGUUUUUCAUUAAACCCCAUUUUUGCUGAUGCCUAUAACUCAAAAAAUUUGAAGUGGUCCACUGCUCUAAUAGGCUUUUCGCCAUAGCCUAUUGGCCUGUGUUUUUAUUUUACCGUGUUACUGUCACUUUAAGCUGCACUUAUUUGCUGCUGUGUCUGCUGUUUUUGCUGUUUUUUCUGUUUCUAUUGUUAUUUGAUAUUUUUUUCCCUGUUUUUGGGUAACUUAUUAUUUUUUCUGCUGUUAUUUGCUGUUGAUUCUGGUGUUUCUAAUGUUAUUUACUGCUGUUUAUACCGUUAUUUACUGCUGUUUUUGUUGUUUUCUACUGUUUCUACCGCUAUUUUUUUUACUGUUUUUGGUAACUUUUUAUUUUUUCUGCUGUUAUUUACUGUUGAUUCUGCUGUUUCUACUAUUCACUGCUGUUUCUGCUGUUUUUACUGAAUAAAUAUGUUAUUUGGUGUUUUUCUGCUGUUUUUGGGUAAUAUUUUCAGUGUUUUUACUUUUUUUACUGUUUUUGUAACUUUUUAUUUUUUCUGCUCUUAUUUACCGUUGAGUCUGCUGUUUCUACAGUUAUUCACUGCUGUUUUUACUGUUAUUUACUGUUGUGAUUGCUGUUUUUAACUGGAGAAGUUUGUUAUUUGGUGUUUUUCUGCUGCUUUUGGGUAAUUUUUUUGUACUGUUUUUGAUUUUUUUUCAAAUUGUUUUCACAGUUCAUAGGGAAAAAAAAAUUGAUUGUUACCUUAACUUUUUUCGCAGAGAAGAGGAGGAUAGCUUAUCCCAAAAUUUACUGCUGUUUUUGUUGUUUUCUACUGUUUCUACUGCUAUUUUUUUUACUGUUUUUGGUAACUUUUUAUGUUUUCUGCUGUUAUUUACUGUUGAUUCUGCUGUUUCUACUAUUCACUGCUGUUUUUACUGAAUAAAUAUGUUAUUUGGUGUUUUUCUGCUGUUUUUGGGUAAUAUUUUCAGUGUUUUUACUUUUUUUACUGUUUUUGUAACUUUUUAUUUUUUCUGCUCUUAUUUACCGUUGAGUCUGCUGUUUCUACAGUUAUUCACUGCUGUUUUUACUGUUAUUUACUGUUGUGAUUGCUGUUUUUAACUGGAGAAGUUUGUUAUUUGGUGUUUUUCUGCUGCUUUUGGGUAAUUUUUUUUUACUGUUUUUGAUUUUUUUCAAAUUGUUUUCACAGUUCAUAGGGAAAAAAAAUUGAUUGUUACGUUAACUUUUUUUGCAGAGAAGAGGAGGAUAGCUUAUCCCAAAAUUAGGACAAAUUUCCCCUGAACACUCACAGCUGUUAGCAAGAGUAUCAGAGAAAGUUUCAAGUGAGUUUUAGGUGUUACAUUUAAAUCUGUUUUAAUUUCUCUGUAGGAUGUUAAAAUCAAUUUUUUUUUUUAGCUAGAGUAGUGGCCAAAGUUAAAGCUUCAGCACAAUCUCAAUGUGAUCACACAUGAAUUGAAAAUAGGAUCUAGAGAUUAACAAAGUUAGGUUUUAGAAAAUGUUACCAAAACGAAAAUAUCCUUAAUGACCAGACCACAAAAUGCACCCAUAUAAAACAAAUAAGUAAUCUCGAUUAUAAAGAAACAGGAAAAAUCAGUCCCAUUGCUUAAGCUAAUAACAGCAGUACAGCACCAUAAAUCAAUCUCAUUGCCUAAGCUAAUAACAGCAGUACAGCACCGUAAAUCAAUCCCAUUGCCUAAGCUAAUAACUGCAGCACACCCACCCCCGUAAAACAAUAUCGUUUGUCUAAUUUUUCCCUAAAUAUGCUAAUAGCAAAAAGUUUAGACCCUAAUCUAUUAAAGUAUUAAUCACAACUCAAAAAAUAUUAAUGAAAAAUAAAUAAAAAUAAAACAAUGGAGUCAACAACUCACUGUCUCCAGCGCGAUUGCAACGGCUGAGCGAGGCUACGACAACAACAAAUAGCGGUGAUGGCUGAGGCAACGAGCUGUUGAAUCAUGAUUACUGGCGUGAGCUAGCUAGGUCUGUGAAUCACGAUCACGAUCUAUCGUCUGCAGUAAGCUAGCAAAAGUAUCCCAAAUCAAAAAAAUUGAAUCACGUUGUCGGCAAAGGGCGUGUGAGUGACGUCAGUGGAGAGAAACUGAGAGAGAGUGAGACUAUAGUGAAAUGCAGUCGACACUGCCGUCACUCACACACCUUCCGCCGAUUCAAUGUUUUUGAUUUAGGAUACUUUGGCUAGCUCACUGCAGACGACAUAUAGUGAUCGUGAUUUGUAGACUUAGCUAGCUCAUCGCCUCAAUCAUCUUCGCCAACUGUUGCCGUCACAGCCUCAUUUACCCAUUGCCAUUGCGCCGGAACCAGUGAGUUGUUGACUCUGUUUUUUUAUUUAUUUUUUAUUAAUUUUUUUCCUUAAUUAAAUUUUUUUGAGUUGUGAUUAAUACUCUAAUUUUUCCCUAAAUACGCUAAUAGCAAAAAAAUUUAUGUGGGUGUGCUGCUGUUAUUAGCUUAGGCAAUGGGAUUGAUUUAUGGUGCUGUUAUUAGCUUAAGCAAUUUUGGAUUGAUUUUUCCUGUUUUCUUAGAAUCGAGAUUACUUAUUAGUUUUAUGUGGGUGCAUUUUGUGGUCUGGUCAUUGAGCAUAUUUUCGUUUUGGUAAUUUCUGUGCUGCAAAAUUGAAUUAUGCAAAUAUGCUUCUGCUUUUACGGAAAUGAAAAAAAUUAUAUGGAGUUCAAUGAAAAACUGAGUAGAUACCAAACGCUUAAUCUGCUGCACCUAAGAUCAAGCAUUUGGUAAACACCCACUUUUUCUUGAAUGCUGAUGUUUACUACACACCCACUUUCUGUUUAUAGCUAGAAAUUCCGUUCCACGGCAGCUGUGGGUUAGAAGCCACAUUGCCUCAAUCCCCUAACAUGCCCUGUAUUAAUUACAGUUUUACUAGUAAAUUAGGAUUAGCAAUUUGUACUGUUUGUUAAUGUAGCCAAUCAUACCAGUAAGAUAACAGUGUUUGAAUUGAGAUAAUGGAUGUUGAGAAGCAUGAGUCUAUGUUCUGUGUUAUCUAUUGCUGUAUAUGUGGGUUGGAUGAAAAUUGUUUGGUUGUUUCUCUAAUAUUUUAAAUUCUAAUAUCUUUAUUUAGUUUACAAGGAAUUUGCUAAUGAUUUAUCCAUGUUUGUUCUCAGGCAAUUUAUGCUAUAAGUUUACUUUAACCCGGAUGGAAGCCAAAUUUUUUCGGUUUUUGAAGAUUGUAGGUGUUGGCUACAAAGCCAGGGCUGAAGCAGAGGGGCGACUCUUGUAUCUCAAAUUGGGAUAUGUACAUGAUGUUGAACUCACUGUUCCCCCAGCUGUUCGUGUUUUCUGCCUAAAAAACAAUGUGGUUUGCUGCUGUGGACUUGACAAACACAGGGUGCACCAGUUUGCUGCUUCAGUUCGCAGUUGCAAGCCUCCUGAACCUUUCAAAGGCAAGGGUAUAAUGUACACUGAUGAAGUUAUCAAGAAAAAAGUUGGAAAGAAAAAAUCAAAAUGAUGGUGGAGAUGGUCUCUACUUUUUAGCAAUUCGGUUUUUUUUUUUGGUGCAUCUAUUCACUGCGCCAGCAAAUCUUCAUUUUGAAGUUGAAAAUAUUUGGAACCUUUCAAGGGAUUUUGUAUUGAGAGCUUCCAAUAUCUGAACAACUUAGUUAAGAAAUCGGCGGAUUGUGAUGCUUUUGGAGGCUUUGUUAUAAUAAAAUGUUUGUUGAAAUUUCACCAUUGAAAAUUUCUUAUGCAAAUUCGACGUUGGCUUUAAAUGAUUUUUUUCUCUGCAGUACAACUUGUUUGCAAUAACGGUCUUGUGGGCCGCCUUAUGGACUAGAGUCUUGUAUUCCUGCACAAACAACACAAAUCAUAAUCUCAUGAGCCCGUAAAACCAAUAGACAUGGUGUAGCGUAAAGAAGAUUUGUUGCAUCCCACAAACCACAGACUGUUUAGCUAAAGCUACCACAAGUACAUUAAAAAGGACUGAAAAAUGACUCAAAUUAUGAACGAGUUAAUCAAGCAUGUCAAUCUGAGAGGCAACGUCCAGAACCACCCAAUCAAAUCCCUCAAGCAACCCCUCGCCUGCGUAGGCACUACAACCCAUAAUUUCCCAGUCUCGUGUUAUAUCCACAGCUUCCAAGUUCAGCAUUUGUAGAAGUGUAGUCGAGACAGAUUAGAACCAAAAAGGUUUUAAAUUGUUCCAAAUCCAACAUACAGAUGUUUUGAAUAUAAAUUGGAAAAGAAAAAGAAAAGAAGAUCAUAUCAAUUGGAUGAUUGUUUUUAUGAGAGUUCAUAAACAUCUAAUAUCAUCCAACCCAUGAAUGCUUUCAAAUUUGUGAAACAGUGUUUGGUCAACCUCGUUUUUAAGGCCUCACAACGCCUGAGACAGACAAGGGCUAAUAAAUGAUCUAAUGAAUCUACUGUAAAAUUAUGCAAAAGGACAACUAAAAAUACCUCACAACAUCUUAUAUUUCUUAUAGCUCUUUGGCCCCAACAUCCCAUAUAUUUAAGACUAUACCUGUCAAAUACACAUAAUAUAUUCAUGGGAAUUAAAACUUUUUUGGAGUGCUUCAAACUCUCAUCUCAUGUAAGCAUGCAUAUUUUGAUCAUCAUGUUCGUAAGGAUGGACAAUACUGUACAUAAUAAGCCUAAAAUUUUACAAUAAAUUCAUUUCAUUUCAUCUCAUCUCAUUUCAAUUACCGUGUUCAAUUUUAUGUGGAUCUGAACGGAAAUCUUACUUUUGGUGAGUGGUGGUUUUGAUGUUGAAGCCAAGUCUACCAUCAUUUUAUUUUUAACUUCCUCCAAGCUUCCCUUCAUAUCCUCAAGCAACAAGAAUGGACCAAAAGCCUUGCUAGCAUUUACACGAACCACCUGCCUUCCUGGCCAAAAUAUGCAAAUUAAGACUUGCAUUAAUCAAAAUAAGAAUAUUUGAACAAACUGUGACACUGGGGUUGGGAAGGGGGCAAUAUCUAAGAAAUAGUCAUUGCAUGUCAUUUUUUUUCAAGUUCUUUUUUUUUAAAUUAAAUAGGCAAAACAUAAUCCCAUAUAAAGCUAAUAAAGCAGUUCAUUCAGGAAAGAUGCAAAAGUUAAAAGGUGUCAAAAAGACCCUCACUAGAAGUCUAGGAUAUACCUCUGUUUACUUCAGACGGGAAAAGCAGGCGAUGUGGGUAAGGUAACCUGUCCCUGUGGAGAAGUACUGCAUCAUAGUAUGGUGCAAAUAGUCGCACCCCUUGUUUUUCAUCUCUUUAUUAUUGACGAGUUAGAUUAGGACCCUUAUACAGUGUAACCAUCUUAGACUUCCUUUGGUGCCGCUACUUACUUAAAAGUCAAAUCAUAAUUAAGAAGUAGUUAAUUAAGAUGAUUUAAUCUCACAGUUGUUUGAUGAAAAACUUCUAUUACCUUUACUUUAAAAAAAAAUUAUUUAAAAGUCAUAUUUAUCAAAUAUUAUUCAUCAAUACUUAACUCACAUUUAGAAUUUCUAUUUCACAGUAUGAAAAUACCAAACAGAUCCUUACACUUCAACGGCUCACUAUCAGUAUUGGGAAGACACAGGAUCUUCUUAUCAGGGGUAAAGCUCAAUAAGAGACCUCAGACCCAAAGUAGAAUUUACAUUGUAAUGGCUGAAACCAGCUUCUAAGAAGAGCUUCUUCCAUUCUUUGAUGCUCCGCUCUUUGGCCACACUGAAUAAAGACAUCAUCAACAUGUCAGAGCACAAUUGUGUCUCGGUUGAGUCCUUGUCUAUGCUUUGAUCUUCUAUGACCAUGUCUAUGACAAUAACUUUCCCUCCUUUAUCUUUACUCCCAUCAAUAGCUUCUUUGCACUUCUUCAAUAUCUUCACGCUCUCUUCAUCACCCCAGUUAUGCAGAACCCACUUCACAGAUAUAUUUUGUCAUAUAAAUUUAAUUAAACAGUUAAAAAUCUCGGAAUUCUGUUCAUAUAUAGAAAAACAGUAAUACUAGAUCCACAAACUCUUUGUGCAAACUGAUGCAGUAUAACAAUGUUGAUUUGAUUUUAAAAAAAACUCCACAUGAUGCAUGUAAUUAAUUUUUAUUAAUAUUUUUUAUUUGGAUGAGUCUAUUUCAACUUAAGUUUUUUAUAAAAAAAAUUUCUCGAAAUUUGAGCCAUUGAUCUUAUACAAUACAAUGAGGGACGAAUUUUGACAUCAUUAAAUGCUAUUUUGACAUUUAAUAUAUCUAAAAUUGGAUUGUAUAAAAUAACUAAUUCAAAAUUUUGAGUAGAAAAUUCACACUAAAAUAGCCCACUCUAUUUUCUUCGACCAAAAUUGUUAUAUAUGCUACAGCUAUUUGUAGAAUGAGGUUGUGACUCUGUAUAUAUCAGUAUUGAAACAUUAAUAUUUAAGUGGGAGAGAAAAUAGAAAUCCUAUUACUAAUCAAUUUAAUUACCUUGAGUAGAACUGCAUCUGCUGGAGGUAUUGCUUCAAACAUGUCGCCUCCAAGAAAUUCCAGGUUCUUAUUAGUCCCCUGCUGCUGCUGCAAAUUAUUAUCAACGACAUGUGGGAGAUCGAAAACGAUGCAUUUCAUUUCAGGAAAAGCUUCUGCGAUGGCUUUGGCCAUAGUUCCAGUGCCGCCACCCAGAUCAACCAGACACUUCAGCCCCUUGAAUACCACCUUACAAUCUUUAAUCAGAACGCUUGAUAUGAACUGAGAGUCAGUCAUCAUGGCAUCAUAAAAGACGUUUUUAAAUUUAGCUUCUUGAGCCAAACAACCCCAAAUGUCUUUCCCAUGCGUUGACUCAAACACUGUGGGUGUAGAGGGAUCAUCAUUCUUGAACCAAGAGCUCAAGAAAUUGAAGGGAGUCGUUAUUAUAGGAUGGGUUAUCAGAAACAUAAAUGGUGCGGCCCUCAAGGGCUCAUCCUUUAGGAGGAGUCGAGAAGCUGGUGUAAGAGAAUAAUACACUUCUGAUUCGUCUUUGUCAAUUUUAUUUUGUUGAGCAAAGAAGCCAGAGUGAACUAGAAUCCGCAUAAGGCGUUGAAUGCAAUGAGCUUUGUUUUUUUGGAUGUCGAGUGCUGAAGCUAUCUGUGAAAGAGUCAUGGGCUGGCCAUGUUUGUGAAUAACAUCUGGUAUGCCAAGUUCAACGGCACAUUUUAGUGACAUGGAAUUGAUGUAACUGAAGGCACAAUUCCACACCUGAGCUUGAGCUUUAAGAAGCUCAGAGCUGCUGCUGCUGCUGCUACUACUCUCUGCAUUAAUCAUAUGAUUCAUAUCCAUUUCAGGCUAUUCAAAGCUUGGCGACCUUUAAAGAUUCUUGAAUUAUCUGUCAUUAACAAGAAGCGAGCUUAAAUAUUGUCAACGUAGUAUAUGAAUUACCUCCAUUCUUUAAGGUGAUGUUUGGUUUGAAAAAAUGAGAGGAGAGGAGAGGAGAGGAGUAGAGUAGAGAGGAGGGGAUAAGAAAGGAGAUAAGGUGAGGGUGAAAUUAAAUCUAGUUGUUUGAUUUAACAUAGAAUUUUGUUGGGAAAGGAUAUUACAAAAAAAAAUUUGGACUAACUUACCCUUUACCUUACACCAUAGACUUCCAACGUUAGUUACAAAUAUAAUUUGAAAAAAAUAAACUAUGAAUAAUUUAAUUUAAAAAUUAAACAACUAAAUAGCUAUUAGAUAAAAUAACUUGAAUAUUGUAUUUACAAUUAAUUCUUUAAAACCAAUUUAAGUAAUACCGUAUAACCAAUUAAAUAAUUUAAAUUAUUUUCCAAUAAAUUAUUUUUAAUAAAAAUAAUCAAUUUAACCUCGCCGGAGAGCCGCCACAUUGCCCCCGCGAAAGCUGCCGAAAUAGAGUUUUUCGUCCUCAAAGUUACAUCAAAAUGAUCAGAAACUAAUGAUCUACUCAUUGAGAGAUAAAAUUAUCCAAAAAGUUUACAACUGCACUGGAAAUAGUAGAGUUAAAAGUUUCUCAGAUGUUUACAAUGAGAUUUUAGCCCAAAAAAGAUAUCUAAUGUCGUUUUCAUUGCCCUAAGAUAGUAGAUCGGCUCUUGAAAAUUCGAUUGGCAUAAAAAUUGAUGAAGAAAUCACUUCGACAGAGGCAGUCCGGCAACUUUCCGACGACGGGAUGGCGGCGGUCUGUCGACGGCUGUUGCUGUUCUUUUAUAUUUAAUAAUUUCAAAUUAAUUAAAUAAUAAAUAUAUAUUAUCUAUUAAACUAUUUACUAUGUUAUUUUAACUUAUUUAAAGGAUAAUAUUGAACUUUUGUUUUAAAACUGGUAAGGAACUUAGACUCUUUACCCACUAGUGCAGAAUUAAAAUUCUUUAGUUUCAUAGAUUUUAAAUUCCUUUAGAAAUUAAUUUCUAGUCAACUAGGACCAACCAAACAAAAGAAAUCAUAAAAGAAUUUGAAUUCAUCUCUUUUCCACCCUUCUCUCAGGCCAAUCAAACGUCACCUAAGUUCCUGCCUAGAGGAAUUUUCAACUGCAGGCAUUAUAGAUUAGUCCCCUGAUUUACAAUUUUUUUUUAAUAAGGAAUUAUAUAAUAAUUUAUAAUUUGAACGACCUUGAUGCUCGGUACUCAGUACCCCGUUUUAUGUAUUAAAAAAAAUUAGAUAUCAAUUUUAUCAGCACAUGGGUCAGCAGAUGGAUACAUUGAACCUUUUUCUUCUCUCUCAAAAGCUCUCUCUCCUUGAGAAAGUUUAGAGAGUAGGAGUGUAGCUGAGCCUGAAUGGCUCAUUAACUCACUCUUAUUGAGUGUUUUGUUAACCUUUUCUAAAGUUCCUUUAAAGCUUAAGUCCUUAAUACAGUAGUUCGGAUGUCAUAACUGCAUCAAAAAAGGUGGGUGAGCAUUCUUGUCAAUUAAAAUGGAGACCGAGGAAUUAAUUCGAAGAUGCAGGUCAAUAUCUUUAGAGGAAGCAGAAGAAAAUAAGUUCUCUUUCAAAGGAAAAAUUAAAGAGAAGGGAAUACAAGUAGCAGCGGGCUGCUUAAUUGGAAAAGUUCUGCAAACAAGAGGAGUAAACACAGAGGGGUUGAGAAUUGCUGUAACUCAAGUGUGGCAAACAAGAAAAGAAGUAAAGAUUGAAAAUAUGGGGGACAACAUUUUCAUUUUUAAGUUUGGGGAUGAAGUAGACAAAAGGAGAAUUAUUGCAGGGGGACCGUGGCAUUUUAAUCAAGCACUGAUUUUGCUCAAAGAACCAGAAGGAAUCGGAGAAAUCAUAGCCCAACUCUUCACACAUACAACAUUUUGGGUACAAAUAAAAAAUGUCCCGAUUAUGUGUAUGGAUGAAGAAAUUUGUAAAGGGAUUGGAGAGCUCAUCGGAAGAGUUGAAGAAGUGGAUACGGACAGAACAGGAGAUGUCAUAGGGCAGGCUAUACGGUUGAGAAUCUCGGUUGACAUCACCAAGCCCCUAAAGAAAAUCCUGUUCAUUGAAACAGAAGAAAAGAAAAAAAAUCCCAGUUGCAGUAGAGCAUGAAAAGCUUCCAGACUUCUGCUAUUGUUGUGGAUGUCUUGGUCAUUCUUAUAAAGAAUGCACCAAAUACAAAGGGCAACCAACAAAAGAGCUUAACUAUGGACCAUGGCUGAAGGCACUGACGUGGGGGGAAAAAUGAAACAAAAUAGGACAAGGGAACAAUGGAGCACAAGAAUGAGCAGCGGAGAUGAGAUGAAAAGUCAGGAUCACAGUCAAAAGUCCAUGACAAGGGAGCAGUACCCCCAGAAGCUGAUGAAUGAAUUAAGAAGGUUGGACCAAGGCUCAGCUGAACCGAACCAAGGCAAAUUGAACCGGAAAGCACAAAAUGGAAGUGACAUCACAGAUGGGGAAGGUACAGAACAUUUAAUGAAGGAGGGGGAGAAAUUGAGGACUGAAAAAAGUAGCAGCCAAAGACCAGGAAAGACAGCUGGGUGCAGGGACCAAAAAUUGGAAGCGGGAAAAAUAGGAUAAGUAGAAAACGAGGGAAAUGUGAACAAAAGUUGUGACGGUGUAGUGGGCCAAGAACUGGGCCCAGAUGCAAUGGAAGGGGAGGAAAUAGAAAAUGGGCCGGAGAAAAUCCAAGUGAAACAAAAGAGGAAAAAAUGGAAGCAUCAAGCAAGGCAACUUGAAGGGAAAAAAGGAGAAACAUCUAAAUCAAUUCUAGCAAAGAGACAAAGCUGUGAAAUGGGCUUGCUGAGUCCGUAACCAAAGAGAAGCAAAACGCUCAGCCCAAAUAAGCUAACAACUGCAGAGUACAGCUACAAAUCUCCCCCAGCAAAAAUCAAACUAAGGUGGGAAACUCACAACAUGAAUGACAUGGAAAUUUCAACCACAAUCACUGAGGAACCAACGGCGGAGGCUGGGAGCCAGCCCCGCCGACAAUCAUGAAGCCUAUCAGUUGAAAUGUUCGGAGAAUGAGGAAGGACCGGACAUUCUGAGAAAUCAAAAUGAUCCUCCGUGAGCAUAAACUAGAAAUUAUGUUUUUUUGUGAAACAAAAUUGAUGGGGCAACUCAUGCAAAGAAGAGCAGCAGAGCUAAAUUUCCAAAAUUGCUUUGCAAUUAGUAGUAGGGAGGGGGGCUGGCAAUGAUGUGGAGGGAGGGGAUAGAAAUGGAGAUUAAAUCGUAUAGCAAACACCAUAUAGAUGCUGUAGUGCAAAAUAACGAGGGGAGCUCUUGGAGAUGUACAGGGGUUUACGGCAAUCCAAAAUCAGAAGAGAGAAAGCACACGUGGGAGCUAAUCAGAAGGCUAUCAGGUCUGUCAUAUAUACCUUGGAUUUGCUUUGGAGAUUUUAAUGAAAUUCUGCACUUGAGGGAAAAAAUUAGAGGAAAUGAUAGAAACGUAGGAUUAAUCACAACCUUUAGAGAAGCAAUUAACGAUAGUGGCUUGACCGACUUAGGUUACAAAGGGUACCUCUUUACUUGGUGUAAUAGAAGAUUCGGGCCACAUAUUAUUGAAGAAAGGCUGGAUAGAGCCUUUUGCUGUAAAAAUUGGGGUGGAGUGUUUCAAGAAUUGUUGUCCAACACAUUGAAACAUGGAGCUCAGACCAUUACCUUAUUGUUAUGGAAGUAGUGGAAAGAGGGAAAAGAGCCAGAUAUGAGAAGAAAACUUUUCCAAGAAUGAACUAUGAAGACAUGUGGAGUCCGUACGAAAAAUGCCAAGAGAUUGUGAAAAGAGAGUGGUGGGAACAAAGUAUAUGGGAGGGUGCAGAUGUCGUAGAGGUUUUCAAAAAGGCCACAAAGAAGUCCAUGGCUAAUCUGAAAUUGUGGAGCUCAACUGAAUUUGGGGGGAGAGAAAAAAUGGUUAAGAAGCUAAUAAAUGAGCUGAAGAACUUGAAAAGAAACUAUGACCAUUAUGUGAAUGGGGACAGAAUCAGGGGGCUGGAAAAUCAGAUUGACAAUAUGCUAGCUGAUGAUGAAGCGUAUUGGAAGCAGAGGUCUAGAGCUGAUUGGCUUUUGGCGGGAGAUAAAAAUACGAAAUUUUUUCAUGCCAAAGCUUCAGCGAGAAAAUAUAAGAAUAAAAUUUGGGGAGUUUUGGAUGAAGACGGAAACUGGACUGAAGAAGCUGAGGAGAUCGAGAGCAAAUUUUGCGAUCAUUUUGCAAACCUCUUCACUACAACAAGGCCUUCAAGACAGCAAGGGGAAGCAGCUGUGGACAGUGUACCAAGGAGAGUCACAGCAGAGAUGAACAAGGAGUUGACCAGACUAUUCACAAAGAAGGAAAUUAAAGAAGCUCUUUUCCAAAUGUGCCCAAUGAAAGCACCAGGACCGGAUGGCCUCCCUACGGCUUUUUUUCAAAAGCACUGGAAAUUUGUCGAAGAAGGAGUAAUAGCUACAUGUCUGCAAAUUCUAAAUGAUCCAGGUAACCUCGCUCUACUAAACCAUACGUACAUUGCUCUUAUCCCAAAAAUAAAAAAGCUGAGAGAUGUAGCUGACUAUAGACCUAUUAGCUUGUGCAAUGUCAUUUAUAGAAUCAUAGCAAAAUGCAUAACAAAUAGGUUAAAGUAAAUUCUGCAUGAUGUAAUAUCUCCAAAUCAAAGUGCAUUCAUUCCAAAUAGACUCAUCACAGACAACAUUAUUAUAGGAUAUGAAUGCCUUCACAAAAUUAGAAUGAGCAAGGGAAAGAAAAAUAGGCUAGUUGCGUUGAAGUUAGAUAUAAGCAAAGCCUAUGAUAGGGUGGAGUGGAAUUUUUUAGAGCAAAUCAUGUAUAAGCUAGGAUUCGAAAAAACCUAGAUUGACUUGAUUAUGAAUUGUAUCUCUACCUCAUCUUUCUCUGUACUGAUCAAUGGGGCGCCUAAAGGUCUGGUGAAGCCAGAGAAGGGUUUACAACAAGGCUGCCCUUUAUCCCCAUACUUGUUUAUUAUUUGUGCAGAAGCUUUUUCCAGUAUGCUGAUUCAAGUAGAAAAAAAGAAGCAUUUCCAGGGGUUGAAGUUCAACAAAGAGCUUUUCAUCAAUCAUUUGUUGUUUGCGGACGACAGCCUAAUCUUUAGUAGAGCUGCAAUGGAAGAUUGCAAAAAACUGAAGCAUAUUUUUUAUCGUUAUGCUGCUGCUUCUGGUUAGAUCUUCAACUUCGUAAAGUCAUCCAUGUUGUUUAGUGGAAACGUUUCAACUGGGCAAAUAAAUAAAAUAAAAGACAUCUUCCAGCUAAAGGUGGUUUCGAAGCAUGAAAAGUAUUUGGGGUUGCCCUCCAUGGUUGGAAGAAAGAAAGUCAGCUUUGUCAAGGAAAUAAAGUUGAGAAUCUUAAGCAAAAUCUCGGGAUGGCAAAGCAAAUUUUUCUCAAGCGGAGGUAGGGAGGUUCUAAUAAAAGUAGUGGCCUAGGCUGUUCCAGCCUAUGCAAUGAGUGUGUUUCAAAUUCCUACAACUUUAUGUGAAGAUAUACAACGAGCAGUUGCUGGUUUUUGGUGGGGAGUAAAAAAGGAUCAGAAAAGCAUCCACUGGACAAAGUGGGAGAGUCUUUGUCACGCAAAGGGCAGGUGAGGGCUUGGAUUUAGAGACUUUGCAUGUUUUAAUCAAGCCCUGAUAGCCAAGCAAAGCUGGAGAAUAAUCCAAAACCCUGAAUCUUUGCUGACGAAAAUUUUGCAGGCAAGAUAUUUCAAGAGUUGUGAAUUCUUACAAGCCAAGUUGGGAUCAAAACCAUCUUUUAUUUGGAGGAGCAUACUUUGGGGGAGACAAAUCAUCCAAAAAGGAAUGAGAUGGAGAAUUGGGUCAGGGGAUUCGGUUAAGGUAUACAAGAGCCAAUGGAUACCAAGACUACAAACUUUUAAACCUAUUGCUUCGGCAACUCUAAGUAUGGAUGCCACUGUAGCAAAAUUAAUAGAUGCCAAUCAUCAGUGGAAAGAAACACUCAUACAUCAGCAUUUCAGCAAAGAAGAUGCUGAAAAAAUUCUGCAAAUCCAGCUCCCAAACAGCCCCCAACCAAACCAAAUCUUGUGGCAUUAUGAUAAAAAAGGCCAGUAUUCGGUUAAGAGCGGAUACCAGAUAGCUAGGAAGAUCAAGCACCCUGAAGAAUCAUCUUGCUCUAAAAACAACAGUGGGCAAUGGAAUGUGAUAUGGGCAAUAGAGCUUCUAGAGAAAAUAAAAAUUUUCAUGUGGAGGGCUGUAAAAAAUCUGCUCCCAACAGCAGAAAACCUAUAGAAAAGGAGAGUGUUGCAGGAUCCAAUAUGUUCGAGGUGUAAAAUGAAGGCUGAGAGUAUCGUCCAUGCAAUAUUGGAAUGCAAACCAGCAAGACAGAUGUGGAAACUAACUCCCUAUUAUGCAAAAAUGAAUGUGCUCAUAAAUCAGGAUUUGUUAUCUAUGAUGAAGGAAAUAGAAAAAAGAAGAAGCAAAGAGGAGUUACGGAGAAUAAUUGCGUUGUGCUGGGCAGCCUGGUAUUCAAGAAAUGGGUCUAUCUUUGAAAAUGCAGAGCAAGAUCCUCAUAUCACAGUAGCCAAAGCUGAUGCCACUGUUGAGGCUUAUGCAAGAGUAAAAAUGGGGAAGAUUUUAGCAGCAGCAAGCAACACACCAAAAAAGAGCUCAAGCUGGUUACGUCCUCCGCAAGGCUUAUUCAAAGCAAAUGUUGAUGCGGCCAUAAAUGAAGAGAAAAAGGAAGCAGGACUGGGAGUGGUGAUCAGAGAUAGCAAGGGAGAAGUGAUAGCUACAGCUGUAAACCGAACACCCUUCUACGGGAAUGUAGCUCAAGCUGAAGCAACAGUAGUGAACUUUGGGCUCCAGACUACAAUGGAAGUUGAUUUGCUACCUCUAAUUGUUGAGACGGAUUGCAAAGAAGUCUUUGAUUUUUUCUUCCAUAAGCAGAGCAGCAGAACGAAAAUAUUCUGGAAUAUAGCUGGAAUUAAAAAAAAAGAUGAACUCACUGAACAGCAGGGCAAAAAUUCAGCAUAUCUCUAGAGACUGUAAUGCAAUUGCUCAUGCACUAGCUAAGAUUGCCCUAGGUAGUGACAGAUCUUGCGUUUGGAAGGGAUCGUUCCCUCCUCAAAUCAUGUGCUUAUUUUCAAAGCUUUGUUAAUGAAAGUAAAUCUUUCUAUCAAAAAAAAAAAAAAAAGAUGGAUACAUUGAACCCAUUAAAAAUGUUCACCACCACCAAGCCUAGGGAUGGCAAUGGGCACCGCCCGCAGCGGGUUUGCCGUUACCAAACCCAAACCCGCACAAAAUUUGAAUUAUCAAACCCACUCGCAACCCGCAGCGGGUUUUAAUUUUUUAAAAAAAACCCACCCGCAGCGGGUUUUAACAAUUACCAAACCCGCAAUGGUAUCCGGCGGAUUUUUUACGGAUUUCCGUAUUUAAAAUCACAAAUGUUUAUUAUAUAAAUUUAUAAUAAUAACCUCAAAUUUCAUAUAACAUACUCAAUUUUAUAUUUAAACAAUGUAAAUAAAAAAUUAAAAUUUCCACAUCAAUUCAACACAAAUUCUCAAAUUUAAGUAUAAAUUAUACAAAUCUAUUUAAAAAACACAAACUAGUAUCUAAAAAUAAUAAUUACAUUUCAUAUUAUCAUUUAAAACAAGCUACAAGAGAAGAUAUUCAUUUCAUUCACCACCAUAAGCACACAUCCAACACAAUGCCUAUAAUAAUAAUUAAGAUUAAUAUUUUCAAAUACUAAUUCGAAGGAAAAUGCCUUUAAUUUUCUUUAGGUUAUGACUUUAGAAUAGGAGAUGGAUCACAUACACACAUAUACAACUUUGAGCCUUUGGUUAUUUGGUAAUUUGAUUAAUGACAUUAUUUUCUUUAUACAUUUUUAUAUUAAAAUUAAAUUAAAAAUAUUUGGAAAAAAUAUUGCGGGUUUGGUGGAUAUCCAUGCGGGUAUCCAUCGGGUAUAAGGUUAAUACCAAACCCACCCGCAUCCAUGUGCGGGUUUUAAUUUAUAAUACUAAACCCGCCCGCAACGGAUAAAAUUACCCGCAACGGACGGGUUUUGGCAGGUGGGUUUGGGCGGGUUUGCGGGUACAAUUGCCAUCCCUAACCAAGCCCUCCCAAAAUCACCGAGAUGAAUGAAGAGCUGGAGCGACCCUUCACCGAGAUACACGCUAUUUCUCGUGAAUCAUGACAUCCAUCACCAAAAUUUUAAAAAAUUCUGAUUUUUCUUUACACACCCCUCUGAAUUUCAAUAAUACCCCUUAUUAUUCUUUUUCCCAUUAAUGAUGAACCAUGUUAUAGAUUGUUGUUUUCCAUAUUAAUCUUAUAUUAAUUCUAUUGAGUUGACCAAGCUAUUCAAAUUUGAUCCCGUGCCACGCAAUUUUUCCUCCUAUUUAUUUUAUAGGAAUGUUUACUAAUAUUUAUAUAAGACAAUUGGUAAAUUUACUAUCUUCAAAUCACUCUUCUUAUUUUUAAAAAAUCUCAAUUUAUUCCUCAUUUUUGUCAAGGAAAAAAAAAUCAUCAACUCACCCAUUUUUUCUCUAUCUUUUAUACAAAAAUAAGAGUAACUUGAGAUUUUCAAAAGUUAUAAGAUGAUUUGAAGAUGAUCAAUUCAGAAGGGAGAUAAUUCAAAAUUUAUCCUUUUUAUAAUCAUGAUUACUUGAAUGGGUGCGAUCUCGUAAUUCUAAUUAAGUGAUUUUUAAAUAAUUUUAUUUUACUACCCACACAAAUUCAAAUUUUAAGAAUAAUAAAAAAUUAAAUAAAUCUAAUUAAACUUUGUCCAUCCUAUUAAAAAAAUAAAUAAAUAAAAUCGGUCAAGAAGCUUAGCAGCAUCUUCGCUUAAUAAGAAGAAAAAAGAAAAAAAAACAUUACAUCAGCAUAUGUGUCAACAAAAAUGACCCACAUAGGGCCCUAUCCAAUAGGGGUGUUCACGGAUCGGAUUUUACGGAUUGGACCUCAAUCCAUAUCUGAUCUACGAUUUUACGGAUUAUAAAUUUUUAAUCCAAUCCAAUCCAGGGAUUGAUGAAAUUCAAUCCAAAUCCAAUCCAUACAUCUGCGGAUCGAAUGCGGAUUUGACCCAAUUCAUAUUCAAUCCACCAUUUUACGGAUUGGUUUGCGGACUGAAAAUUUUUAAUUAUGUCCAAUUCACGAACUAACUAAAUAAAAAAAAUAAUAUAAAAAUAAUUUUAUUGCCAAUCAAAUUUAAAAUUAAAUAAGAUUUAAAUAAAUUAAUUAUUUAAAUAAAACUAGAAAAUACAUUUAAAGUUUCAAAACAUAACAAAAACGAAAAAAAAAAAUAAUUCGUUUAUAUCAGUAUGUGGAAAUUAACUAUUUAAAAAGCUAUAUUUGUUUAUUUAAUUAAUUUUAUUUUAUAUUAUUAUCGGAUAAGAUGUAAUAUAGUGUUAAUGUAACUAUAUUUUAACUUAUUUAUUUACUAGUAAGUACUAAUGCCAUAUUUACAAGUUUUAAUUUUUAAUUAAAUAAAUACUUUUUUAUUUUUUUGCGGAUUUGCAGAUUUUUGCAGAUUUACAGAAGUAAAUCCAUAUUCAAUCCAUCGAUUGUGGAUAAUCAAAUUUUCAACCCAAUCCAAUCCACUAAUCCACGGAUCGGAUUUUUAUGGAUCGGAUUUUUACGGAUCAAACAGAUUGAGCGGAUUGGAUUGGAUUUUGAACAACCCUACUAUCCAAUAUAGAAAAUUCUUUAUUACUUAUGCCCGACCGACAUGGCGGAAUGAUUUUUUGAAUAGGUUUCAAAAGCUUUAUUUAGUUAGUUAAGUGAGCUUGAGUCUUGUGAGAUAGAGAGUUGAAAAUUGAUGCGGAUUUUGUCCAUUUAUUUACUUUUAAAACUAAAUAAUAAUUAAUUUGACAAUUUUAUUACAUUUUUUUUUGGUUAAAAGUACUUAAUCAUGUUUGCCCCAAAAAAAUUAAUCAAAUAGUUUUAAACAAUUUUAUUUAUACGGCACCCCUGUUUAAAUUUUAAAGUUAAAACAUAAAGUUGAUUUUUUUAUAGGUAUUAUUCAAGUCAAACUUCUCAGUAAAUCAGUCUAUUAAUGUACAAUAAGUAUUUAUUUAAAUUCAAAUUAUCGAUUGUAAUGCAAUGAUUAGGAUAAUGAUUUCUUUUUUGUGCAUUAAAUAGUUGAUUUAAUGUAAGAAUAUCGUUUUCUAUUAUCAUUGCCAUUGUUUUGAUAAAUCCUAUUCAUAACCUUGCUUGAAAUUUAAACCAUUGAUAAAACUAACAUUUCACUGUAAACGCAUUAGGAAAAAAAAAAGAAGUAUUUGAAUUGCAAACGGCUAGCUGAAUGGAAUACAUCUGCUACCAAGUCAAGAAUUAAAUCCCUCUCUUUCCCCUUUUUUGGGAAAAUGUUGGAAACUUCGAACACUCUCCAUACGAGUGAGAUAGGAAACUUGGAAAUUUUUUCACUUUAUGUGUACACGGAGAUCCUUUGGUUCAUUUCUUCUAUUUGAGAGAUUAUCUAAAUUCAAUGACAAUGUAGUGUGUUUUUCUCCGUUACAAUUUUUUGACAUCCUAGAUGAAAUCGAAUAUUAAAAAUUUUCUAGAGACCUAAUUAUGUACGUAGGGCAUAUAGUAUAUAUAGGAGGGACCAAAUUAUCAUUCACAUACCUGCUAAAACAUAUAAACAGUACAGAAUGCUUUCUUUUUAUUUAUUUCACAAAAUUUCCAUUUCUUUAGCACACUCGCAAUUAUUACAACUUGGGUUCUUAUUUUGUAACUAAUAUAUUAGGUAAGUUACAACCCACUGGAGAAUCCAAGUAAAAUGAAGCUUAUUACAACAAUACAUAAAUAAGCAUUUGAUAUUCACUUAAAAGAUAUAAUGAUAGGUAAUGUCUAAUUUAAAUUUUAAUUAUUAUAUUUUUUUGAAUUCAAAUUUAGAUGGUCUUCUAAAUAAAAUUACUUUGAAACUACUCGGUACUUUGAAACUACUCGGUCUGGUGGCCCUAGGGCCAAGAAACAAAUUUUAAGGACAAACCUCAAUAAGAGAUCUUAAACCUAAAAUGGAGGUAAUUUUAUAGUCACUAAACCCAGCAUCGGCAAAAAGCUUGGCCCAUUCUUUCUCAUCUCGUUCUGUUCCGGUGGCCAAGACCAUCAUCAACAUAUCAAAAAAGAGUUGUGUUUCAGUAGACUCAUCAUUCCCUUUUUUAUUCUCUCUCAUCAUGUCAAUUAUAAUCACCUUUCCUUUCUUGCCAUCGCUCGUAAUUGCUUCCUUACAUUUCUUAAGAAUCUUCACGCAUUCCUCAUCAUUCCAGUCAUGCAAUAUCCACUGCUUGUCAUCAUCAAUAAUAUUAGAAUUUAGAAUAUUUGAAGAUUCAGAAUGGAAAAUUAAAUGAGUAUAUGAUGUACAUAAGUAAUUCGAAAUCCUUCUAGUAUAUAUAUUAAUUUUAUGCUCAAGAAACCACUUUAGUUAAACUAUAAAAAUUAAUACGCGUACCUUGAGUACAACAGCAUCAGCUGGGGGAAUGGCCUCAAACAUGUCCCCUCCAACAUAUUUAAGAUUGGCCAAAUCGCUUUCGAGGCCAUUAACCACAUGCGGCAGAUCAAAAUCAGUGCAUUCCAAAUUUGGAAACGCUAUAGCUAUGGCCUUGGCCACAGUUCCCGUGCCCCCACCCACAUCCACUAACGAAUUCAAACCUUGGAACACAUCCUUACACUUAUGUAUCACCACUCUUGUUGCCAACCGCGCAUCACUUGCCAUGGCUUCAUUGAAGAAAUUGUUAAUCUUUGGCUCGUCCCCAGCAUACUCCCAAAAACUCUUCCCAUGUGCCGUAUCAAACGGCGCAGGAUCGUCGCUUUGAAACCAAGUGCUCAGUUUCAGCCACGGUGAUAGCAAAAUAGGAUCUAGCAUGGCUUGCAAGAAAGGUGUCACGCUUAAGGGGCUGUCUUUUAGGAGAAGUUUAGAAGCAUUUGUGAGAACAUAACCUUGUUCUUCGUCAUUGUUAUUUCGGCUGCUAUUUAGCGUUUGCUGUGCAAAGAAGCCUGAGUGGAUCAGAAUGCGCAUCAAGCGAUACACACAUCGGGUUUUUGAUGGGUUUAUUGUUAGGGCACUAACAAGCUUGUUGAGGGUCAUGGGUUUGCCAUGUUUGUUGAUAAUAUCUGGUAUGCUUAAUUCAACAGCGCAUUUAAGUGACAUGGAGUUUAUGAAAUUGAAAAUGUGAUUCCAAACAUGAGCUUGAGCUUCAAGUAGCUCAGUAUCGUGCUCUCCAUCGAUCAAAUUCAUCCUUAUUAGGCUAAGUAGGGUUAAUUGAUAUUUGAUGCAAAUCAAUGGAUUUGAGCUCUAUAUAUAAUAGCGAAAGAGUCAUAUAUACUAUUAGGACCCAUUUGAUAUUAAAGUGUUCUUGUUUUUAUUUAAGCUCUUGUAAAAAAAAAAUCUAUAAUUGUUAAAUAAAAGUUGAUGGUGUAGGAUAAAUAUGACUUCUAAAUAAUAAUUUUAACAAAAAUAAUAAAAAUAUACAGAUUUUUUAUCAUACAAGUGUGGAGAAAAUUAACUCAGUUUUCAAAAUACAACAACAAAUGUUUACAAUAUACUUUAAAGAUGCAGUUUCAAAUUAUAACCACCUGACUACAAUACCAAAUAGACCCUUAAUAUGCGUUCAUAAUAAUUUUCUGUCGUGCCAUCCAAAAGAAAAGGCGUUGGAGUGUUUUAAAAAACGUUUUUCUGAAUGCAUCUAAUUGCUAACUAAAUUAAUAACUUGCUAAGGGUUAAAUUCAAAGAAAAAGAUGGGGAUCAAAGAGGUUGUGACAAAAAUUAUUGUGAAAAAUUAAUUUUUUAUUGCCACGUGAUUCACGCCAUCGGCCGAAAAUUAUUGCAAGAUAUGGCUCAAAUAUACGUAUUCAGAUCUGCUAAAUCUUGUUAUCCAAAUAAUAAAAUUAAUUCAGAAGACCCACUUAGAAAAUUAAUUCUGUUAACAUCUCGCGUGCCUAAUCAUCGAAAAAAUAUGCAACUUGCAGUUUGGGGUAAGGCAUUAUUUAUUCCAUCCAAGACGUCUAAGGAAAAGAACAUAAUUGGAGAAAGAAAUAUCAUGUUGAUUAUAAAUGCUUUCGGAAUUAGGCUACAAAGAGAAUCACGUGAAGUGAAGUAAUAUUGAGUGUUUCCUUAAUUAAUAAUACAAACGGACACCAAAUCUGAAUUAUUGUGCUUUUUUUUGGGAUUGAAGUGCUGUAACUUUACAAUUGUUGUGAAAAUAAAUUAUAAUUAUGAAAUAUAAUUUAAUAGUAUGUAAUAAAUAUAAUUUUUAAAUAAUAAUUUUGAUAAAAUUAGUAAAUAUAUAAUAAAAUUUUCAUCAUACGUAUGUAAAAUUAAAUCAAUUUAGCUUUCAAAAUACGGCAGCUAAUAUUUAUCAAAUAUAUUAAUACUGUAGUUUUUAAGUUAUAACUGUCCAAUUUCAAUCUCAAAUAAGCCUUAAGUAUAACAUCUCUAAUUGUAAUCUUGCUGAUUCUGAGGUGAUCUUGAAUAAUGUGUUAGUUGUGUCCCAUGCUGUACAUGUAAACAACAAUCACUUGUACUUUCUAAAUAUAUCAGCCUGCAUGUUUUUCUCAAUUGCAGGAACCUUCUUGUUUCCUUAUUUGACUUUUAAGUCUGUAUCAUAGAAUUCUCCCCGGUAAUAAAAAAUAGUUAAUUGAUUUAAAAAAUAAAGCAUAUGUAUGAUGUCAAAUUAUCUUUAAUUAUAUUAAAUAUCAACAAUAUCCUCAUUGUAACCAUUACAUCUCAUGAUAAGUAACGCAAAAAAUGACACAUCGAUGAAGUUUUUAAGGGUGGGACACUGUAAUUUUUUUCCACGACCUUGUUAACAUAAAUAUUUCUUUAAUAUUGAUUUUGAUGAUAACAAACUUGAUUAAGAUUGUUUCAAAGCUCAAAUUAUUCUUUCAUAUAGUUUUCAUACUAUAAAGGCUUCAUAUUCAAUAAAAAGUAAUUUUAGGAUUUUCAUGUUAAUGAUUUAAAUUGAAAAAGGUUUGAGAACUUUGAAAUUAGCAAAUAUUGCUUGAAAUUCUGAAAAUGGACUUAUUUGACAAGUUUUAUAAAAUUUUGGGUCAUAAUAUAAUUUUAUAAAGUUUGGGGGCCAAAAUAUAAUUUUACAAAAAUAAGUUCACUGUAGCAGUCAUUGUAGAAAACGGUGAUCCUACAGCUUUAUAACAGCUCGCCGACAUCGAGCAAAAAUGAAGAUUAGCCUCUGGACACUAACGACGUUCUGACAUCUUGAAAACGGCGAUCCGACAAUUUGAAAUUCAGCCCAACAGUCAUAUUGACUAGUUAAAUGGCGAUCUGACAUCUAAUUAACGGUGAUCUGACAGUGAGCAGAAAGUCAAUAACGGCUAGUUUCCAGCUCUAACUAUAAAUAAACUCAAUCAAAUUCAAACAAAAAUUAUUCCAACAAUUAUCAUUGAGCAAAUUAUUGAGCGUACAACUUUCAUUGAGCCUAAAAUUCUUAUAUUCAUUUCAUUUACUCACACUUUGGAUUUUUAUUUGUAAUCAAACACAUUGUGUGAGAGAGAUUUAUUUUGUAAUAUUCUUUAAAAUCAAAUUGUGAGAUUGUAAGUGUUGGGAUACACUUGGGUUAAGAGAUUGAGGAUAAUUUCUUAUUGUAAAGGUUUAUUGACACCUUGAAAGUUAAUUGUAAGAGCGGUUGAAGUCUUGGAGGGUUGCUCAGUGGAAUCCUCAAGCCUGGUGAGCUUGGAGGCGUGGACGUAGGCACGGUUAGCCGAACCACGUAAAAUCACGUGUUUGAUUUCUCUUCUCUUCUCUUCUCUUACUCUUUUAUUAUCUUGCUUGAUUAAAUUUAUUAUUUUUGUUCUUAUUAAGGCAUUAGAUUUAAAUUGUCGUGUGCUUUGUUUUGCAUAAAUUUUGAUAACCCAAUUCACCCCCCUUCUUGGAUUGCUUAGAUAGUAUUUCAGACCUAUGCCCAAAUAAUUUAAAAACCAAUACUUUUUGAAAUUGUGUAACAUCAUCUUGUUGGCAAUAUAAAUUGAAAUCAAGUUCAUGGCCCAUGACCUUCAAGUACUGCAACAAAAAUGCUCCACAAUCACCACUAAAAAAAUUCAUAUAAAUCAAUUGUUAGAAAUCACCAUUCUUAUUGUUAAGUCGAAAAAACAAUACACACACACAAACACACACACACACACACACACACACACACACACACACACACACACAUACAUACAUACCCUGAUUUUUGAUGCGGACUGUUACAUACUUGCAUGAUUUGGCUCAUACAAUGGACUGCAAUUUAAUCAUGUUACCAACGCAAACGGCCAAUCCUAAACCACAUUUUCUUCUCAUCAGUCUUCACUUCUCUCAGUGGUAUGCUGUGGAGUAACUGAGCAGAAACUUCAACUCUUUCACAUCCAAAAAAUGACCGAAACAAGAAUGCCUAAAAAUACUUUUUUGCUCCUUAAAGAGUUUAUUUUUUAUAUCCUCCUCUGCAUCUAGUGAUGAUCGGUUAGAAAUCUUGGCUUUAAAGUUUUCAUAUUCCUUGAUUUUCGGUUCCAUUUGCAUAAACAAAAAGAAAAUAUUUGAAUUAUAAUAUAAAUACAAAUAAAGUUGCAUAAUAAUAAAUUCUAAACCAAUCAGAAAAAUUACACGCCAUUCUGGUCGAGAAUAAUUUUCCUUACACGAUUACAGUCGAUUAAAGUAUCCAGUGCACGACUACAGUUGACUAAAAUAUGCAUUGCCCGACUACAGUCAAGUAAAGUAUAUAUUACACGACUACAGUCGAGUAAAAUAUACAUUACACAACUAAAUUUGAGUAUAGUAAAAUCAUUACACGACUACAAUCGAGUAAAGUAUUCAUUACACCAUUACAGUCGAGUAUAUAAACCAUAAAUAAUUCUUUGCCUCUAUGGAAAAUAAAGUAAUGCAUAAAAAAAAUUAUUCUUUGCCUCUAUAGAAAAUAAAGUAAUGCAUAAAAAAAAUUGUCUUCCUAAUAGAUUUAUUAGAUCAAACGGAAGGAUUAUAGUAAAGAUGAACGAGUAGCCAACAUCAAGGCAAAACAAAAUAGAAAAAAAUAAGUCCCUCGUAAGCAUUAUCAAGAACUCUCCUAUUCAUUUCUUGCCAAAUAACCUAAAUAAAAGCUGCACGAUAUAACUUCACAAAGACUUGGCUUUCUACCGUCCAAGAAAAUGUAAUGAUUAUUCAUAAAAAAAAAAAAAAGGAGGCAUAGGAAGUUGGAAUCACUUGAAAAAACUUCACUGCCUUUUUGUUAAUACAACACCCUUAAACAUGAAGCAAUUGACAAAUGAUCAAUUUUCUCAAUCCUUUCUAUAUACACAACACUCCAUUUAGGCGAAAAAUAAGCACUAGAUGUACUUCUUUGUAAUAUAUCAAAAGUGAAUCCUUCCUUAAGCCACAUAUGAAAAACUUGGAAUCUUACAAGGAAAAAGUGUUCAGCUUCAGCUGCAUUUGUACUGGUAAUUAUAGGAAACAAUUCCUUAUCCUAGGGUUUGAAGCACAUCGGAUUUUGAUCUUCACACGAACGGUUAAAUAUGCAUAGAGUUGUGUAAAUAAAUAUUACAAUGUGAAGGAUUAAAAUUAGUAAAUUAAAAAUUGUUAGCCUAUAUGGCUAUAAAUAUUGAUUUUGAUGAUAUCAAACCACAUAUUUUGGUUAAGGAAAAUUGAGAGUAGUUAAACAAAGAUUUAUAUAUUGUGCUUUUAUAAUAGGAAAAUGAUUUUAUGGAGUUAAGUUUUUUUUCAAGUUAUGAACUAAAAUGAAAGAAUUUUACAAUCUUUGAUUUUAAUAAAUAUUGUUUUGAAUUUUGGAUUUAGAAUUUUUUGAAAAUAUUUAAAUCUUUUGGGCUAUUCUAUAAUUUCACAUAGUUUGGGCAAUAUAAUAAUUUCAGAAAAUUUUGGGAAUAACAAGUAUUAUUUUAGAAAUUCUAAAAUUGAACCUAUUUGCAACUAUUCAUAACGUUUUGGGCUAUAAUGCAGUUAUGAAAGUUUUAGAGUAAAACUGUAAUUUUAGAAACCAUUUCACUGUAGCAAAGCGGCUAACCGGAUGUUAUAAAGCGGCAAUCCAGUUAUGGGCAGAAACUCUCUGGAAAGAAAGAGGCAUACCGGAUGUGCAAAAAUUCAAAUUUUUUAACAUAACGGUAACAUGAAACGGCUAACCGGAUUCACAAAAGCGGCAAGCUAGUUAUCACCAGAAAGUCAAUGACGACUAGUUUUCUUCCUCAACUAUAAAUUGGCUCAAAUCAAAUUCAUUUUAGAUAAGACAACCAUUGAUAUUUUGAGCAAUUUUCUGCAAAUCUAAGAGCAUAAACUUUGUAUUCAUUUCACUUAUUCACACAUAUUGAGCUUUCAUUUGUAUUCAAACACAUUGUGUGAGAGAAAGUUUUGUAAUUCUUUUUGUAAAAUCAAAUUGAGAGGUUGUAAGUGUUAGAAUACACUUAGGAUAAGAGAUUGGGAAUAAUCUUUUGUUGUAAAGGUUCAUUGACACCUUGGAAGUCAAUUGUAAAUGUUUGAAGCCUUGGGAGGCUUGGAUAGUGAAAUCCUUAAGCCCGGUGUGCUUGGAGGCGUGGACGUAGGCGGAGAUUGCCGAAUCACGUAAAAAUCCUCGUGUUUGUUUUUCCCUUCCCUUACCCUUUUAUUUUUUUGAUUUAUUGAAUUUAUUGCUUUCGAUUUCAUUAAGGCAUUAGAUUGAAUUAUUGUGUGAUUUGCUUACUUAUUUUUUAAAUACCCAAUUCACCCCCUUUCUUGGGUUGCAUAACUUGUAGUUCAAAAAAUCCAGUCAAAAAAUUCCAUUGAUGAUUACCUCUUGAAGCAAAGCUAAAACCCACCGUGGGUUUUGCAUAAAAUUGUCAAGUUGAAGUUUAAUUUUUUAACAAGAUAUUCAAAUUAAGGUAACAAAAAAUAGUGCAAUAAAACCAGCAUAUGCUAAAAUCAAUUGUAGAUGUGGUGACUCACCUUUAAUUUGGCCAAUUUCCCUUUAAAAUAGCAGAUUUGGGUGUUAAAACAAACAGCAGCAAGAGUGCGAAAUACCAGCAGUAGAAGCAUCGUCGGUGUUCACUUCAUCUCAAAGCCCACCGGAGUGACUUCACCGGAGUUCUUGGAGAACGCUAGUAGUGAAUGAUAAUGCUGGCUGGUCGUGAAUGAAAUUUGGGGGUUGCAGCUUGGUUGUGAAUGCUUGAGAUGAUUUAGGUUUUCAUUUAGGGUAAUUUCAUAUUUGCACUUUAAAAAGGGCAUAUGUGAGGAAUUUUGGAGUAUGAGGGUAUUUUUAGCUAAAUACCCGAUUUUGGGGGUAUGGCCAGGGCAAAUCCUUGCAGAUCCUUACACUUCAACGGCUCACUAUCAGUAUUGGGAUGACACAGGAUCUUCUUAUCAGGGUUAAAGCUCAAUAAGAGACCUCAGACCCAAAGUAGAAUUUAUAUUGUAAUGGCUGAAACCAGCUUCUAAGAAGAGCUUCUUCCAUUCUUUGAUGCUCUGCUCUUUGGCCACACUGAAUAAAGACAUCAUCAACAUUUCACAGCACAAUUGUGUCUCGGUUGAGUCCUUGUCUAUGCUUUGAUCUUCUAUGACCAUGUCUAUGACAAUCACUUUCCCUCCUUUAUCUUUGCUCCCGGCAAUAGCUUCUUUGCACUUCUUCAAUAUCUGCACGCUCUCUUCAUCACCCCAGUUAUGCAAAACCCACUUCAUACAUAUAUUUUGUCAUAUAAAUUUAAUUAACAAGUUAAAAAUCUUGGAAUUCUGUUAAUAUAUAGAAGGGAUAUUAUCAUUUUACUACCAAAGUUUUACUGACAUAUCAUGUCAGUACCAAGAUUUUCUGAAAAGUGCAUUUUACUACCAAAGUUUUGCGCCGUUAUCAAUUCACUACCAUUCCGUUAACAAUGUUAAAAAUUUACUGAUGUCAUAAGGGCAUCAAAGACAUUUCCAGCUGUAAGAGUAAAAUUGUCUGUUAAUUUGAUAGAUAAAUUAUUAUUUUACUACCAAGUUUUUAGGGGAAUUAUCAUUUUACUACCAAUUUUUAGGAGAAUUAUCAUUUUACUACUGAAUUUUUAGGGAAUUAUCAUUUUACUACCAAACUCUUGGGGGUAAAAUCGACUUUUAACUCAAUUUCCGUUAAACAUUAACUUUUUCUUAACAGAAUGGUAGCGAAUUGAUAACGGCGCAAAACUUUGGUAGUAAAAUGCACUUUUCGGCAAACCUUAGUAUUGACAUGAUAUGUCAAUAAAACUUUGGUAGUAAAAUGAUAAUUUUCCUAUAUAGAAAGACAGUAAUACUAGAUCUACAAACUCUUUGUGCAAACUGAUGUAGUAUAACAAAGUUGAUUUGAUAAAAUAAAAAAAAUAAAAUAAAAAAUAAAAAAUUCCACAUGAUGUAUGUAAUUAAUUUUCAUUAAUAUUUUAUAUUUGAAUGAGUCUAUUUCAACUUGAUUUUUUUAUAAAAUCUUUUACUCAAAAUUUGAGCCAUUGAUCUUAUGCAAUACAAUAAGGGAGGAAUUUUGACAUCAUUAAAUGUUAUUUUGACAUUCAAUUUAUCUAAAAUUAGAUUGUAU
rnacentral:lncRNA from 1 species